rnacentral:lncRNA from 1 species
CUUUAUUGCAUUUAUUGGAUGGUGACGCUAUCAAGAUUAAAUCUUAGUCGCAUAUGAGCAUUUCUCCAUUAUUGACACAAAUGUUUUGUAAAACAGUGGGAAGUCAGUGUUGGUACAAGCAAAGAACACGAGCAAAAUAUUUGGAGACCUCCUCGGGGAAGUGUCAAAGGAAUGCUAGGAACAAAAAGAAAAGCGACAACUGGAAUGGGAGAGGUCUGAGCCAAAAAGACGGCUCUUCAAGUCACCAAUUAAUUGGCUUAACAUAAUUUUCACAUUAAGAUGAGUUUUAGUGUUGUUGGAUUUUUGUCAACAAUUUGUGAUAAUUUAUAUAUGCUAAUAAAUAAUAAAUGCAAUAGGAAUUAACAGAAUAUAAACUAGAAUACGAAUUAUAAAAACAGACAACUUGAAGAUCGAGGCUUGCGUACCGCAAUGUCCUUGAAACAGAAAUUUCGUCCCUACUCUGUGCUUGUAGUUCUACGGACGUCUGCUUCACCAGGAUUCAACGAUCAAAUUAAAAUUCCAGCACCGGAAAAUUUAACUUCUGGCGAAUUUAGUGUGGUUCUCUCAGUAAGAAGGUUUAGGAAUGUAGAAGAUGAAGUUGAUUAUUUUCUGUAUUCUAAAUGUCAUGCAGAUGAAUGUAUAUAUAAUGUGAUUAUACAUGUUCGCAACAGGUAUGAGGAAGGGAUGCAUCUGUUGGGAGACAUCUGCUGAAAAGGGUGUUUUUGUUUCUGCGUUUUCACACUUCAGACUUCAUCUGAAAAGAUGAGUCUGUUGGCAAAAAUAAUUAAUUAAUUUAAAUUCGAAAUUAAAAAUAAUUAAUUAAUUCCGAAAAUAAAUAAAUAAUUUAAUUAUUAGAGCCCAAGGCCCAUCUUUUGACAAUUAAAUAUAUAUUAGUUAUAUAUUAAUUAUAAUUAAUUAUAUAUUAAUUAUCAAUUAAUUAGUACACCCCAAAGCCCAACCCCAAGGGUGAUCCCAAUUUUAGUCUCCAGGCCUAUUACUCCAAUCACUUUCUAUAAAGGAUAAAGCCUUAUAAAGUGAUAAAAUCUUUUGGGAAUGGCCAAUGUGGGACAAAGAAAUUUCUACUCAAACUACUCAAAUUUCCAACAAUACCCCACAUUUGAGUUGAAAUUUCAUUCAAACUCCAACAAUUACCCCACAUUUGAAUGCAAAUGUAAAUGCAAAUGGAUGACUAUGUUGCCUAAAACUGAAAGAGAAUAGGCAUGAUAUGCAUCGGGUGAAGUGUCUUUUGGGCUUGAACUUACCGUAGUGAAAACAUAUCGAGUUUACUUGGUGACGCAGUGGAUGUGGAAGAUCUUGAACUGUUCACCGCAGUAGUAAACCGAGACAAUAUGCUACACACAUAUCAUGUCUGCCACACGUCAAUUAAUACGGUUGUAUUCAUUUCGGCCCUGAACAGAUCCCGGAUUUCGUAGGAGCUUUAGAGAAUUUAGCCAUUUCAAUUCUCAUAAAUGCAGCCCCAUUUGCUCCUAUAUAGGUGACAUUAAUUAAGAAUAAUCUGCCAUAUUCCUCUUGAUAACAAGAUAUUAAUGUCAUUAAAUGUAUAAAACAUAACCCCUCAAACUUCAACAGACAACACACAUUUUAUCAUAAGAAUGGGUAAGUUGUGUGUUUAACUUUUGAAUCAAACUCAACCAGUUUGCCUAUUGAACCUAGACCAUGGGAUCUCCAAUCAGCUAGGUUAGGUUUCCGCCCAGUUCGAUUCAUUGAAUUGGCUUAAGACCCAUUCCCCUCGAUGUAAAUAAUAUUUGCUCUCUUGGUAGGCCUUUUGUCAAAGGAUCAACUAUAUUUUCCUUUGACUUUACAUAAUCAAUGGAUAUUGUUCCAUUGGAGAGCAACUUCUUAAGAGUAUUAUGCCGACGCCUAAUGUGUCGCGACUUGCCAUUGUAUACAUGACUUUUGGUCCUUGAUUGUGCGGCCAUACUGUCACAAUGUAUACAUAUAGCAGUUACGGGCUUUGGCCAUACUGGAAUAUCCUCCAAAAAAUGUUUGAGCCACUCGGCUUCUUCGCCAGCCAAGUCUAAAGCUAUAAACUCAGACUCCAUUGUGGAACGAGCUAUACAUUUCUGUUUAGAGGAUUUCCAAGAUAUUGCUGCACCUCCCAAAGUAAAAACAUAUCCACUUGUCGACUUAGAUUCUGUAGUGUCAGAAAUCCAAUUGGCAUCACUGAAGCCUUCGACAACAGGUGGAUACUUUGUGUAGUGUAAUCCGCAGUCAAGUGUAUUUUUCAAAUACCUUAACACUCUUACUAAAGCAUCUCAAUGCUCUUGUGCCGAAUUACUUGUAUCUACUAAGCCUACUUACUACAUAAGCUAAGUCGGGCCUUGUGAAAUCCCAUUAUUGGAUUUCACUGUUAUAAUCUACGUAAUUGUAUUAUUGAGAUUUAUAUUAUUUUUCGAGAAUUUAUAUUAAUUUACUUGAAAUUAGAUUUCAAUUAAACUAGUUACGAAGAGUGAAGUUUGGAAAAUUACUAUUUACUCGUUGACAUUUCGAGGUCACAAGUAACGUUUUCGAAUAGGUUUCGAAGUCACGAACGUAUAGGCGAAAGCCGUUUGCGAGUCCGGAUUAUAACGGUAUAGUUACGUAUGUUUGAAGUUGUGUGUGGGAGUGAUUUUCCAAUUUUACCCUCAAUUUGACAGCAAAAUGGAUGGAAUUAAUGGUAAGGAUAACAUUGAUGCAUGCCAUAUAGAAUAGGGAGGAUAUCGAUUGAAUAAAAAGAAUAGGGACUAAAAUCAGGAGUUUGGAAUAGUACAGGGACAAUUGGUGAUAAAAAGGCCGGAAGUUAUUUUAUCAAGAGGGGUUUUUUAUGCAUUUCAUCUUGGCUUACUGAUGAAGGUUUUCUACAUGAAUAGAACAUGGCUUGAGAUGGCAGCAGGAAAUCCAUUCGGAAAGGUAAGAAAGGAAAAGGAAGGGGGGAAAGACUUUUCUUGGGGGGGAGUCUCCUUCUCGUCUGACACUUUCCCCCAAGCUACACUACAUCGAUUCUCUAUCUUUGUCUCUCUCUCUCUCCCUCCGAUUCAUCACUGUUUUUUUUAUAUAUGCCGCGAUCAAAGAAGUCAGAGCCGCAGAUUCGACGGCCGCCAAGUAUCUGGAGAUCCCUCUACUUCUUGAAUAUUCAACUUCUUCAGGUAUUUCGGCCAACUCUCCUCCCUUUGGCUUUGAUCUAAUUUUCUGUUGUUUCCCAAGAAAAUGAUGGGACUGAAAAGAAUAAAGUUUUACUCCCUUUUGGGAUUUUUGAAAGGAAAAGUGGAAUUUCAGUUCAAAUUAAGAGGUAUAUUAAUCUUUUGAUUUCUUUUGGGAAUUUCAAAAAUAGAAAAUGUGUAAUUGUGCGACUGUUUAUAAAUAUAUGAUACCGUUUAAGAUUAGAGUAAUUAAUUACUGUUGGUUGAAUUUAAUGGGUGACUGUUGGAAUGCUGUUAUGGGUAAUGUAUUACUGUUUCUUGCAGAACUGACUAAUUUUACUAGUUACAAUGAAUUGUUGGGAAAAUUUUCUGCCUUCCGAUAAACUGAACGUCUUACGGAAGCCUUAUGGACCUUGGUUUAACGGAAUUUGGGUUAUCGAAAUUUGGUUUAUAUUAACGUUCUAUUGAUGUUGUGAAUUUGAACAAGAGGAAAAGCUUUGACCUUGUACGAUCACCAGCAAUUCUGUGUUUCUUGGUAUUUGGUACUGAAUCAAUGUGAAAUCCCGUUCCUGGAUUUCACUGUUAUAAUCUACGUAUUUGUAUUAUUGAGAUUUUAUAUUAUUUUUUUAGAAUUUAUUUUAAUUUGUUUGAAUUAAGAUUUUAAUUAAAUUAAUUACGAAGUUUGAAGUUUGGAGAUUAAUUAUUUAAAAUCCGUGGACCUUUCGAGGUCACAAUUUAUAUCGUUGAAUAGAUUUUGAGAUCACGAAUGUAUAGGUGAAAGCCGCUUGCGAGUCCGAGUUUUAACGGUAUAGUUACGGAUAUUUGAAGUUGUGUUACUAAUCUAUAUGUUUUAAUUUAUUUUAAAACUCCCACAUAGUGGGAGAGGGACCAGGGAGAAAGGGGAAUAAAAGGGAUCGGACAGAAAAAAGAAAGGGGGAGGAGGGUCUAAUUUUGACCCGUUUUUGGUCAUUUUCGACCAUUUUGACCCAUAAACUUGACCCGCUCAUAUCUUCUUCAUCCGAGCUCCGUUUUGGGUGAUCUUGGUGUCCAUGGAAAGCUCUUGAAAAGCCCUACGACCCUAUGGUGUUAGAUUUCCCAUUUUCUGAUCCACGUUUCCAGUUCGAGGCAGCAAAGUCCCGUGGGUUUUCCGGCGAUUGUGUCAUUUUUCCGGUGAUUCCGGCAACCAUUUCCUUCGAGUGAGGUAUUAAACUUCAUCUACUCUUCAUAAUCUCCAUGUUGGUAUGCUUGGUUUGUGCUUUCGUAUUCAUUUUAGAGUUGGGUGUUUAAAACCCUAGAAACCCGGUUUUCCCCGAGGAAUUUGGAUGGUUUCCGGUUAGAAUUUGUUGUUGGCCUAGUUGUGAAUAAUGUUUCCCUUGUUGAGAUCUUCAUUCUUGUAAAUUAUGAGAAUUUUUGGAAAAAGUCCAAUUUUUCGAUGUGUGGCAUUCGAUUUAUGAAAUGUUGUUGGUUGAGUAUAUUUAGAUAGGUCCACCACUUGGAUAUUCUAACAGUUGAAGAUACUUUAAAUUCUUAUAUUUAUAUCAUUGUGAAUAUGGCUUGGUGUUAUAAAUGUGAUUUCUAUUGAAAUGUGAUUUUAUAUAUUUAGCCGUAGUCAUAUGCUUAUUAGCAUGAUUUGGAUUGUGUAUUGAUGAUGGUUGUGAUAUAUGUGAGUUUAAUUAUCCUUUUAGUAAUGUGAAUGAUGAGUAUGAUUAUUUUCAUGACAAUUGUAGAUAUUGUUUAAGGACCUUAGGGACUUACUAGUGAAAAUCUAGUGGUUGGAUCUUACGGAGCAAGUGAUGUAAGAUCAUGGACCAUAUCUUUGAUCGACGAUCUAAUUCUCAUUAAAUGUCGUUGUGAGAGACUUAUGAGAGUUUUGAGUAUGUGAAUUUAUCGAGAGAAAUCUAAAUGUGGAGUUGUGCUUGUUUUAGGCGGUGAUAGAGCUUGACGCCUUGAAUUCCAUGCUAUAAUGUGUUAGUGUGGACCUAAUAUGAGUGAUUUUAAUCUGUGUGAUAUGGUUAUUACUUUGAAAUCUUCCGUGCUAAUAUACUUUGUGGUUACAUCAUAGAUUCUUAAAAUAGGUCUUAUGCUAAAUAAUUGUUGUUAUCAAGUUUGCCAUCUUAUGCUAAAUAAUUGUUGUUAUCAAGUUUGCCAUCGAUCUACUUAUGAAACAUUAUGUGACUUGGAUAUUUGAACUAUUGAUGGAUUGUGUUUCGAUAUAUGUAUUUGAUGGUUUGAUAAAUAUGAGGAAUUGUAAAGGAUCGUUACCUUAGUGUCAUGGGGUUAGGUGACACUCAGUCUCUCUAGCUCUAGUUUUGAGUGUAUCCGUGAAUUUUGGCUUCGAGAACCUUGAGUUUGAUUUAGAAAAGCCGUUGGAUGUCUGUGUGACUCAUUCGGAAUUUGCAAAGGUUUGGUAUUAAUUUCUUAUGAAUAAUUUAUAUUCAAAGUUUAUAAACCGUGAUUGAUGGUUGGUUUUAUCAUUAUUAUCACAUACUUUGUAUUAUUGUUGCUCACACGAGCUUCGUAGCUUAUCCGGGUUGUUGUUUGCCCGAUGCACCAUUUCCAUGAUGUAGGCACUCAUUUCACAUGCGACAGGUCUGGGUAAAUUAUGAGAAACUAUUUGAUAUUUUGGUUCCGUUGAGUAGUCCGGAACCCGAUAUUGUUGGAUUACGUUGAGUGGUUCGAAAUCCUUGCUCUUGCUGAUUUCCAUAGUGUUAUCUUAGAAUCCUAGAUUCGAGUGAAUGGAAAUUACCCACAAUGGAUCUUGUGAAUACAAAUUAGAAUUACCAUGUUAUUAUUCAUAACUCAAUUAGGGAAUUAUGUAGAGUUCUUUGAUUAAACUCGUGAAAUGAUGUGCUAUCUCACUGAUUGAUUAACGUAAUUAAAUAUUAAUAUUGUGCUUCGUGAUUCCCUGAUAUGUUACAAGCUAUGGAUAGAGAUAUAUUGUUGGAAGCAUAGGGAUUGGUAUGAUGUGGUGAAAUGUGAUUUGACGUGUGAAUUGGAAAUGGUUGUGUCAUGUAAUGGAAAUGCCUAUUGAAUUGCUUGGGAGAUGUGAGAUCUAGUAAUGGAUCGAUAACCUAUUGUGAUGGGGAUUUGUUGCUCAAUAUUAGUUCGUUUUGUUGAGUCUUCGUGAUUUGAGUAAAUUGAAUCCUAUCUUGUUCCUUCGAGCCGUAGUUAUGCUUCUUGGACUUCCGUUCGGUUCUGUUGAAUGGUUCGGAACUAAGUUCUGUUUGGAUUCCGUUGAGUGAUGUUCCGGAAUCCCUUCUAUUCUGUAUUCUGAGAUUCCGUUGAGUGAUGUUCCGGAAUCCCUUCUAUUCUGUAUUCUGUGAUUCCGUUGAGUGAUGGUCCGGAAUCAUAUGCUUGUUUGGAUUCCGUUGAGUGAUGGUCCAGAAUCCCCUUUGUUGCCUUGGCUCUGGUAUAUGGUUCGGAUUCUGUUGAGUAAUGGUCUGGAAUCCCCUUUUGUAUCUUGGUUUCGUUGAGAGGUCUGAAAUCCCUAUUUCAGAGUAGUAGGCUAGGCCUAAGGGUAUCACUCUAGCCUUAGUUUUAUAUAUAUUUGUGACAAUGGUUUGAGAAUCCUGUGAAUUGAGUUAGAAAAGAUGUUGAACGUCUGGCUGACUCCUUCGGGAUUCUCUACGAUUCGAUUAUGAUUUUAUCAAGUAUGAAUUUAGAAAAUAUGGGAAUGAUUGAUAUUAUUUUGAUCAGAUUAAUUAUUUCAUGUGGCUAGAGAAUGGUUAUGUGCUUCAUCGGUUAUUAAAUAUAACGUAUGUUGUGAAUAGCUAUGUGAUGAGACAUAAUGAAUUAUAUGUUGGAUGAAAGUGAAAUCAUGAUUUUCAUGGGGGUUUGUUAUGUAGCAUGAGUCCAAGAAUUCCAUGUUGUCGGGUUAUAGUAAAUGAUGGAGGAAUGCUAUACUUUUAUGCUUGAUUGAGUGUGAUAAAUAUUUGUUUUUGUGAGUGUUGAACUACGAAUGGCUUGAUCCCUAUUGAGGGUACGUAGGCAGUCUAACGAAGAGGUUGGAUGCAACCAUAAAUUGUACGAAAAAUGCUAUGAAAUUUGAAUCUUAAUUUAUGCUUUGUACAUAUCUCGGUGGCGAGGUAUGUUAGAUAUACGGGUACUUAGUGACGUCACAUGUCGAUCCUGGACGUAUGUCGGGAUUGGGGCGUGACAAUCAAACCAAUUUAUCUCUUUCUAAAGCUUUCGAACGUCUUUCAAGACUAUGGUUUUAAUGAGUUUUGUGCUCGCGAUUAUGCGUAUGUGCAGAUAUCUAGUUUUGAUCUUCUUCCAGAUGUUGGUAGCAUAUAUUGUCACAUUGUUAAUAUUAUGAUUAUUUUUAAUUGAUCAAUGUGGUUUGAGAAUAUUAUGUGCUUCGUUGGUUAUUCAUUAUGUUACAUGCUGUGGAUGGAAGUAUCGUGUUGAAAAUAUGGAAUUUAUAUGAUGGAUGGAAUGAGAACUUUGAACGGUAUGUUGGUUUGUUUUGUAGCCGGAACUUGGUAAUGUCAUGCAAGUCAAGUUCUAAUAAUUGAUUACAAAAUGCUAUGUAUUCCUGUUAGAUUGCAUUGGAAUAAUUAUCUAAAUUAGUGAACAAUGAACUACGAAUGGUUUGAUCCCUGUUUAGGGUACGUAGGCAGUCUAACGAGGAGGUUAGAUGCAGCCAUAAAGCUUAUGAAAAAUUAUUAUGCAACUUGUACCUUGAAUUAUGCUAUGUAUAUAUUCUGAAGGCGGGGUAUAUUCGAGAUAUAGGUAUUUGAUGACGUCACAUGUCGAUCCUGGACGUACGUCGGGAUCGGGACGUGACAAUUUUAAUGGUAUCAGAGCUUAGGGAUUAGGUCCUCGUACCUUUACCUUAGUGUUGGAACAAUUUUGGGUAAUGUCAUUUGUAACUCUGACGGGACGCUACUUAUGGGUUUGAUCUUGUUGGUUUAGAGUCUUGUGUUGCUUAUAUGACCUUGCUCUUGAGUGGUAUCGAUGUUUUGAGCUCAUGUAUUGUGCUAAUUUAUUCUGAGGCAGAGUAUUAGUCGAUGAAUGUUGAUAGUACAUUGAAUAAGUGGUUCGGUUAAUUUUUAUUUAAUCCCAGAAAAUGUGGUGUGAAAUUCACAUGCAUCAUUAUUACUUCAAAUGGUAGUUAGAAUGCCUUUCAUUUAAAUCAUGGUUAUGGAUGAUUGUGAAAUGGUUGUGUUCGUAUGAUGGAAUGGGAGAAGAAAAUUUUUAAAAUAUCAUAUUUCAUGUUAUAGCUUCAAAGAUGAGUGUUUGACUAAAGUCUCGAAUUAAUCUUGAAUUGGGUUGAUAUUAUGUUAUGCGGUAUUAAAAUUUUGAAUGUUAUGAUGAUUGUGCAAUUGUGAAAAGUAGAUAAAAAGGUCGUACUAUAUAUGUGCAAUUGAGAAAUGUUGUAUUGGGCGGUCAAGGCCCGUGGAUGUUAAUUCGGGCGAAUGGGCCCAUGGAAUGUGAGAAAUGGAUAAGUGGGCUCAAAGACCCAAUGUUUCUGGGGAGAAGCUCCAUGUGUGGGCUGUGAGAAUAAAUUAUCGAAGUGAUAAAUAUGUGUGAUGUGUAUUGUCCAGGUGUAUUAUAAUCUUUUCCAGAUUACUAGUUACUUAUGUGGAUAAAGAAGAAAGAUGAUGAAAUCGUUGUGUUGCCAAUGAUGAUUAUGGCUUGAAAUUUUCAAAUCUUAUGGCCAUGAUAAUUAUGGUUGGAAAUUAUUGUUUAUGAAAUUCAUGAUGAUUUUAUGAGCGGGAAUGAAUCACAACCCGAGGUUAUGAUUGGUUUAAGAUAUAGUAGUGAGUAAUUGUGAUUUGGAAUUCCAAAGAAUUUGGCUGGAAUCUCUGAUAUUUGAUUUGUCAAUUCUAAUGGUGUGGCUUGAAAAUCUAGUAUUUAUUUAGUCGAAGCGGAUUGCGGCUUGAUGUUUGAUAAUUAUUUUGCCAAUGUGUAUGGCUAGAAUUCCUCAUAAUUUUUCUGCCAAUAAAUGUUGCUGGGGAUCUAAGUAUAUGGGUGAGAAUCACGAUGAUUUUCGUUAAUUUAUUUAUUUUGAGCUUGAAUAAACUCAUAGACUGAGGUUAUGACUUUAUUCACUAUAAAUGGAAUGAUGGAGAAAGUUUGUGAUUACAAAUUUGGUUGGUUUGGUUGCCAGAAUCAUGAGUAUAUUGAUGAAUUCUUAUUAAAUGUGGCUUUCUUUGUGCUUGUACCAAGAUUUGGUGUUGAGAUCGUCUUGAAACGAGGAUAAUUGAAAUUGUGAGUUGUGGUUCGAUGUUGUCGAACUUGAUGAUAGUCAAAUUUAAGUAUAUUGAAAGUGUGAAUGUCAUUCUGGCAUCGUUAUCUAUUAAAUGUGGCAUUGGUGAAUAUGGAAUUGAUACUGAAAUUUCGAGGACGAAAUUUUUUUUAGGGGGGGAAAAUGUGAAAUCCCAUUAUUGAAUUUCACUGUUAUAAUCUACGUAAUUGUAUUAUUGAGAUUUAUAUUAUUUUUCGAGAAUUUAUAUUAAUUUACUUGAAAUUAGAUUUCAAUUAAACUAGUUACGAAGAGUGAAGUUUGGAAAAUUACUAUUUACUCGUUGACCUUUCGAGGUCACAAGCAACGUUUUUGAAUAGGUUUCGAAGUCACGAACGUGUAGGCGAAAGCCGUUUGCGAGUCCGGAUUAUAACGGUAUAGUUACGUAUGUUUGAAGUUGUAUGUGGGAGUGAUUUUCCAAUUUUACCCUUAAUUUGACAGCAAAAUGGAUGGAAUUAAUGGUAAGGAUAACAUUGAUGCAUGCCAUAUAGAAUAGGGAGGAUAUCGAUUGAAUAAAAAGAAUAGGGACUAAAAUCAGGAGUUUGGAAUAGUACAGGGACAAUUGGUGAUAAAAAGGCCGGAAGUUAUUUUAUCAAGAGGGGUUUUUUAUGCAUUUCAUCUUGGCUUACUGAUGAAGGUUUUCUACAUGAAUAGAACAUGGCUCGAGAUGGCAGCAGGAAAUCCAUUCGGAAAGGUAAGAAAGGAAAAGGAAGGGGGGAAAGACUUUUCUUGGGGGGGGAGUCUCCUCCUUUCGUCUGACUGACACUUUCCCCCAAGCUACACUACAUCGAUUCUCUAUCUUUGUCUCUCUCUCUCUCUCCUCUCCGAUUCAUCACUGUUUUUUUUAUAUAUGCCGCGAUCAAAGAAGUCAGAGCCGCAGAUUCGACGGCCGCCAAGUAUCUGGAGAUCCCUCUACUUCUUGAAUAUUCAACUUCUUCAGGUAUUUCGGCCAACUCUCCUCCCUUGGCUUUGAUCUAAUUUUCUGUUGUUUCCCAAGAAAAUGAUGGGAUUGAAAAGAAUAAAGUUUUACUCCCUUUUGGGAUUUUUGAAAGGAAAAGUGGAAUUUCAGUUCAAAUUAAGAGGUAUAUUAAUCUUUUGAUUUCUUUUGGGAAUUUCAAAAAUAGAAAAUGUGUAAUUGUGCGACUGUUUAUAAAUAUAUGAUACCGUUUAAGAUUAGAGUAAUUAAUUACUGUUGGUUAAAUUUAAUAGGUGACUGUUGGAAUGCUGUUAUGGGUAAUGUAUUACUGUUUCUUGCAGAACUGACUAAUUUUACUAGUUACAAUGAAUUGUUGGGAAAUUUUUCUGCCUUCCGAUAAACUGAACGUCUUACGGAAGCCUUGUGGACCUUGGUUUAACGGAAUUUGGGUUAUCGAAAUUUGGUUUAUAUUAACGUUCUAUUGAUGUUAUGAAUUUGAACAAGAGGAAAAGCUUUGACCUUGUACGAUCACCAGCAAUUAUGUGCUUCUUGAUAUUUGGUACUGAAUCAAACCAACUUAUCUCUUUCUAAAGCUUUCGAACGUCUUUCAAGACUAUGGUUUUAAUGAGUUUUGUGCUCGUGAUGCGUAUUAUGUGUAUAUAUGUGCUAGUUUUGAUCUUCUUCCAGAUGUUGGUAGCAUAUAUUGUCACAUUGUUAAUUAGGGUGAUUAUAAUUGAUCAACAGUUCCAAUUCACAAUCCGUCCGUCCGUGCGUGCGUGCGUGCGUGCGUGCGUGCGUUAGCGUUGCGUGCUUAGUUAUGACCAUUUGAUCCUAGAAUCCUAUUAGAAGUAUUCUGCAGAAUUUAUAUGCUUCCAUGGUAUGUUUGUUGGUGGCCUUGAGAAAUUGUUGGUGUAGGUGAUUACGUUGUAACCCAUAGGGGUUAAGUGAUGGGUAAGUUGGGUGUGUUGAAUUUUCUGCACUAUGUAGUUGUACAUUGAGUGGUCCUGCUUGGUAUAUCUGCGUUGGGGGACCAUAUGCAUUCUAGAAGUGAGGAGGAUUAGUUGUACUUGGUACAUUUGAUGGGGGAAUCAUAUGCUUAUUCGGAUUCCGUUGAGUGAUGGUCCGGAAUCCAUUCUAUUAUGCGAUUCCGUUGAGUGAUGGUCCGGAAUCGUAUCUAGCUUGUAUUCAUUCGGUCAUCGAUGGAGUGGUUUUCGUAUUUCAUAUGGUUUACUAUCGAGAUUCCGUUGAGUGAUGGUCCGGAAUCCCUUCUACACCACGAUUCCGUUGAGUGAUGGUCCGGAAUCGUAUCCUGGUCUGGAUUCCGUUGAGUGGUCCGGAAUCCCUUUGGUGUCUUGGUCCCUUGGAUUUGUUUUCAGCUUCAAGGAUGUAGGUUUCGGCCGAAUUGCGUUCCUCUAACCUAGUGGUCAAUGUACAUAUGAACGAUGGAUUUUGAGAAUCUUGUGGUUUGAAUUAGAAAAGUCGUUGGAUGUUUGGGUGACUCCUUCGGAGUUAUUGAGACUUGGCUAUGUAUUCAUAUUUAUGAACUUAUAUUUGAGACUUGUAACUGCGCUCGAUGGAAUUGAUUUUACAUACAACAGGUAUGGAUAGAUUGCAAGAAACCGAUUGACAUGGUGGUUCCGUUGAGUGGUCCGGAACCCGAUUUGGUUGGAUUCCAUUGAGUGGUCCGGAAUCCUUACUCUUGCAUAUUUUCAAAGGGUUAGUCCAGAACCCUAGAUUCAAGUGAAUGAGGAUUAUCCACAUUAGACCUUGUGAAUAUAAAAUAGAUUUACCAUGUUAUUGCUCAUAAUCCAAGAAGGGUAUUAUACAGAGUUCCCUGGGUUAAAUUGUGAAAUGAUAUGUUUCUACAUGCGUUGAUUAACAUAAUUAAAUGCUAAGAUCAUAUAUCUUUAAUUCAUGAAUUGAUUGAUUGACGGGAUUGUGGAAUGAACUUGGUUUUAGUUGUUAAUAUUAUGAUUAUUUUAAUUGAUCAAUGUGGUUUGAGAAUAUUAUGUGCUUCGUUGGUUAUUCAUUAUGUUGCAUGUUGUGGAUGGAAGUAUCGUGUUGAAAAUAUGGAAUUUAUAUGAUGGAUGGAAUGAGAAAUUUGAACGGUAUGUUGGUUUGUUUUGUAGCCGGAACUUGGUAAUGUCAUGCAAGUCAAGUUCUAAUAAUUGAUUAUAGAAUGCUAUGUAUUCCUGUUAGAUUGCAUUGGAAUAAUUGUCUAAAUUAGUGAACAAUGAACUACGAAUGGCUUGAUCCCUGUUUAGGGUACGUAGGCAGUCUAAUGAGGAGGUUAGAUGCAGCCAUAAAGCUUAUGAAAAAUUAUUAUGCAACUUGUACCUUGAAUUAUGCUAUGUAUAUAUUCUGAAGGCGGGGUAUAUUCGAGAUAUAGGUAUUUGAUGACGUCACAUGUCGAUCCUGGACGUACGUCGGGAUCGGGACGUGACAGGCCUAGUUGAAUUCAUCAAGUACAUUAGACUUCCAAUUACUUGAGAAUAUUCAAGUUGAGAUAUGACAUCGCCUUUAUUUUUCUCUAACUUGCAUCCAGCAUCAAAAAGAGUUGCAGCAGGUUUGCAGUCAAAUUGACCAAACCUUCGUAAUAUUUUUUCUGCAUAAUGGGAUUGUGUAAGGACAUAUCCUUCACUAUUUCUCUUAAUUUGAAUUCUUAAAAUGACAUCGGCUUGACCUAAGUCUUUCAUGUCAAAACUAGAAUUCAACAUUUUCUUUGUUUUGUUUAUUACAUCUUUAUUGCUUCCCAUUAUGAGCAUAUCAUCCACAUAUAAGCAAACAAUAACACAAGUUUUAUCAUUACUCUUAAUGUAGACACAUUUAUCAGAUUCAUUUAUUUUGAACCCAUGUGUCAACAAAGUAUGAUCAAAAUUCUCGUGUCAUUGUUUUGGUGCUUGUUUAAGUCCAUAUAAUGACUUAACUAAUUUGCACACUUUGCUUUCUUGUCCUUUAAGCAAGAACCCUUCAGAUUGUUCCAUGUAUAUUUCUUCAUCUAGUUCUCCAUUUAAAAAUGUUGUUUUUACAUCCAUUUGAUGUAUAUCAAAGUUGUAUACAGCCGCAAUCGUUAUUAACGUCCUAAUUGACGUCAUGCGAGAAACUGGAGAAUAGGUGUCGAAAUAAUCCAACCCUUCUUUUUGGCGAUAACCUUUGGCUACUAAACGUGCCUUGAACUUAUUAAUGGUUCCAUUUAUGACCAAUUGGUUUACUACCGGGAGGUAAAUCAACCAAUUCCCAUGUGUUAUUUUCCAUAAUGGAUUCCAUUUCACUUUUAAUUGCUUCCUUCCAUAAAGGAGCCUCAGAAGAAGACAUUGCUUCUUUAAAAGUUCUAGGUUCAUUCUCGGACAAGAAAGCAAUGAAAUCUGGUCCAAAGUUUUUAGAAACUUUGAUUCUUUUUCCUCUUCUUGGUUCCACAUCAUUUCCUUGGAUACCAGAAGAAGAGGCUUCAUCAUGACUAUGAUCAUGAACCCUCUUUGUAUUAGAACCAGAUUCCUUAUCUUUGUAAGGAAAUAUAUCCUCAAAGAAUUUUGCAUCCGCUGAUUCUAAUAAAGUGUUGACAUGUAUGUCAGAAAUCGAAGAUUUUACAACAAGGAACCUAUAAGCAGCACUAUUAUUUGCACAUCCAAUGAAUACACAAUCAAUAGUUUUAGGUCCUAGUUUCGUUCUUUUUGGUAAAGGAACUUGCACCUUUGCUAAGCAACCCCACACUUUGAGGGUUUUAUAAGUGGGUUUAUGUCCUUUCCAUAGUUCAUAAGGUGACUCGUCAAUCUUCUUUAGAGGAACCUUAUUCAAUAUGGUAUUUGCAGUAAGUAAAGCUUCACCCCACAAACUGUGUGGAAGCCUGAACUAUUUAACAUGGAAUUAAUCAUAUCCUUGAAUGUUCUAUUUUUUCUUUUGGCAACACCAUUUUGUUGUGGUGUGUAUGGAGCCGUUGUUUGAUGUAUAAUUCCAUGUUGUGCACAAAAAUCUGAGAAGGCAGUAGACUCAUACUCUCCUCCUCUAUCAAAUCUAAGUGCUUUGAUUUUUCUCUCAAGUUGAUUUUCAACUUCGGCUUUAUAUGUCUUAAACAUAUUCAAAGCUUCGUCCUUGCUAUGAAUCAAAUAAACAUAGCAAUAUUUACUGCAAUCAUCAAUAAAAAUGACAUAAUAAUUCUUUCCUCCACGAGUUGGUGUGGAUUUAAAAUCACAAAGAUCACUAUGAAUUAAUCCAAGUAAUUCAUUUGAUCUUUCCAGAAUUGACUUUCUCGUUUGCUUAGCAAAUUUCGAUUCAGUACAUGUUUCACACUUAUGAUUAAAAUCAAUUUCGAAUUUCGGUAAUAAGUCUAAUUCAACCAUUCUAUGCAUGGAACGAAAAUUAACAUGUCCUAAUCUAGCAUGCCAAAUAUUAGAAGACUCAACAAUAUAAGUAGAAGCAUUUAUUUUAUUAACAUCAUCAAUGGCAAUUACAUUGAGUUUCACGAGGCCAUCAGCCACAUAGCCUUUUCCAACAAACAUCCCACCCUUGGUAAGUACAAAUUUGUUGGAUUCCAUUACAAGUUUAAAGCCCUUAGCAAUCAGAAUAGGUCCAGAAACCAAGUUCAUCCUUAUUUCAGGAACAUGCAACACAUUCAGCAAGGUGAGACUCUUUCCAGAUGUGAAUUUGAGUACCACUUUGCCUUUGCCCUCCACUGCAGAUGAGGCAGAAUUGCCCAUAUACAGUUUUUCUCCAUGGGCAGCAGGAUGGUAUUCAGUGAAUAGAUUUUUGUCAGCGCAGAUGUGCUUAGUAGCACCAGUAUCCAACAGCCAUUCACUGACAUUUGAGACCAUGUUGACCUCGGACACAACAGCAGCCAAUUCUCCAUUGGUGGUUGCCAUGUUAGCAUGGUUAUUGUUGUUUCCGUUGGCAUGAUUUACAUCCUUGCGAUGAUAACAAUCUUGUGCCUUGUGACCAGAUUUGCCACACACAUAGCAUGCGCCCUUAAUCUUCUUCAGAUUCUUGCCUUUGGGAGCAAGGGCAGAUUGUACAAACUGCUUGGUUUUAGGAGCCUUAUUCUUCUUCGGCUUGGCCUUGGAGUUUCCUCCCUCAACAUAAUUUGCAUUGGCUUCAAUGGAAGCAAACCCUCCAAAACGGUCUGCCUUUCUGUGGUCUUCUUCCACUCGUAGCCUCAGGAUCAAAUCCUCCAUAUUCAUCUCACGACGCUUGUGCUUGAGAUAAAUUUUGAAGUCAUUCCACGAAGUUGGCAAUUUUUCAAUUAUUGCCCCAACUUGGAAAUGCUCAUUGAUCUCGCAUCCCUCGGAGUGCAGUUCAUAGAUCAAUUUCUGGAUUUCUUCGACCUGAGACAAAAACAGAUUUGGAAUCCACCAUUGUAUAUUUGAGAAACUUACCGAUAACAAAUUUCUUUGAACUGGCAUCAUCAAUCUUAUACUUUUUCUCGAGGGAUUCCCAUAACUCCUUCGCUGUCUUGCACAUAGAAUAAAUGUCGUAGAGAUUGUCAUCCAAACUAUUCAGAAUAUAAUUUCUGCAACAAAACUCGGAACGAUUCCAAGCUUCGAUUGCCAUGACAGUCUCUUUCUUCAUUGGAUUCUCAUUAGACUUCGAAGCUUCUUCCUUGACAACAUGAGCGAGAUUCAUUGUUGUCAGGAAGAACAACAUCUUCUGUUGCCAUCUCUUGAAGUCCAGCCCUUUGAACUUCUCAGGUUUUUCAGAUUAUUUUGGCACAGCGCCAUUCACAUUUACAGAUUGUUGAUCCAUAAAUUUCUAUUUCAAGAUUGUUGGAUUUUGUCAACAAUCUGUGAUAAUUUAUAUAUGCUAAUAAAUAAUAAAUGCAAUAGGAAUUAACAGAAUAUAAACUAGAAUACGAAUUAUAAAAACAGACAACUUGAAGAUCGAGGCUUGCGUACAGUAAUGUCCUUGAAACAGAAAUUUCGUCCCUACUAUGUGCUUGUAGUUCUACGGACGUCUGCUUCACCAAGAUUCAACGAUCAAGUUAAAAUUCCAGCACCGGAAAAUUUAACUUCUGGCGAAUUUAGUGUGAUUCUCUCAGUAAGAAGGUUUAGGAAUGUAGAAGAUGAAGUUGAUUAUUUUCUGUAUUCUAAAUGUCAUGCAGAUAGAUGUAUAUAUAAUGUGAUUAUAUUUGUUCGCAACAGGUAUGAGGAAGGGAUGCAUCUGUUAGGAGACAUCUGCUGAAAAUGGUGUUUUUGUUUCUGCGUUUUCACACUUCAGACUUCAUCUGAAAAGAUGAGUCUGUUGGCAAAAAUAAUUAAUUAAUUUAAAUUCGAAAUUAAAAAUAAUUAAUUAAUUCCGAAAAUAAAUAAUUAAUUUAAUUAUUAGAGUCCAAGGCCCAUCUUUUGACAAUUAAUUAUAUUUUAAUUAUAAUUAAUUAUAUAUUAAUUAGUACACCCCAAAGCCCAACUCCAAGGGUGAGCCCAAUUUUAGUCUUCAGGCCUAUUACUCCAAUCACUUUCUAUAAAGGACAAAACCUUAUAAAGUGAUAAAAUCUUUUGGGAAUGGCCAAUGUGGGACAAAGAAAUUUCCACUCAAACUACUCAAAUUUCCAACAAGUGUUUCCUGAAUAACAAUGGCCGGCACUUCCUCAAGACCAAAGACUACCUUGCAUUUUAUUUCACAAGCUCUGAAGUAUUAUUCAAAUCACCCCAUGAUGUUCACUUAUGAGCAGAUUGGGAUGAGAGAAUAUACAAGUAGAUAUCUCAUGAAUGUCGACGAUUUUGCUGACUAGCCGAACGACUGCGAGUUUCAAGGUUUGAAGUUCUUCUCCUUCAAACUUUCACAAGAAAUAUGUUGAAUAUUUCAUUACUUUAUUCAUCCUCUAGGGUUUACAAUAUAUAGGUACAAGACUUAAUUCUACAAGGAGAGUAAUUAUAAAAGAUGUUGGAUCCCUGACCACAAUGCAAAACAAAAUCAACUGCUUGCAUCCCAAGGAAUAUUAUUUAAACACAAAGGGGUGAAGUGGACCACUUAUGAGAUUACGAAGAAGCUCGACAGGGAGAUUAAGAGUUCAGUUGGCUAUAAGAGUGGACCAAUCGCAAUCCCUGGAUUCAUUGACGCCAAGUCAAUCCCAUUUCCUUCAGCAAAUUUUCAGGCAGCCUCCUCAGCUAAAGUUUUUGAGAGAGGAUACCAUCGCUGAACAAAUGAAGAAGGAAGUGCAUAUGAGUUUUUAGUUCAUCAUCAUGUACUGCUUCGUAUUGUGUUAAGCUUACCGCUAUGUCCAAUAUUUUUCAGUAGUAUGGGAAGUUGGGAAUAUACAUACCUUGUUCUUCUAACAAAAAAGUGGAUCCGAGUACCAAGUUUCAUCCAAAACCACAUCAGAUGCCAGAGGGGUUCCAGUCCCCUUUACUGAAGCAAUAGAUGAUGUUAAAACCACUCUCUUGACAGAGGGGAAUUUUGCGCACGAUUCAAGAACAUUGAGUGUUCCUUUCACUGCAGGCUCAACUAUUUCUGCCUGCAAUAUGGAGAGAACUGUGUUGGUUUUCUAGGCGUGCACAUGUGACAUGAUAAAAUAUUGAAAGUAUGAAGUGAAGGGACAAACCUGUGGGUCAGUGGCUGAGAAUUGUGCAGACAAUGCUGUAUGAAAAACACCUACACAUCCAUCAUCUACAGUAUCGAAAGCUCCUAACAAAUCCACUUUCAACAAAUGAAGCCUUUCUCUUGCUCCAUCUAGUGAGUACGUCUUCUGUUUUCUUUCGAUCAUCUGUGUUUUGCAGAAACAGAAUUAUUGAGGAGGUUUCAAUUGGCAGUUCAGCUAGGCCGAGCGUAGCACCUAAAAUAACAAUAAUAAUUGGAUGCAAAGGAGCUGUUAUUUGCACUCCAAAUAGUCGUCCUGCACUUCCCCUAAUGCUUAGAAAAAGAGCCGGGAGUGAAAUGUAAAUAGGAUGGCAGUUUUAUAUUAUAUGAUAUAAGCAAAGUUGAAAAUACUGACUUGGUUCACGAACAGUGCCUUUGACGGUAUAUCCCUUCUGCAGUAAUUAAGAGCUUCACGAGCCAUGAUGUUAUGUAACCAGAUGCUCCUGUUACAGAAUCUUUGUUUCUCCAAAUAUUAUGAUGGCGAUGUUAACCAAAUAGUUUCGAGCAAAUGAGGUUUGAUUGUCACUUGUGGAGUGCUCAUAAUUUGCAGCAAAUGCAUUUGACUACAGCUCCCUCGUAACCGAUGAGUGUGUUAGUCCUGUGCUAUUUGCAGUCAUUUCUCGCGACUAUAGUACUUUAAUUUAUUUACUGCGUUAACAUACAUUCUAUUUGUGUUUAGAAAGCCCGUGAGACAUGGCUAGAGUUCUAGUCACCUGCAUUUAUUAUAAGGGAAAAAGAUUAAACACGACCAAAAUAUUUAGAGACCUAGUAACAAGAAGAAAAGCAACUGGAGUGCGAGAGUCAAAGUCGAGAAGGCUCUUCAAGACACCAAUUCAUUGGUUUAACAUACUUUUCAUAAUAAAACUAACGAGUUUAAAUUGUCGCCAAACUAAAGACUACGUUACGUUCUGUUGCUCAUACUUGCAAGCAUCACUAGAGGUUGCAUAUGUGUUCAAUCUUUAUAUAAAAAUUGUAAUUUUUUAUUUAGUGCGAUUUUAAAAUUUACAAAUUACAUAUGACUAACAUGUAGCUGGAAGAUUGAGGCAGUCAAAUCUUGAUGAAGCCCUUCUCCUUGAGGCUUUCAAUAGUGUCCCUAAGACUUGUUUCCAGAGGAAGGAAAGUGAUUCCCAAACCUUUUGCUUUCUCCUGGGACACUUGAUACUUUGAGUCUGACGGAUUGACAGCCUCAGCAAGGGUCAAAGUAGGGUAGAGUUGUCGUAAAAUCUUUAGGGUAUCGAAUCCGUCAACAACGUGGCCAACUAAACAAUAUCUGCCACUAGCUGAAGGAACUUCAAAUUCUUGAAUAUGAGCAGAGGCAACAUCUCUAACGUCUACAAAUGGGUAAUUUAGAAACGGUGUUGGGGUACCUGAGCACAAAGGAGAAACAUCGCAAUCAAUUGCUUGCAUCACAAGUCAAGGACAACUGUUUAAACACAGAGGGGCCGGUUGAAGAUGUUCUACUGGCUAUCAACCCAACAGUAAUUAAGUUGCUGAAAUAUACCACUCAUGACAUUCAGAAGCUGCUCAACGGAGGUCAUAAGAGUUGGAUUUAAGAGUGGACCAAUACACAACCGAGGAUUCAUUGACACCAUAUCGAUUCCAUUUCCUUCAGCAAAUUUCCAGCCAGCCUCCUCGGCUAAUAUUUUUGAGAGCACAUACCAUAUCUGAAAAAAUGAACAAGGAAUUCCAUAUAUAUGAGGUUGCUGUUCAUGAUUCCAAGAUGUUCUUCUUAUAGAAUUAUAUAUUUAUUAUAGAAUUGCAACCUGAUACCUAUCUAACCUAACAAGAUUAGAUUUUGUUCCAACUGACAUUAAAAUAUAACAAAUUAACAGCUAACAAAAUGUGAGACUUGGAGAAAGUUAAUACGGGAACAUUAAUACAUGCCUUGUGCUCCUCACAAAAAAGUUUAUCCGAAUACCAUGUUUCAUCCAAAACCACAUCAGAAGUCAGAGGUGUUCCACUCAUCAUGACUGUAGCAAUUGAAGAUGUUAAAACCACUCUCAUGACACUGCGAAAUUUUGCGCAGGAUUGUAGAACAUUAAGUGUUCCCUUCACUGCAGGGUCAAUUAAUUCGGCCUGAAAUAUGAAGAAUGUAUCAUUCCGGACUUUUGACAUCAAAAGUCUUGAAAGUAUGUUGACUUUCUAUACAUACAAUGAUCCCGCAGAAUGAAUCUAAUUUUCUGGACUAUGCAAAUCAUGAAGUAAAUGGCCAAACCUGAGGGUCAGUAACUGAAAUCAGUACAGGGGAUGCUGUAUGAAAAACACCUUGGCAUCCAUCGACGGCAGCAUCGAAAGCUCCUUCUUCUAAUAAGUCUGCUUUGAACAAAUGAAGUCUUUCUUUUGCCCCGUCUAGUGAGCGCAAGUGUUCUGUUUUCUUUGGAUCCUCUGCAUGCAUAUACAAAACAGAACUGAUUAAAUUUAAGCAUACAAUAAGCAGACAUUAUUGGGACAUAUGAUAAAGGAUUGACUGCUCUGGCUGAGGCUGAAAUGGGCAAUUAAGUUGCCAAAACAUAGAUUAAUAUGUCCUUUGGUACCGGUACUACCAUUUCAAGAAAACCUCCCAAAUUAGUAAUCAACUAGUUUAAUCGUGAGGCGAAAUAUGAACAGCAUGAGAUACUACUUCUGCAAUGUCGCAUGGUACUAGUAUAACUUACUGUGGCGAUCGCUAGCCCAACAGCACCAGCAAUAUAUCAUAAUUUCCACUCAGUUCAUGCCUUAAUUCAAACUAGUUAGGACAAAAAUGGUUAGUUUUCUUUCUAGUUAGGAUUAUUUUUUUAAGAAAUGCUAAGAGUACGUUUAAUAAUAAUAACCAUUUCAGUUUUUAUUUUUCAAUUUUCACUUUUUUUAAUACUGAACACUUGUUCGGUUUUUAAGCUUUUAGAAUUAGUGAGAACCGGAAAUGAAAUGAUUAUCAAACGGCACCUAACUGGAAUUCAAACAAAACCACAGGUAAUUUCGUCUUUUUGGAUAAAUGUUUACAAAAACAGCUAAAGCCUUGCCGUUAACUGGAUUCCAAGAACCACACUUGAUGAAAGAUGAAUCAUAAUAUGACAAACCUAGAUCCUGAAAUUUUCUUCCGGAAAACAAAACUCGGAAUUCGAAAACGAACAAUAUUUAAUGAAGUGUUUGAAACUGACGAUUUAGAUGAUAUCAGCAAGUUAAAAAAUACUGACUUGGAUCACGAACAGUGGCUUUGACAGUAUAACCCUUCUGCAGUAAGAGCUUCACCAGCCAUGAUGCUAUGUAACCAGACGCUCCUGUUACACAUACAGUCUUCCCUUGUCCAGUACUCAUCUCUCUCUCUCUCUCUGGGCCUCUGGCAAUCUCAAAAGCUCACAAUAAGCUUUGGUGGAGGCUGACUCAUCUCUCGAGAUUUUUUAGUGAAUACGGUACGUCAUAUGUCAUUAUACAUGUUGGAACAAAUAUGUUUUUAUUUAAAUAUUUAAAUAUAUUUAAAACAGCCAAUUUAUUUUGGCCUUAUCAAUUAGAUAAGGAGUUAUCUCCUCUUAAAUAUAAAACGUGAGAUUCCUUUUCUAUAUAGAGAAGAUGAGCAUGUUAUUAAGCAUAUUCAAACAGUUUUGUCCGUUUUGCCGUUUUGAUUUGCUACGGUUUUGAAACCCAAUUACUCCCUCAACGUUUCUUUAUUUAUAAUAUAUAUAUAUAUAUAUAUAUAUAUAAGUCUAGUACGUCUCUUGACAGAUACAUAUAUAUAUAUAUAUAUAUAUAUAUAUAUUAUAGUGAUGUAAGUUAGGCGGGACCAGUGGAAUAACAGCAUCGAAGCAUGGUGAGAAAAGCUCAAGAGUGUUGAUACUGUAAACUGGAGAAAUGAAAGGUGGAGAAAGCAACAAAUCGGGAGGGUUGACAUCUAACGUUCUCUCUCGGUUGUUUCUCUCUCUUCUGUUGCGGGAUUAGAGUUAAAGCCAUUGCUCCGAAGCCGACCUUUCUCUUCCAAUCACAAGGAAAUCUGAGAUCUUUUUCGGUUCUUCUCAAUACUGGGAGCAAGCAAAUGUUCGUAGCCUUGUAUUUCAAUUGUUGGGCAUGUGAAGUGUGAAAGCGACGGAGACCAACAGAGAGAGAUUAACCCUCCGUCCUGCUCCUUCUCUCUUGCACGAGACCUGCUCGACGAAAUUCCCCAGAGGCAAAAAGCAAAUUCAAGGCACAGACGAAGAAGAAUAUCGUCUUCAGUUUGAGGUGCCUUGUACCUGCUCGACGAAUUGCUCCAGAGAAUCUCCCCUUUUUUUUUUUUUUUUUUUUUUUUUUUUUUUUUUUUUUUUUUUUUUUUUUUUUUUUUCAGGGCGCCCAAGGUUAUUCUGCGUUCAACCUUGCUCUAUGGUGUUGCAAAACUGAAUUAUCAUGGGCACAAAUAUCUUUUGUCCAUGGGGUUUUCUUGCAGAGACGGUUAUGCCGACAACUAAUAUGCCCCCCGCUCAACCACUUCUGAAGGCUAGGACUUUUGCUUCUGUGGUUUCCACCCCAAUUGAAGACGUCCAUCUCAGCCAACUUCCAACUCCGGUUGUGCGCGGGGACAAAACAUAUGUCAAGAUUAGCGAGGAUCUAUACCAAGAACAGUUGAAGUUGUUUCAAAAUAAUCUCCUUGGGCGUUUGCUCCUAAAAAAGGGUUCUACGCCAAUGAAGACCGGUGCUCUAAAAUCUUGUUUAGAAGAUGCAUGGCGCCCUACUGCACCAUGGAACCUGGUUCCUAUAGGUAAAGGCUAUUUUGAUAUCCAUUUCAAUAAGGAAGAUGAUAUGCGACGGGCAUGGGGUGGCGGUACGUGUACUCUCGCUACUGGUUUAUUCAGGUUAUCAAAAUGGACACCAGAUUUUAAACCAGGUGAUGUUCUCCCUCAAACUCAUGCUCAGGUAUGGAUUAAAAUUUUUGGUUUGAGUCAGGAAUAUUGGCAUCCUAGACACUUGAUGGAAAUUGCGAGAGGGGUUGGCACCCCCUUGCAACUAGAUUCAGCUACAAGGGAAAGGCAAUAUGGUUAUUAUGCACGUAUAUUAGUUGAUGUCAAUCUUGCAGGUGAUUUACCUACAUCUCUUAUGGUUGAAAGAGAAAGUCAUGGCUUCCCGGUUGAGGUGGUUUAUGAAAAUUUACCGCCCAAAUGUAGUCACUGUGGUUUGAUAGGGCACUUGGCUAAUAGUUGCAGACAACUCAAACAGAUGUCGAGAGGUCGCUCUCGUAGCCGGACGCGAAAGGGUGGUAACAUGGGGGACAACAAAACCGGAGAUCACUCUCGCAGUCAACUGCACAUGGAAUAUCGUCCCAAAAUAGAUACAACAAUACCAGUUAAUGUCUUUUGUGGGUCACAUGCCUCUGAACCUCUUCAACAGGUUGAUCAAUUGUUGCCUGCAGGUAUUGAGGCAGUGGAUGAUGGUAAUGAUGAGUCCCUGAACAAAGCUCUUGAACCGGUGGUUGAUGAGGCCUUAGGGACCAUUGCCCAAGCUGUGAAUAACUCUGAAUUUGAAGAGCAUGGUAUUAUUCAAUCCCCUGGGAUUUCUCAUAUUAGCAAUUCUAUGACCGGAUCGCUGUCUCUCCUGAUGGAUCACAUCAUCAGAAUGGUCUUUCUUAUGGUCAGCAUUUGGGCAACACCAAUGUGCCUAAUUUUCUUGGCCCACAUGAUCUCUGUGACGACUCUAGCACUCCUCCUGGCUUUGAUCAGGUCGAGACGGUAGCUCAGAAUAGUCAGCACUUGGGCAACACCGAUGUCCCAAAUAAUUUUGGCAUGCAGGAUCCUCAUGACAACCAUAGCAUUCCCCCUGGUUUUGAACAUGUUGCGACAUUAGCUAAGGAUGUCAUCGAUAUUGUCAAUCACAUAGAAGGCUGUGAUAUGGAUGGUUUUACUCCUGUGCUAUCUAACAGUCAAAAGAAAAAACAAAAGCAGCUUGCCAAUCUUGAUCAACCCUGUGAUAAACCAUAUCCGAGUAGGGUCCGUGGAUUACCGGCUCGUUAUAAAUGAAGGUUCUCUUCUGGAAUAUCCGUGGCAUUGGUAACGAUGACUCUCGGACGGAGCUCUCUAACAUCUGUCGGUUGCAUCACCCGGAUUUGGUUUGCAUUGCGGAGCCCAUGGUGACUUUUAAUUCUAUUUCAGCUGCUUAUUGGGAUUCUUUAAACUUAUCUGCUCUUACUUUUAACUCUAGAGGAACUCUUGCCCCCAACCUUUGGUUACUAACAUCUUCGGCUUGUGCAGACCCUUUAGUUAUUUCUAUAUCUGAUCAACAGGUUACGGUUCGCUGUACUUUUGAUCAUAUCCCAAGCCAGUUCACAUUUGUUUAUGCAAGCACCUCAUCUAUCAAAAGAAGAGACUUGUGGGCUGACUUUAUCUCUCUGCGCCCACAAACACACAAGUUCCAUGGAUGGCUAUUGGCGAUUUCAACGCUAUCCUGGGUGCCCACGAGCAGAUGGGAGGAGGCAGACCGUCCCAAGCUUCAUGUGCUGAGUUUGGUAACAUGUCUGACACUUGUAACUUUACCCACUUGAACACAUCUGGGGCAGCCUUUACAUGGUCUAAUGGCUGGAGGUCUCGUGGUCGCACUGAACGAAGGUUAGAUCGCUCCUUGUGUGAUAUAAGUUGGUUUGAUUCUUGGCCCCACUCUAACUGCAUAGCGUUGCCAAAGGUAGUCUCAGAUCAUAACCCCCUUAUUUUCUCUGGUUCUAGAGUUUUGCGCAAUGGUCAUCGUCCUUUCCGUUUUCAAUCAAUGUGGGUUCAACAUCCAUCUUUUCGAGAAACUGUAACUCAUUGCUGGAGCAAUACAGUUGUCUAUGGUUGUCCUAUGUUUAUCAUUCUGCAAAAAUUGAAAGCUCUAAAAACCUGCCUGCGCCAAUGGAAUUUUUCGGUUUUUGGUGAUGUUCAUAAUAGAGUGGCUAAUGCUCGGCAUAAUCUUUCUAUGAUUCAACAAAGAAUUUCAGUUGAGGGUAUAAAUAAUGAUCUUUUCGAGGAGGAGAUUGUUGCCAAGACUACAGUAAUGGAGUCUCUUCAAAUGCAAGAGGCAUUUUGGAAAGAUAGAGCUCGUGUUAAGUGGUUAACUAAAGGGGAUAGAAAUUCUUCUUUCUUUCAUGCUUAUGCUCGUAUUAAAUCAUCCAGCUCUCAUAUCAGUUGUAUUCUUGAUGGUAAUAAUCUUCUUACCGACCCGCUGGCUAUUGAGAACCAUAUUGUUAAUUUCUAUCAGACUGUGUUCGGCUCUUCUUUCAACCCUUCAGGUAUUGAUGAGGUUUGUGAGGUCAUCCAGCCGAUGGUCACAGACUCUGAAAAUGAUCUCUUAUCUGCAUUACCUACUGAUGAGGAAAUUAAGGAGGCAGUUUUCUCAUUAAGUGCUUCCAGUGCGCCAGGGCCAGAUGGUUUUCCAGGUUUUUUCUAUCAUCACUGUUGGGAUAUUGUCAGCUUUGAUGUCAUUCAAUUUGUGAAGCAAUUCUUUCAAUCAAAUUGGCUAUACCCCAAUACCAAUAGUAACUUCUUAGUUUUGAUACCGAAGGUGGAAGACGCUAUUUCCAUGACUCAUUUUAGACCUAUUGCUUUGGCAAACUUUCUCUUUAAGAUUAUUCCCAAAAUUUUGGCAGUUCGCCUUUCUCAUGUUGUUCAACGCAUUAUUUCUCCACAUCAAGCUGCUUUCAUACCUGGCCGACGUAUCACUGAUUGUAUUGGCCUAGUUUCAGAAUGUUUCAAUGUGCUUGACAAAAAAACUCGUGGUGGCAAUAUGGGAGUCAAAGUUGAUAUAGCUAAGGCUUUUGAUACUUUAGAUUGGUCAUUUCUAUUGCGGGUGCUUACUAACUUUGGGUUCUCCACUUGUUUUAUAGACUGGAUUUCUACCAUCUUACGAUCUGCUAAAUUGUCCAUCCUAAUCAAUGGUUCCCCGCAUGGUUUUUUCUCUUGUUCACGAGGAGUGCGCCAAGGGGAUCCUCUCUCUCCGUUACUUUUCUGUCUAGCUGAGGAGGCUUUAUCAAGGGGCUUGAGUCGUCUUCAACUUGAUGGGCUUACUAAGCCAACUUUUGCUCCAAGAGGUUGUAUCUCUCCUUCUCACGUUCUCUAUGCAGAUGACUUAUUCAUUUUCUGUAGAAGUGAUGGUGUCACCCUGCGUAACUUGCAAGGUUUCUUCGAUAGAUAUAGUAGAGCCUCUGGUCAAUUUAUCAAUAAGGCAAAAAGUACUUUCUACUUGGGCUCUACCUCAAGGCAUCGCAAAGCUGUGGUUGAGAGUUACUUGGGUUUCAAAGAAGGCAAAGCACCUUUUGUCUACCUUGGAGUUCCAAUCUUCUGUGGCAAGCCUAAAAGGAGUCAUCUUCAAGCCUUGGCAGAUAAAGCUAAAGCUAAGUUAACUGGUUGGAAGGGGAAACUUUUAUCUAUGGCAGGAAGAGUUCAACUCACUCAAUCAGUUUUUCAAAGUAUGCUCUUGCAUAGCUUUUCUGUUUAUAAGUGGCCUUCUUCCUUGCUAAGGUCUCUUUCACGAUGUGCUCGCAAUUUUAUAUGGUCUGGUGACGUAACCUCCAAGAAGUUGGUUACCGUUUCUUGGCAUCAGAUAUGUGCUCCGAAGAAUGAAGGUGGUUUGGGUUUGCGUGAUCUUGGCUCUCUUAACACUACAGCUCUCUUAAAGCUUGGAUGGCUUAUUAUUACUACUGAUUCCCCUUGGAGUAUUUAUAUUCGGAAACGUUUCAAGCUUCAUGGUCGCCUAUACUCUUGUAGUUAUAUGCGAUCUUCUAUAUGGCCUGGUAUUAAAUCCAUUCUUCAUAUCUUGUUUCAGAAUUGUCGUUGGGUGAUUGGAAAUGGUUCUACUACUUCCCUUUGGGUUGAUAAAUGGCUGGAUAAGCCUAUUGUGGAUGUCGUUGGUGCAACAGAGAUUGCCCCUUCUCUAUCUCGUACUAAGGUCUCAAAUAUUAUUCGUAUGGGACAAUGGGUUAUUCCUUCUAUCUUUUCUUCUACUUUCCCAGACCUAACUAAAGAGAUUUUAGAAAUGCCUCUUCCAAUUGAUGAGGAUAAGGACGUUUUAAUUUGGGAAGCUUCUACUUCUGGUGGUUUUUCUUUUUCCGAUGGCUAUGAAAUUGUUCGUCAUCGGUUUCCUGUCAAGAGUUGGGCUUCCAUUAUCUGGCGUCCUUUCAUCCCACCUCGUUACUCUAUUUUAGUUUGGAAGAUUCUUUUCAACAAGCUCCCAACGGAGGAUCAACUUCAGCGCCGAGGCAUCCCGCUGGCUCCAAUAUGCCAACUAUGUCACAAGAAUUCUGAAUCUAUUGACCACUUAUUUUCUAGCUGUGACUUUUGCACAAUGUGCUUGGCGUUGGCUAGCUACCCAAUUUGGCACUAUUAUUCAACCUAUGGGCUCCCUCUCUGAUCUAUGGCUUGAUUUUCUGUCAAAGCGGUUCUCUCCACAUCUUCGCAAUGUUUGGCUAGCUUCAGGGUUUUUCUUACUCAUGGCUAUUUGGAAGAUGCGUAAUAAAGUGAAGUUUGAAGGCAAACCUCCCUCAUUCUCACGUCUCUGCCACUCCACCUCGGCCUGGAUUAGGCAGGUUGGAGCUCUCACCCCUGGCCAUGUACGAGGCACUUUGGAUCGGCAACUUUUAGUCUCUCUUGGAAUAUCGCCUAACCCCUGUAAAGCUCCUUCUAUUGUCCCUGUUCUUUGGCACCCCCCUCCUUCUUCUUGGGUCAAAGUGAAUACUGAUGGCCUUGCUAAAGGUAAUCCGGGUCCUGCGGCAUGUGGCGGGGUUUUUCGAGAUUCUGCGGGUUAUUUUCUUGGUGGUUUCUCCCUAAGCUUGGGCCAUCGUACUUCUUUCUAUGCGGAGCUCCAUGCUGUCAUCCUUGCUGUCGAAUUGGCCCACGCGCGAGGCUGGCAAAAUUUAUGGCUUGAAAGCGACUCUUCGAGUGUAAUAUCAUGUUUUGCUUCUGGAUCUUUCUCUCCCCCUUGGUCGCUCCAGACACGCUGGAACAAUUGUACUCUCCUUUUGCAGAACAUGGUUUUUCGUUGCUCUCAUAUUUUUCGAGAAGGGAAUGCUGUUGCUGACAAAUUAGCCAAUUUAGGGCUUCUAUCAUCUUCACUUGUCUGGCAUUCCACUCCCCCAAUUGAGAUCCUCCCUCCUCUGCACUCAGAUUUCUUGGGCAUGCCAACCUACAGGUUUGUCUCCUCUUCUUGAUGUGUUUUCUCCUUUCUUUUCCUAACCUUUUUGGAUUCCCUUUUGUUUUGCAGUUUGUUUUGCAGGUUAUUACCUUUUAAGGUUUAUAGAGGGGUUUGGGCUUAUGUCCGCCUAGUCUUUUCCUUGUAUUUUCUUUUCCAAGAGGGGUACGGUCUAUGUCCCCCCCUCUUUUUCCGGCAUUUCCUUUCUCAAAAGGGGUAAGGUGCAUGUCCCCCCCUUUUUCUUUUGUAUUUCUUUUCUCUUGUUCUAUGAGGGGUUAGGUUUAUGUCCCCCCCUGUCUAGGUGUAACUUCUUUUUUCUUAUCAUUAAAAUUCCCUCGUACCGCCGAGGUUCUCCAAAAAAAAAAAAAAAAAAAAAAAAAAAAAAAAAAAAAAAAAAAAAAAAAAAAAGUUAGGCGAUGGUAAAGCAGAAAGUAGAUGAAGAAUUUUUUUUAAUAUAUUGAUUUAAAAAGCAACAUAUCGAAAAUGUGUAAGUUCGAAGGUUCUUUCGGUGUGCAAGGAAGAACUUUAUCAGAAGAAAGGUUAUGGGCUGUUUUAUCCUGGGGACGACGUGGUGUUUGUGAACUGCUUGCACACUUUGGGCAGAGCCGCGAAACGUCUUAAAGAGAGCGACUUAGUCCGCGACUCAUCCCAAGAAUCAUUCACCACUCAAAGGCUUUUACAUUUUCUCAGGUAACUUCGUUCCUUAUUAUUUUCAGUUUACAACAAUUUUAAGACGAAUCAAUCUGCCAUGGAAUCUGAAAAAUAUUUGUAUUGCUGUUAGUGUUACUCUUUAAGAACUUUGUUUUAGAUAUGUGGCAAAUCAUUGUGAUUAUAUAAUCUAAUAUCAAGUUACUAGUAUGUCAACUGUGAAUGCUUUUUGAGCUGCCUAGGUGCAUUCGCUGUAGGACGAGUGAAUUGACUUGGUGAAUGAAUCUAUUUGUGAUCUUUUUGCAAUGUGUGUUGAUAUUAUCAGUAGUCUUUUGAUGGAGAUGACUAGGUGGCUGCUGUGAUUUGUUUAAAUCUGUUUUGUGUACCAUUGUAAGCUUAUUCUUUGAUGUAAUCAUAUGUCAAAGUUCUCAUGUUUACAAUUCAAAAAAAAAAAAAAAAAAAAAAAAACAUGAAAAAUGGCGAUUUGUUUUCGGUUCUAGAAUGAACAGAUAUUUGUGGUAACCGAGUUGAUCUGAGCUUUAUUUGAAAUUGAUCUGUAAAUCAUGCCUUCUACUAACCGAAUUGUUUCUGGCAUAUCAUAUUUAUUCAUGGGGAUAUGCUACUAAUGGAAUGUUUAAAUUGAAUGUUGAUAAAAUGUCAUAAUUGAGUCACUUGAUGUGAUGCUCAGGUCAAUUAUGUCUUUUGGAUGGUUAAGGAAUAAGUUAUAAAUAUCAUAUUUUUAUUUUCUCUCCUCUUUCCUCUUUAUUUUUUUUUUUGGUACAAGUUUUUAUUCAUUCUUUUAUCUUGCUUGGUUCUAGCUCUGAUUUCUGGUUGAGGGCUAUUUUUUUUGGUUUGGGGAAAGUGCUUUUAUGUGUUUUUUUUAUCCACCCUCAGUGGAUAGAUGUACCCAAAACCCUCUUCAAGAUCAAGGUUUUUCUUUCUGAUUCUUUAUUUGAUUCUUGGAAUUGAAUAUAAAGAUUAGUUUUUUUUAGAUACCUAUUAUCUUAAUUUUCAAUUGAUUUCCAUUUGUGUGUAAAAAUCUUGAUGCUGAUUUUUAUGAGAAUAAAUUUCCUUUUAAUCUUCGAAAUAGUGGGGGUUCUAAUUCUUCUAAAAUUUAUGAACCUACUGUCAGAUACCCCUUGAUGGGAGAAGAAGCAGGAUGGUUGAGAUACCCCUUUAUGGGAGAAGAAGCAAGAUGGUUGAAAAACCUACUGUCAGAUACCCCUUUAUGGGAGAAAACGAUUCCAGUCGUAUACGGUCUGAAGAAAAUUUAGUUGAUCCUUUCACGAAAGGACUAACAUGAGAAAAAGUUUGGAAAAAUCCUUUGACGAAAGGACUAACAUGAGAAAAAGUUUGGAAAACCUCGAAAGGGAUGGGACUAAAGCCCGUAGAAAAUUGAGUCAUUUGAGAUAGCAACCCAACCUAUAGACUGGAGAUCCCAAGAAAUAGGUUCAAAGGGUAAUAACAAGUCACAAGUGAUAUGAGUGAAGUCUUGCUAAUUUUAAUUUGGAAUAUUAUUCCAUGUCCAUCCCUAAGAAGCAUGACAUCCUGAAGCGUUUUUAGGUUGAGAUUUUUUCUCUUAAUAAGGUCUAUACUCUAUGUUGAGUGAGAUAUCAAGCUACAGGAAUAUCCUUGAUAGUCUUACCUAUGUGAAUGUGGAAGUGAGGCCGCUUCCUAUGAAAUCUUGGGCAAGUUUCUAGAGCGUUCACUAUACUGGGAUACAAGCACAUGGCCGUAAUGUGCUGGCUUUUUAAACUUCACCUUAAUAAAGUUAUGUGUGUGGUGUUGUCAGAGAUAGAGUUCAAAACUAUAAGUUACUCUAGUAUAAUCUGGAUCACUAACACUAUGUACAGGUUCAAGUUGAGAAACACCUUUACUUAUGCAUAGCUUUAUGAUAUGUUGCUUGAUAUAUAGUUUUUUAAAUAAAAACAAGUGGGGGAUUGUUGGAACAAAUAUGUUUUUAUUUAAAUAUUUAAAUAUAUUUAAAACAGCCAAUUUAUUUUGGCCUUAUCAAUUAGAUAAGGAGUUAUCUCCUCUUAAAUAUAAAAUGUGAGAUUCCUUUUCUAUAUAGAGAAGAUGAUCAUGUUAUUAAGCAUAUUCAAACAGUUUUGUCUGUUUUGCCGUUUUGAUUUGCUACGGUUUUGAAACCCAAUUACUCCCUCAACGUUUCUUUAUUUAUAAUAUAUAUAUAUAUAUAUAUAUAUAUAAGUCUAGUACGUCUCUUGACAGAUACAUAUAUAUAUAUAUAUAUAUAUAUAUAUAUAUAUUAUAGUGAUGUAUGUUAGGCGAUGGUAAAGCAGAAAGUAGAUGAAGAAUUUUUUUUAAUAUAUUGAUUUAAAAAGCAACAUAUCGAAAAGGUGUAAGUUCGAAGGUUCUUUCGGUGUGCAAGGAAGAACUUUAUCAGAAGAAAGGUUCUGGGCUGUUUUAUCCUGGGGACGACGUGGUAUUUGUGAACUUCUUGCACACUUUGGGCAGAGCCGCGAAACGUCUUAAAGAGAGCGCUUAGUCCGCGACUCAUCCCAAGAAUUAUUCACCACUCAAUGGCUUUUACAUUUUCUCAGGUAACUUCGUUCCUUAUUAUUUUCAGUUUACAACAAUACAAGUAGAAGUUAGGUGCAGGGAAUUUUUUUUUUUUUCUUUUUCAAGUGUCCCUGCAUUUGUAUAAUAAUAUAUGACGUAUGUGCCUAUUGUUGAAGUUAAGAACUCAGAGAGGGAAAUUCAUUUAGAGAGAGAAAGAGAGAUGUAGAGAGAGAGUGAAAAAUGUAAUUGUAAUUCUCAUUAAUCAAUUGAAUAAUACACAUGGUAUUUAUACAUAAAUAUCCUAUCCCAAUAUAUGUGCCAGCUCAGCAUAAAGUAUAUAACUAAUCACAAACAUUCCAAGCAUAACAACCUAGUGAAAGAAUCUAAUCUGGUGGAGGUUGGGAUGCAUUGCUGCUGCGUGCCAAGCGUCAUGAUCGGAGGGUUGGAGAGGGCACUCUGAGGAAGAUUUGCUGGAGAAUUAGGGUUUGCAGGAGGUGGAGAAGGAGAAUCCGAAGAGGAUGCUGCCGCCGACAUAGCAAGAGGGGCUAAAUUGAGAAGGAAAAAGAAGAGAUCAGAGAAGUAGGGAUCUGUUUGGAAGAUCAGAAAAUGCAAGAACAGCAAGAAAAUUGCUAGAAGAGGGAAGCGCCGGAUCGGAGUCGGUUAGACGAUGGUGAUGAUACCAUGUUGAAGUUAAGAACUCAGAGAGGGAAAUUCAUUUAGAGAGAGAAAGAGAGAUGUAGAGAGAGAGUGAAAAAUGUAAUUGUAAUUCUCAUUAAUCAAUUGAAUAAUACACAUGGUAUUUAUACAUAAAUAUCCUAUCCCAAUAUAUGUGUCAGCUCAGCAUAAAGUAUAUAACUAAUCACAAACAUUCCAAGCAUAACAACCUAGUGAAAGAAUCUAAUCUGGUGGAGGUUGGGAUGCAUUGCUGCUGUGUGAGAUUAUACUCUUAACACCUGUGUCCCAGACGCAUUGAAAAAUCUAUCCAUGCUCUCAUCCUCCACCAUUCAUUUGAGGUAACAGGAAAGCAAUCUCCAAGUAUUUUUUAUUUCAUUUGUAAGCAAUCUGUUAGUUUCUUAAGCCUCUAAUCAAGGCGCAGUUUAAUAUAAAUUGAUUAAAACUAAUUUUUAUUCAAUUAAUACUUAAAAUCUUGACUUUCACUAAGAAAUAUCCAAGUCCUUAGCGUUGAAGGCAUGGAAAAGAAUCAAGACUUAGCUAGUAGCCUAGUACCCCACUCAUUGCACCAUUUCUUGAUUAGAAGUUCAAUAACGAUUGGUGCAAACAGUUUAAAUUUGUUUCAUUUUAAGUUUACAUAUAUUUUCUGUUUGGUACACCUAACAUUCCAAGUUCCAACAACACAACUUGGAACUUCUCCUGGCCUCCCAUUGGCUUUGGCAGGAACCUCUGAGUACAAGGGACUCCCCUCCUUUUGGGGCAUCAGUAAAUUGGUAGCUCUCUGUACCUUUUGAGAUUGUUAGAAAUAUGUUUGCCCAAGACAAGAGAAGGGAACGAAUAAAAACUGGUUUUAAUCAUUCCAUUAAUCACGAGAAAAAAGUGUAAACUUAGCAACUGAAAAGUAAGUAUGAGCAAAUACAAAUGUUGUAUAUGAAGAUACGUACACGUGAAAAGUGAAUGAACACAGGACAAAAGGCAAGAUAGAGGCAUCUCAGACAAGAAAUCUGUCAUAUCGAGCUAGAGAUAUGGGUAACGGGUUAAGAUGUGUGGUUUUCCACCAGAAUGAUGAUACUCAGUUGGGAAAAUGCGUCAACUGGUAAUCAUACUAUACAGAUUAUCAAAAGAGUAAACCAGAGGUGUAUUUGCCUAGUUUGGAUCUAGUGUUCUUAAGCUUUGAGGAAAAUGAAUUCGAUUGAAAAUUCAAUUAUCAAUUUUUUGCGAUGGUUGAAGGUCCUGAACUGUAAGAGUGCAUCCGGCGUGUUGUGUGACCGUCGUAGGCCACUGAAGCUCAAGGGAAAAUUUUAUAGGACGGCAAUAAGGCCAGCGAUGUUGUAUGGCACAGAAUGUUGGGCGGUGAAGCAUCAACACGUACACAAAAUGGGUGUAGCGGAGAUGAGGAUGCUUCGUGGGAUGUGUGGGCACACGAGAAGGAUAAGAUUGGGAAUGAGGAUAUCCGAGGUAAAGUAGGAGUAGCCGAAAUUGAAGGAAAGAUGAGAGAAAAUCGAUUCCGGUGGUUUGGACAUGUGCAAAGAAGGCCGACUGACGCUCCGGUUUGAAGAUGUGACUACGGGACAGAUGUUCAGGGCCGAAGGGGUAGAGGAAGACCUAGGAAAACUUUGGAAGAGACCCUAAGAAAAGACUUAGAGUACUUGGAUCUAACGGAAGACAUGACACAAAACCGAGCGCAAUGGCGUUCUAGGAUUCAUAGGCCGACCCUACUUAGUGGGAAAAGGCUUUGUUGUUGUUGUUGUUGUUGUUGAAGGUCCUGAACUACAUCUAGCUUAUAAAGUCAGAGAAAUCUGCCGUCCUUCAAGAGAGUGACUAAGGACAAUUUGAACAUUUAGAUUGGACCAGCUCUGUGUUAUCGCCGGAAGUUCAUAAGAAUUGACAGUUGUGCAUUCGAACAAAGGCAUGUUGCAUAGGCACUUGUGGCCUGAUGUCUUCAAGGGAGGACACAUUGAAGAACGACGAUAUUGGGGAAAGAAAUCUUAAUUUUCAAAAUUAAGAUUCCUUCGAAGACAAUAAAGUAAAACAAUUUCAACUUGAACUUUUUUAUUUAGAGUUAUUUUGAAACAUUACAAAUUACACAUGAACCAUAGACAAAGAUCUAAAAGCAAUUUCAACAGGAAAAAUAUUGUUGAGUUUUGGUUUCAAUAUUUGUUGUAUAUUUCAUUAUGAAGAUUACAAGAGAGUGAAGGCAACUCUUAUAGAGAGCCAAAAGAAAGCUACAAUAGAUUGUAGGAUAACUACACAAACACAAUCCCUAAAAUCUGCCAUAACAAGUGGAAAAGCAAAAACCAAAUUACAAGAAGAAGUUUUUACAAGCAACUAAGAAAGGUUGAUGUAAGGUGAAUGACAAGCUAUGGAAAGUGAUUGGUGAAUGACAAGCUAUGGAGAAAGGUUGAUGUAAGGUGAAUAACAAGCAUGGAGAAAGGUUGAUGUAAGGUGAAUGACAAGCUAUGGUAAGGAUGACAACUCAUACAUACAACCCAUUUAUACUUUCAAUACACCCUCUCAAGCUGGAUCAAGGGGAUUGAUUGAUCCAAGCUUCCACAACAAACGCUGAAACUGAGUAGAGUGUAGUGCUUUUGUGAAUAAAUCAGCAAGUUGAUCGUGGCUGCGUGUGAACACGGUGUCUAUCACCUUGGAUUGAACUUGAGCACGAAUUAAUGGCAGUCAACUUCAAUAUGUUUGAUCCUUUCAUGGAAUACUGGAUUGGAGGCAAUAUGCAUGGCAGCUUGGUUAUCACAAUACAAGGACAUAGGUGUCAUGCUUGUGAAUCCGAGCUCGAAAAGAAGACCUUUCAACCAUAUGAGUUCACAGGCUGUUGCUGCCACAGCCCUAUACUCAGCUUCGACACUAGAUCUAGCAAUAACAGUUUGUUUCUUGCUCUUCCAAGUGACAAGGUUCCCUCUAACAAAUGUGCAAAAACCUGUUGUGGAUUUUCGAUCAAGGGCAUUUCCAGCCCAGUCAGCAUCUGUGUAGGCCAAGAUGUGAUUUAAUCCAUUGUUCUUCAUAAUUAUCCCCCUUCCUAUUGAGCCAUUGAGAUAUCGAAGUAUUCUCUUGAUGAUUUCCCAGUGAACUAGAGUAGGAGAGUGCAUGAACUGGCUGACUAGGCUAACUGAAUAUGAGAUAUCAGGCCUAGUAAUGGUGAGAUAAAUAAGUUUCCUAACCAUUCGCUGAUAAACACUAAGGUCCGAAAGAGGUUCACCUUUUUCAUGUCACUGAAGUUUGCUAGCUAGGGGUGUCCGAGCUGGUUUACAUACCAUCAUGUUAGCUUCAUCUAGAAGAUCGAGAACAUACUUUCUUUGAUUCAAGAACAAUCCCUUUUAAGAGGUAGCUACCUCAAUUCCACGAAAGUAUUUCAAGGGCCCCAAGUCUUUAAUGGCAAAUUUUUGGUGAAGUGACUGCUUAAGCAUCUUGAUUUCACUUAUAUUGUCACCUGUAAUAAUUAGGUCGUCAACAUAUAUAAGCACAACCAAUUUGCCAGUAAUACUACUUCGAACAAACAAAGAAGAGUCAGCAUGACUCAUUUUGAACCCUGUAGCUUCAAGGACUGAACUAAGCUUUGAAUACCAAGCUCGAGGGGACUGUUUGAGACCAUAUAUGGCUUUGUGAAGUCUGCAGACCUUGUUGGGUUCAUUUUCUCUUGAAUGACCAGGAGGUAACUUCAUGUACACUUCUUCUUCAAGAUCCUUAUGAAGAAAUGCAUUCUUCACAUCCAUUUGGAAUAAGGGCCAUGCAUUAUUGACUGCCACAGACAACAAUACCCUCACUGUGUUCAUUUUGGCAACAGGAGCAAAGGUAUCCUUAUAGUCAAUGCCAUAGGUUUGAGUAAAGCCUUGAGCUACUAAUCGUGCCUUGUGUCUUACAAUGCUUCCAUUGGAGUUGAAUUUGGUCUUAUAUAUCCACUUACUUCCCACGACCUUCUUGCCAUUUGGAAGAUCCACCAUACUCCAUGUCUGGUUGUCAUUCAGAGUUUGAAGCUCUUUAGUCAUAGCAUCUUGCCACUCAGGCAUGCAUGUGGCUUCAUGAAAAUUCCUUGGUUCGAAAGUGUGGGACAAUUUGUUAAGGAAAAAAGUAUGAGAAGAUGAAAAUCUGUGAUAAAAAAUGGCCGCAGAGAUAGGAUGCCUUGCAGUGUAAGUAACAUACUCUUGUAACCUUACUGGUGGAUGUCUAUCUCGUGUAGGAUUUCUUCUUGGUGCACUUAUAGCUUGCUGAUUUGGUUGAGCUUCUGAUGGUCCAGAUGAGCUUGGCACUGCAUCAAUUACACUCUCAGUGAGUUGAGAAUUAUCAGUGUUGAUAUGAGCAGGAGUGACUUCAUGAAUUUCUGCUGGAAUAGGUAGUGGAAAUAGGUCCAUAAGAUCUUCCAUAUUUGCAUUAGUCUCCAACCCUUUGUGGAAAUAAGGUGAAUAUUCAUCAAAUCGCACUUCUCUAGAGACUGUGAGCUUCCCCUUGUUAGGGUUGUACACUUUGUAACCUUUUUGAGAACUGGCGUAUCCCAUAAACACACAUUUGGUAGCUCGAGGGUCGAGUUUGUCACGAUGGAGAGCUUGAAUGUGCACAUAACAAGUACAACCAAAGGUCCUGAGGUGAGACAAGUUUAUAGGCCUGCCCUUCAUGACUUCAAAAGGAGAUUUAGUAUUCAACACCCGAGUUGGCAGUCUAUUAAUGAUGUAUGUGGCAGUGAGUAGGGCUUGAGACCAAAAUUUCUUAGGAACAUUCAUUUGGAUCAUAAGUGAUCGAGUCUUCUUCAAUAAGUCUCGAUUCUUUCUCUCUGCCAGACCAUUUUGUUGUGGUGUACCAACACAGCUAGUUUGAUGCAAAAUGCCAUGAUUGCUCAAGUAAUUACUCAUGUUAUUGGAAGUGUACUCGGUACCAUUAUCUGAUCUUAACAUAUAUAACUUAGAUGAAAAUUGAUUGGUGAUUAGGUUGUGAAAGUCCUUAAAAACAUCAAACAAAUCACUUUUAAGUUUUAAAAGAUACAACCAGGUUACUCUGGAAUAGUCAUCAAUAAAUGUAACAUAAUAUCUAUACCCAUCAAAGGAUUCUACACAAGAAGGACCCAAAAUAUCAGAGUGAACAAGCUCAAAAAGUUUUCUAGUUCUAGAAUUAGAGGAAACAAAAGGAAGUCUAGUGGCCUUUGACAUUUGACAAGUUUCACACUCCAAUGUGUUUUUACAAAAAAAGGGAAACAACUUGGUCAUCACAUGUUCUGAGGGAUGGGCAAGGCGUUGAUGCUAGAGUUGGUGUUCCUGAACUUGACUUAAGUUGACACUGAGCUUUUUGAGAGAUAGUAGAGUCCAUUCAAGAAGAACCUGACACGCUCCGACCCUGAUAUUACCCGAAUACCAGGAUAGGCACAUGUUGGCCGACACCCGAGGGUGACGAAAGCCAUUAAUUGAUACAAAAGCUAGGAAUAAGAAAUAAAUACGGGUUAUGAAUUACAAAAAAAACAAUGAAUUAACAAAACGUGUUCAGAGCAUACAGCUAAACCUAGUCACUAACAAGAAUUAAGAUAAGAUUGAAUGAACAAAGGAGUGGGUCCUACCCCGAGAGAACUCGAAGAUGUCGCUGCGGAAGUACCUUGAUGCCGGGAUUAUGUGCCUUGAUCCUAAGUCCUGAAUGGGGGCGCAAAACAAGGGUGAGUGGACCAAGCUUGUAUAUAUACAUAAUACAAAAACAGUUAUGAACAUACUAACCCCCACAGUUUAUAUAAUGAAAACUACUAGCAUAAUAAGUGAUAGCUUUUCUGAAACCUCUAGCAUGCCAUAAAACAAUUCAUAUAUCUAUCUGCAAAUCAAUCUCAGAAAAUCAUAUCAUAAAUCAUAUCAGGAAGCAUAACACAAGUUGUGAUGCUAGUGAGUGCACUGAAUAAUAAUACUCCCAGCCCAAUGCCUGCACCUCAGUCUCUGUGCCCGUAGCCAGAGAUAUCUCCCUCCCGACCCAAUGCCUAUCUCCGUGUCCCUCAGCCUUUCGCUAGGGAUUAUAUCUCCCAGCCUCAAUGCUAACACCAGAUCCUCGCCCCAGGCGGCAUAGUGUUCACUAGGUACGCACAAAACAUAAUACAUCUCUAAAAUACAACUUCGUAGCAUAAAUUCAUCGAUCCUCUAUACUACGAAGAGGUGUUCAGAAAUCAUUUGAAACGCAUUCUUAGCAUCCUAUCAUCAUCGAUCAGAUAGUCUACCAGAAUGAGGGUUAUAUAGAAAAUAUGAUAUAAUGAAAAUAGUUUAAAAUAUUUAUAUAUUAAUCAUAAUUAAAUCAUCAUGCUUCCUGUAAAGUAUUCCUCAAAUCAAUAAUUCUGCAAGACAUGCUAUUAAAUUAUGCAAUUCUAUAAAUAAAACAUGCAAUUUUGAAGGUGGUCCACUCACAGAUACUUCGAAGCAGCAGAAUUGUGCGGAAAAUGAUUAAGUAAGUCUCCACUACUUCACCUAAGCACGAAAAUGUACAAUUUAAUAAACUACCCAAAAGAUAGAAUUUUAGGAAAUGGAAAUGGGUUUUGGGUUGAGUGGGUUAGGGUCUAAUAGGUGAGAAAAAGGGGUUUGGGCUUAAGCCUAAACCCAUAUUCACAUGCACUGCACACCCACACACAGCAUGCAUAAGCAUGCACUACACACACACACACGGCAUGCAUAAGCAUGCACAGUACACAUACAACACACACACACACACAGAGUCUCACGUCACAUACACAUACACAGCAUACACAACCCACGCCUACACACGCACACACGCAACACACCAUAUACGUGCACACACAUGCAUGCACACCGUACAUUCACACACAUACACACGGUACACACUCACAUCCACAACACACAUACUCACAUCCACAACACACAUACAUACACUCACACGACUCACGCACACACCCACAACACGUACACGCACGGCCCAACAUCCUACACCAACAUACACACACCUGCAUAGCAUGCACGGCAUGCACACACAUACAUAUAUAAUCACACACCUACACACAGUUCACACACCACUUGCACGGUAUGCACAGCAUGCACACACAUACAUAUAUAAUCACACACCUACACACACAGUUCACACACCCACUUGCACAACAUAUACAACAUGCAUAUACAUAUGCACGGACACACAUACACAUAUGCACUGCACCGCACAUGCACAUAUGUAUUGCACCACACAUGCACAUACAUAUACAUAUAUAAACACACACACACCGCAUGCACAUGCACAACAUAUACAUACACAUGCACAUGCACCUGCACACACACACACACUCACAGUACCACCAACAAAUAGCAAGGUAAAAUAACUACCUGGGUUUAGGUUCGAAGGGAUCCGUGCAAUCCACAGCAACAAACUCGCCGGAGUUCGUUGUCGGAACCGGGUUCUGGGCAUAGAGAAGAGAUAAGGUCAAAACCAUCGAUUUUGACCAUAAAACCAACACAACAGUGUGUGAUUAAACCCAGAAAUUUGAAGAAGGAACACACUUCUCACCUGGGUUCGAGUUUUAGAGCUUUAAAGCUAUCGGCUUCAAUGGCAGAAAAGUCCACAAUGCUCUGAUGGCGCAUGCAAGGGUACCAUUGAGUUCGUUAGGUCUCAAGGAUUCCAAAUAUAUAAAUUUUAGGCUUGAUUUGUUAUUGAUUCGAAGGGAAGAGGGGUUGGGAGUUCUCGGAGCUUAGAGAGUUAGAGAGAGUGAGAAGAAGAAACUGAAAAAAAAAAAAAAGAGAGAGAGUUCUGAGAUGAGUUUCGGAAAGAGAGGGAAGAAGAGAGAGAGACUAGAAACAAAGAUAUAAAAAUAAUGCGGGUCCCACGGUUCCAAUUAAAAACUAAAGAAGUCAUUUUAAUAAGUAGAAAGUGGGUGUGGUUGUAACAGAACCUUUCACCAAUCUUCUUCUGAGUAACUCGGUCCUGAAACACAACAUUGUGAGGGAAAAAUAUGGCAAGACAGUCUAAGGUUUUUGUGAUUUUUCCUAUUGACAAAAGCUGAAAAGGAAAAGAAGGUACAUAAAGAGCAGUGGAAUCAGUAUGCUCACUUAGCAAUCUAAUCUUUCCUUUCCCUAGAAUAGUUUCCAUUUUCCCAUUUGCAACAUAUACAUGAAUUGGAUCAAUAGUUCUUUGAAAAUCGUGGAGACUAGAGGGUUUAUUAGUUAUAUGAUCAGUGGCACCAGAGUCAAUAAUCCAAAAAUCAUGUGUAACAUUUGCAUUAAGAGCAGUGGAAAUGGCACUGAAAUACCUAGAAUAUUGCCUUUCGAUGUGUUCUCCAAGUCAGCCAAGAAUCCAGCAAAUUUCCCUAGCAUUGCGUAGGGUUUUUAGGUGUCAUUUCAUCAGGUUCAGUGCUUCCUUGCUUCUUUUGAAGAAAAACAGCAAACUCGUUGAUCAAGGACAUAGGAUUUGUUGAGAAAUUGGUCAUCCCAUCAGUUGAGGAACAAGCUGAAUGAAAUGCUUUUGGAGUGACUCCACCCUUCCCAUCUUUGAUCAUCCUGCCUUCCCUAUCAAACUUAGGCUUUAACUCCGGAUGAAGAAUCCAACAUUUUUCUCUUAAAUGUCCCUUCAUGUUGCAAUAAGAACAUUUCCAGUCUGCUUUCUUGCCAAGCACCCUAUCACCAGUUGCUUUGUGAUUUGUCGUGAAAACCCUAGCUUCAGAGUUUGAUUUAGGCUCAACGUUCAUCACUCUUCGUCGAGUUUCCUCUCUUUGGACUGCAUGACACACAUUGGUAAAAGAGGGCAGCUCUUGAGUCAUUAACAAGUGACUACGCAAGUCUUCAUACUCCGCUCCCAAGCUUGCUAAAAGUUGAAACACCUAGUCUUCAUCAGCCCUUUUGAGUAGCACAGCGGAAUCAGUCGUGUGUGGACGAUACAUAUCGAGUUCAUUCCACAUGGAUUUCAUACUUCCAAGGUGUUGAACAAAGGAGUGAUCACCUUGCUUUAAACUAGCCACACUCUUCUUCAGUUGAAAGAUGCGAACUGAGUUGUUUUGGCUGCCAUACAUAUCUUUGACAGACUCUCAUAGGAGAAGGGAAGACUUUGAGUAGCUGAAAAGCUCAGACAGUUUUGGCUCCAUGGAGUUAAGUAACCAGGACAUGACCAGCUGAUCAGUAGCAUGCCAUGCAUCGUAAGUUGGUGAAGUGGAUUCUGGGGGCUCAGAGCUUCCAUUAAUAAACCCUAGCUUCGAUCUUCCUCCUAGAGCAAGUGACACAGCUCUUGACCAAGGAAGGUAGUUGAACUCGUUCAGUAGCACCGAGCAGAGUCGUUGAUUUGGAUUGUUCUCAACCCCUUAGGUUAAGUUUGGGGAAGAGGAUGAGGCACUAUCGGCACUAGACACAUUUUCUUCUGCCAUCUCUAUCGAUGAUGAGCAAAUGAAGAAGUAAAAAAAAUAAACAGAGUCAGGACCCUAUGGUUCCUGCUCUGAUACCAUGUUGAGUUUUGGUUUCAAUAUUUGUUGUAUAUUUCAUUAUGAAGAUUACAAAAGAGUGAAGGCAACUCUUAUAGAGAGCCAAAAGAAAGCUACAAUAGAUUGUAGGAUAACUACACAAACACAAUCCCUAAAAUCUGCCAUAACAAGUGGAAAAGCAAAAACCAAAUUACAAGUAAAGAAGUUUUUACAAGCAACUAAGAAAGGUUGAUGUAAGGUGAAUGAUAAGCUAUGGAAAGUGAUUGGUGAAUGACAAGCUAUGGAGAAAUGUUGAUGUAAGGUGAAUGACAAGCAUGGAGAAAGGUUGAUGUAAGGUGAAUGACAAGCUAUGGUGAGGAUGACAACUCAUACAUACAACCCAUUUAUACUUUCAAUAAAUAUAACGUCCAGCAUCUCUUUGGAAUACUCAAGCAUAAAACAAACUUCAUUUCCCAAUUAUUUGAUCGCCUCGUGCACUAAAUUAAGAAAUUGCUGCAGGUUGCAGAAUUCAAAACUUGAGGAAGCCCUUCUCCUUGAGACUUUCAACAGUGUCCUUGAGACUUGUUUCCAGAGGAAGGAAAGUGAUUCCCAAACCUUUUGCUUUCUCCCUGGACACUUGAAACUUCGAGUCAGAAGGAUUGCCAAGCUCAGGAAGGCUCAAUGUGGGGUAAAGCUCUCGUAAAAUCUUUAGAGUAUCGGGACUGUCAGCAACUUGGGCAACUAAACAAUAUCUGCCACUAGCUGAAGGAGCUUCAAAUGCUUGAAUAUGAGCAGAGGCAACAUCUCUAACGUCCACGAAUGUGUGGUUUAUAAACAGUGUUUUGAUACCUGAGCACAAAAGAGAAACAAAACAGAAUCAACUGUUUACAUCACAAGGGUUAGUGUUUUAACAUUAAGGGGGUGAAUUGUACCACUCAUUAAAUCCAGAAAAUACUCGAUGGACAGAUUAAGAGUUGGCUGUAAGAGUGGACCAAUGACAAUCCCUGGAUGUAUUGAUACCAAGUCAAUCCCAUUUCCUUUAGCAAAUUUCCAGGCGGCCUCCUCAGCUAAAGUUUUUGAGAGAGGAUACCAUUGCUGAACAAAUGAAGAAGGAAGUUCUUAUGAGUUUGUAGUUCAUCAUCAUGUACUGCUUCGUCUUGUGUUACCUUACAUCUUUGUCCAAAAUUAUUCAAUAGUAUGGGAACGCACUUACCUCGGUCUUCUCACAAAAAAAUGGAUCCGAGUACCAUGUUUCAUCCAUAACCACAUCAGAGGUCAGAGGUUUUCCACUAAUCCCUACCGAAGCCAUAGAAGAUGUUAAAACCACUCUCUUGACAGCGGGGAAUUUUGCGCAUGAUUUUAAAACAUUAAGUGUUCCUUUCACUGCAGGAUCAAUUAUUUCUACCUGAAAUAUAGAGAAAAGAAAUAAAUCAUUCUUGUUUCUACAUCAUUUGUCUUGAAAGUAUAUCCAUUUUCUAUGCAUGCGCGAGCGCGUGCACACGAUGGAAAAUUUGAUGCACGGAUGAAGUGAAGGGACAGACCUGUGGGUCAGUGGCUGAAUAUUGUACAGGCGAUGCUGUAUGAAAAACACCUACACAUCCAUCAACUACAGCGUCAAAUGAUCAUUCUUCCAAUAAAUCCGCUUUGAACAAAUGAAGCCUCUCUUUUGCUCCAUCUAGUGAGAGCAAGUGUUCUGUUUUCUUUGCAUCAUCUGUAAAAGAACUAGGGAGUUGAACUAAGAAUACAGGAAGCAGGAAAAAUGGCAAACAUUUAGGGGUGGAUUUUUUUGCCAAAUUGCCGUGCCAACCGAAUUACCAACCGUGCCAUACCGAUUUUGUGCCAAAUUUUUUGUGCCAAUCGGUAAUGGUACGGUAUUGUACCGUACCGAAAUUUCUUGGUACGGUAUUGGUAAUGGAUAUCAUUGCCACGGUAUUACCUUACCGUACCGAACAUAUAAUAUAAUAUAUAAUUUAUAAAUUAUAUAAUAUAUAAUUAUAUAACACAUAUUUAUAAUAUUCUAAUAAUUUGAUAUGAUGAAAGAGGCUCAACCUCGGUUCAAGAUUCCAAAUAGGAAGAAGGUUGCGGCCAAUGUGUGGGAUUUAUAUGUGUUGGAGAAGUUUAAGUUAUUUGAAGCAAUGCAUAAUCAAAAGGUAAGUAUCACAACCGAUACUUGGACAUCGGUACAAAACAUUAACUACAUGGUAGUUACCGCUCACUUCAUGGAUAGUGAAUGAAAGUUGCACAAACGGAUCAUAAACUUCAUAAAGAUCACGGGUCAUAAGGGAGAAGACAUUGGGAAAGUUCUAGAGGUGUGUUUGAACCAAUGGAGGAUAGAGAAGAUCUUUAGCAUGGAGGAAACUUCUAUUUGUUUUGGUUCGUAACUUCUAUUUGGAUUGUAAGCUUAAUUUUCAUCAUGAAUCUUGAUGCAUCAUUUGAAUUAUUGUGUGUGUGAAUUGUAAAUGAUGAAUAAUAGAUGAAUUUAGGCUACAAUGUAUGAGAUAAAGGUACAAUAAAAAAGUUUUGCCCUUGAAUUGGGUUAAAAAAGCAAAAACAAAUUUUGUCCCAAAACAAAGUGGCAAUUACCAUUGCCAUACAAUGCCAACCGAACAUUUGGCAAUACCGAACUUCGGUAUACCGAAAGUUUGGUAUGGUAAUGGUAAUAGAUUUUACCAAACCGAAAGUUUGGUACGGUAAUUGGUACGAGGGUUUUGGUACGGUAACCGUACCGAACCCACCCCUACAAACAUUUACUAACUCGCUGUGAGGUUUCAAUCGGCACCGAAAAACAAGAACAAGAAUAAUUAAAAGAAAAUAAUUGGAUGCACGAGAGAUGUCAUUGGUACUCCAAAAUAGUCGUCUUGCAUACAAUCCUAAUGUAAAAAAAAAAAAAAAAAAAGGAUGGGGAGGCGUGCAUGGUGAUUAUUUGGAUACCCAACUUUUCUUUGGUAAACAAAACAAUAUGCAAAAUCCAGAAUUUGACAUUGUUGAAUGAAUUGUUUGAAAUUGAACAUUAUAUAUGAGCAAGUUAAGAAAUACUGACUUGGAUCACGAACAGUGGCUUUGACAUUAUAACCCUUUUGCAGUAAGAGCUUCACCAGCCAUGAUGCUAUGUAACCAGAGGCUCCUGUUACACAUACAGUCCUUGAUUCUCCGGUACUCAUCCUAUCUCUCUCUCUCUCUCUCUCUCUCUCUCUCUCUCUCUCUCUCUCAGAAUUAAUAAGCUUAAUUUCGUUCAGUACUGUGCUUUUCAUGGGGAAAAGUCAGCUGGACAUCAAAGGUCAAUGUUGCCAACUUGUCUUCUUCAGCUCUGAUUACUUUUGUAACGGCAAGUCAUUGUUUAUAGGUGUACCAACUUAUUCCAAAUAUUUGCAAGAAAUAUUAAGAGUCCUUUAACUGAGAUUUCUUUAAAAGUAGUGAAGUAAAGCACCAACUUCAUAGCAGGGAUCUAGUUUUACUCUAGCAAAAACAGGAUAUGGACGGACCAUCAUAGGGACUAUGUUAUACCGGUUCCUACAAGGGCUUUACCGUCCAGUUUUUGCCACAAUAAAAUGAGAUUCUUGCUUAGUAAAGUAAUAGUUUUAACUCGAACUUUUCAUUUAUAGUUAUUCAGAGACUUAACUAAUGAUUUACGUGCAGGAACUUUUCUUUUGGUAAACAAAACAAUAUGCAAUUCAUUCAAUAUAGUUUUCAGCUUUCAAUAUUGAGAUAUUCUCUCUUGCAAACAUUUCACCACAUGACAAAUUUUUAUUGUACGGUUGGUUUGUAUUUUACCUAUAUGAUGAACAUUGAUUUGCCGAGUCACGCCACUAGGACAAUGAAAUGGUUGUGAGAGAAAAUCUCUCAUUAAAACUUAUGGUAUUGCAAAUCAUAGUUUAUUAUGAAUGUUGACAAAACAAAACAGAAAAAUAUUAUGAAGGAAGAAGAAAUAUUAGUUUUGGCAGGAUAUUUCAAAUCCAAACACUGCAAACAUUUCAACACCUAAUCGGAAAUGGUUCAAUAAACCAGUUUUUCCAUUCCUUCCUAAGCUUAUUUAUCCAAUUUUAUAAGCUUGUUUGGUAAUAAGUAGAGCAACCAUCCACAUCAACAAUUAAAGUGUUCAUACUUUGAAAUCAAAUUACAUCAAUUGCCAUUGAAUGACCCACUCCUGUUGUGAAUAUUCCUGACGAUUCCUGUGGAUUAGCAUCCAAAUUUGAAUUUUGAAUUCAAAUGAAGCUAUGAGAACUAUAAGGAACAUCUCUGCAGAUGAUGAAAACAAACGUGACAAAUAUCUGGUUCGGGUUUUUCUGGUAUUUGCUACCUGGAUAACAGGUAUGGCACAUCCCCACGAUAUUUCAAAUACAUGAUUCGUGAUAUAUGUGAUUGUGUUAUAUAAGUAUUGUUCCAGUGGCUUUUGACAUUGAUUGUAUGUUAUAUAAGUAUUGCUCCAGUGGCUUUUGACAUGAUUCUCGAGCUUUAUAUGUGAUUGUGUUAUAUGUAUGACAGGUAGUUGAGAUUGUAAAAAUACUUAUAUGACAGGUAACUUGGAUUGUAAAAGAUCAACUGAAAUUUGGGUUAUGCCGACACUUAAGGAACCUGACAUAAGUAAUUAAAAGCCUCCCUAAAAUAGAUUGAUAAGUAUUUUAAAAUCCAAAAAACAUUAUCAAGAAAUCGGAAAGCAGAAGAUGAAAGAAACAAAAGAAUUACUCUUUUCUAUGAUGGAUAACUAAUGAUGAUACAAAUCUAAAAUGUGGGAAAUCUAUGGACAACGUUUAAAAGCUAUAAAAGGGUAGAAUAGCAAUCACAAUGUAAAAAAAUCAAUCUAAUAACAAAAAGUGCAGACAUAGUAUCCUAGUCAUCAGACCUAAAUAAACAAUAACUAAAAAUUGGACCAAUCUUAAUGUUGGGCCAUAAAAUUAGACCUAUUUCAAGUUACCCAUUAUUUAUUUUGGGAAAAAGAGUCGAAGUACAGUUUAAAGGGAGUUAAGUUUAAAGCUUUUGAAUUGGACGGAUGUUCUUACUCUUUUUUCAACAAUGAUGCUGAAAACAUAGUGGGAUGGUGCACAAACAUGUUAAGAUCCGAUUGUUUCAACGAAACUUGUUAGAAUCCUGUAUUCUGUCAAAUCACGAGAACAUGACUGAGAAUAGAUGUCCAUCAUGAACUACGACAGUAAGGGGAAGCAACAAAUUAACUUAUAGUGUACAACGAUUUAACGAGAUCAGAAACUGUUAGAAAAAUAGGGUCUAAUUACUAUAUUAAAUUACAUAGAUAAUUAAAAAAUAAGUCAUGCAAUUAUAUAUCAAAGUAAUACAAGCAUAUGAUCAAUCAAAUGAACAUGACAUAAUGGAUUAACAAAAGGUAUAAUCAGUCGAAGCAAAUGUUAGAUACUCUAUCCUUAAAACAAAUUUACGUCCCAUUACAGUACUUAUGGUUGAUCGGCACUUGUCUCCCAAUAUACAAAGAUCACGUCCUUGUAAUAGUAGCACUUUAAAAUCACAAGCUCUAACGAACCAGGAUUAUGUUGAAUACUUUGUCAUAUGGACUCUUUGGGACACUACAAAACUCUAACAAUAGUGCACUAUGUGUAUGAAUAUAUGAAUGUAAAAGUUAUAUAAUGAUUAUAGGGGUCUUUCCUAUUUAUAGAAUUUGACAUUGGGAUCUCCAGUCAACUAGGUUGGGUUUCCACUAUGACUGCUCUUAUUACGGGUUUUUAACUCAUUCCCCUCGAUGAUACAACUAACUCUCUAUUCAAACCUUUAAAUUAAAUUGGUACCAUUAGGUUGACUAUCUACAAUUUAUGCCCAUCGCAAACUUCAUAUCCAUGCGCGGAAAUUAUUUCCUUCGAGAGUAGUUGUUUAAGUCUUCCAAACAUAUAUUGGGACUAUCUCUUUCUAGAAGCAAAUUACUUUCUUUUUUCUUCUAAAGUAUAAACCAUUUCUCAAAGACAGCUAAGUCACCCCCACAAUUCCUUCACAUUGUGGUUUCUUUGAAGCCUAAUAACUAGUCUUUUCUAUGAGAAGCACUUAUGGUUGUGCACUAUUAAUAUGAUUAUCUUGUAGUGCAAUAGCAAUGACAUCACGGUAUAUAUGUCUCAUAUUACAUACCAUUAAAUGCAUCAUAUGUGUUCACUAGGACGCAGACAUGUAAUAUUAUGUAUGCCAUAUACACGAUAUCUCAAGCCUUAGUCAUCCUCUAUUAACGCACAUCGGCACAUAACCAUGCGUAAACUUUACAAGUGAAAAGAAACAUCCUUUCAUGAAAAAUUAUUUCACCUUUUCUCAUAUUUUCUUAUCGCCUCUAUAUCAUGCCAAGAGGCAAGAGAUAUCCAUUUAAUUUAUCAAAUACAACCAACUCAUGUUCCUUCAUAAUACCUCACAUACAUAUCCAUACCAGUUAAAAGUCAUGGCUGCAUUCAAAUCCAGUACUAAACUCACAAGGGAUAUCGUUUUAAUCCACUAAUAUUUCUUUAGGAAAUAUCGGGCACAACCAAACAUCGAAUUGCUCAGCAUUUGUCCACAAAUAUAUAUGGGAAAAAUCGUCGUUCAGGCUAUCGUGAGUCUCAACCAAUUGGUUGGAACAGAGACCAUGUAAUAGAUUUCCAAUUGAAACUUAUCAUGAUUUACACCCAAACCUUAUUUCUCUUCCAAUAGAGUUGUAACUUCAGAUUGCAAAAUCUGAAACAAAAAAAAAUGAUGCCUUUCCAGCCGUUUUUGUUAGGUUUGAUGAAAUGAUGGAACUUCCAGAGACACGACAGAUGGCAAAACACACCAAGCAUAUAGAAGACUCAUGCAUGUGUGUAUGCAGUAAAGAUGUUAUCUCAUUCUCAGGUCUUUUAUGUACCAGUCUCGUACAAUAACCAAGACCCCAACUGUGUCCUUUGGUCAGCCGAGGUAACCCUUACCAGGGUUGCAUUAGUUUCAAAAGACACUUUCAGACUUCUAGUUGAUCAACCGUAACCAACCAAGAAUCUAAUUCUCCAAACUUCUAAAGGAAAUUAAAGAAAAACUGCAAACUUAGAAGCCAACGUGUAAGAGAAACUUCCAAGUAUAUACAUAGAUUGUAGACAUAACUUCACAACAAUAUAUAUGCAAAGCAUAGAGUCGCAAGGGUUCAAGUAGUCGAAGUGUCGAAAUGUCAAAUUUGAUAAGGCAUGAUAUAUUAACCACCAGGAUUUGAAACAUUGAAUCAUGCUUUGCAAUAAACAUGCAUACCACAACCAUAUAUUAAUCAAGCUUUGAUCUCAUAUAAUCAAUACUAUUCAUAUUUUCAAUGAUAAACGAAUAUAUGUACCAAAAUGACAAAAACAUGUAAUUGAAUACCAUAUUUUCUGUCAACCUUCAAUAGCAACUAAAUUGAAACUUGUCUUUAGAUUGUUGGAAAAAUAGGGUCUAAUUGCUAUAUUGAAUCACAUAGAAAAUUAAGACAUAAGUCAUGCAAUUAUAUAACAAAGUAAUACAAGCACAUGAUCAAUUGAAUGUUAACUAAACAUGAUAUAAUGGAUUAGAAAAACAUAUAAUUGGUACAGGCGAACGUCAAACACUCUAUCGACAAGUUUACUGCCCACUACGAUGCUCAUGAUUGAUUGGCCCUUGUCUCCCAAGAUACAACGACCACGUCCAUCCUUGUGAUAGUAGCACUCCAAAAUCACAAGGCUCCAAUGAACCACGAUUGUGUUGAAAACUCUCAUAUGGACUCAAUGGGACACUACAAAACUCUCUAACAAUAGUGCACUAUGUGUAUGAAUAUGUGAAUGUAAAAGUUAUUUAAUGAUUAUAGGGGUCUUCCCCAUUUAUAGAAGGGGUGUGCUAUCCACACACCCCAUUUUACUUCUCACACCCUCUGUUAAUUUCUAUCUGUUGAUCUUCUUCAUUUCAUCUGAUCCGACGGCCAAAAAUUAAAAAGGUGUGUGAGAAGUAAAAUGGGAUGUGUGGAUAUCACACCCCUUUAUAGAAUUUGAGAUACCUCUUUAGAAAGCAUGUAACCAUUCAUGAAGAUUCAAAAGUUGAAACUAUGCAUUAAAAUAGACACAUAUUUUCACCCAAAGGCAUCACUUCUAAUUUCCAUUCAAUUAAUAAAUAUAAUAUAAUAAUAUUACUAUUAAAUUUUCCAACAGAAACUUCACUAAUGACCAUUGAGGCCCAGUCACCUAUGUGGCUGUCUACCGAUCAAUCUAAGGAACUAAGGCCAUCUCCAAUCAAAGGCUAGCCAAAUGGCUCGUUUUAGCCAUCUGGCUCUCCAAGAAAUUAAUAUUUUAAUGAACAGUGCAUGGCCAUAUUUCUUACCAUCUCCAAUCGAUGGGCCAUAGGGUCAUAGGCCAAACAUAGCCCUGUGACCAAAAACUAUCUCCAACUGAGGGCCAAAUGGCUAUAAGGUCAAACAUAAUUUAUUAUUUAAAUUUAAAAACUACAACUUAAAUUUAAAAAGGGUGAAAAUUAUGUGAGAAAUGAUGUAGGAAUAGUUUAAGUAUUUAUAAGAAAAAAAGGGGAAUUUAAAAAAAAAAUUGAUCCAAAAAAAAAAAAAGAGGACAAUAUUGUCGGAUAUAUCCGACACUAAAGAGGACAAUACUGUCAAAUAUAUCCGACAGAAAAAGUAUUAAUAAUGAAAAAUCCAGCCCGACCCAGGGCUAGCUAGAUUGAACCAGCCGGUUGGCCAUUUGGCUUUUUUUUUCUAGUGGGGCAAAUAGCCCGAACCCAGCCAGCUGGCUAGUGGGCCACACGGGACAAAAAAGGGCCAAAGGGCCAACUGACUGACCCAACCCAACCAACCCCAGGUAGGGCCGCUGAUGUCAUAUUUGAUAUUUUUUUUUUACAAAAUUUUUAAAAAAAAUUAAAAAUUCUAUUUUUUUCCUAUAACUUCCUAAGUCAUUAAUGACACGCCUGACCUCGAUAUUCCCCGAACACAAGGAUAGGCACGUGCUGGCCGACAUCCGAAGGUGACGAAGCCAUACGAACAUGCACGCAAAGUAAUGAACAUAAAUAAAACUUAUAAGAUUAACUAUAAUUAAUAUGCAAAAUGAGGAACGUGUUCAGAGCAUACAACUAAUCUAGAACACUAAAAAGAAUAUAUAUAAAAUUGAAUGAACAAAGGAGUGGAUCCUACAUCGAGAGGACUCGAAGAUGCCGAUGCGAAAGUGCUUUGACACUGGGAUUGUACAUCUUGAUUCUAAGUCCUGAAGAGGACGCAAAACAAAUAUAAGUGGACCAAGUUGAUAUAUAUAAUAUUCAAACAAUUAUCAACAUAUUAACCCCAGGUUUUAUGAAAACUCAACAGGUUUUCCGAAAACCCUAGCAUGCCAUAAAACCUGUCAAAACAUAACUCGUAUAUAGCGUAAUCACUAGUGAAUGUCCAGUCUCAACUCCAGGCCCUAUGCCCGCUUCUCGUCCUUGUGCCGUAGCCAGAUGAAAUUUCUUCAGACCCUAUGCCAGCUCCGUGUCUCUCAGCCCGUAGCUAGAGAUUAUUUCUCCCGACCCUAUGCCAACACCAUAAACCUCGCCCGUAGGAGGAAUAAGGACCACUAGGUAAGUACAAAACCAUUGAACAUAGUCUUUCCAAACAUAGGUACAUAAAUCUCAAAAACAUCUUCAUAGUAUAAAAUCAUUCAUCAUCUAUACUAUAAAGAAGUGUUUAAAAAUAUGUUCUAAAUAUUAUAUCGUCAUGCAUCAAAUAUUCUAUAAAGAAUAUGGGUUCGAUAGAAAAUAUGAUAUUCCAAAAUAUUCUAAAUGAGCACGAUACUCAUAAUAAGGUAAAUCCAAUUUACUCAUAAAACGUUAUCUAAAACAUGAUCAUUAAAUCAUGUUUUUUAUGUAUGUAUUUCUACUAUUAAAACAUGCAUUUUAGAAGGGGUCCACUCACCUUACACCGUUGGUGAAGAGUCGUGCAAACAAGUGUCUCAGUGUGUGUACAUGUUUGAUUGUGAAACCCAGCAACUGAGCAACAAAGAAAGAAGGAAAGCAAAACACCAUCCAUUAUUCUACAUCGUGAAAGCCCGUAAAUUCCAUUCAUGAAUGUGUUCUCUCCCAUGAGAAUCUGUGUAAGAAACAACCCAGAAAAUGGAUUGAAACUUACCCAAUAAUAUCACUAUCAACAACAACGUCAUUUCCUUCUUUAAGGAAAGAUUUUCCAGAAAACAUAAACUCGUCAUGCCUGUUUAAGCAGACCAAAACACCAUCGUCUGUAGCUCAAAUCGAAAAGCCAUCCUCAUGAAAGUUGUUCCUUAACUCAUGAUCUACAACAUAUCCAAAUUUGAGAUCCAUCGGAGCAGUACAACUCCAGAAAUUCAGGUAUGAUAUGUGACUGUUCAUCAUUUGUCUGUCAACCCGUCAGACCUGUUGUGAGCUUCGAAACUCCAUUUUCUUUUGCUCAGAUCAACGUACUUUCUUCAUCGAAGUUGUUCCUCAUCAUCUCUUCCAUAACAUAUCAAAAAUUCAUAACGAACUAACGGUUACAUACUUCCAGAACUUCGAAACACCAUGGCAGCUUUGAAAUCUGCAGAAAUCCGACCGUCAUGUUUGGAGCUUCAACACUCUAACUUCCCUUGCUUAAACAGAAACAGUUCCUUCUUGAAAGUUGUUCAUCUGCCCAGUAUCUAAAACAUAUCAAAAUUUCAGAAAGAGACAACGGUGCGAUUGUCCUAGAUGCUUGAAAACCAACCCAGCCUCCAUUUCCGCAGGAAACUGGACAACCAUGUUAUGAGUUCCAAAACCCCAUUUUCCAUGGCUCAGAUCGAGAAAGUUCCUCCACAAAAGUUGCUCAUCUGAUCAAGAACUAUAAAAUGUCCAAAAUUCAGCUCCACUGAAGAACAUAAGAAGUUGCAUAAAUUUGAUAGAAGAAAGGAGACGGAAGAGGGAGAGAGAGGGAGAGAGGGAGAGAGAGAGUUGUAGAGUGAUGAGAGAUGGGAGAGUUUGAGAUCAAAUCUUCUGCACCCAAAUUUGGCGUGGACUCUCUGUAGCCCCAAUAAGUGAUUGACACAUAUUAAAUUCAUAACAACAAAAUUUAGAAAAGUUAAGAUAAUAACUGCAUGUCAAUCAUUUAUUGAGACCACAGAGAUGCCACACCAAAUUUGGGUGCAAAAGAUUUGACCUCGACGAAAAUGGGGGACACAAAAACAGAAGGUGGCCCCUUGGCACACUAAUUAAGGUUUAAAAGCAACCCAAUUUAAAACAAACAUCCCAACAUUAGUGAAAUUACAAAAUACCACUUUUGUUCUGUAAAAUUCAGGAUGGGUUGUCACAAUUAAACAACAUUAAAUAACAUUAAGUAACAUAAAACAAUAUUAAAUAAUAUUAAACAAGAUUAAAUAACAUUAAACAACAUAAAAAUUAUACAACAUAUAAAAUAUUUAAUAACAUGAAACUUAAACAACAUUUUUAAAAACAUUUAACAACAUAAAACUUAAAAGCCUACUACAUGCUUAUUUUGGCCCAAAGAUAUGCAAUAAGAUUCUGUUAUAGGUACUUGUUGUAGUUUUUAAAUUUAAUUUGUACUUUUUAAAUUUAAGUUGUAGUUUUUAAAUUUAAGUUGUAGUUUUUAAUUUUAAAUAAUAAAUUAUGUUUGGCAUUUUGGUCCUAGGUUGGAGAUGGUUUUUUGUCACAGGGUUAUGUUUGGCCUAUAGCCCUCUGGCCCCUCGGUUGGAGAUGGUAAGAAAUAUGACCAUGCACUGUUCAUUAAAAUAUUAAUUUCUUAGAUGGCUAUAGGGCCAAAAAGAGCCCUCCGACCCUCCUUCGGUUGGAGAUGGCCUAAAAAAGUCCUGACAUGAAUAUUUUUUGGGAGAGGAAUGUACCGAAGUGACGCAUAACUUAAUCUCAAUGGAACGUGCAUGGCAGCUAGGCCAUAUUAUUUUCUUUGAAACAGGAAACAUAUGACUUUCAUCAUCUCUUUGGAGUACUUAAGUAGAAAUCAAACUUCAGUUGCCGAAGAUGAAUUGUUGUCCCAGUUGGAUAAAUCAAAUCUACAAGAAGCCCUUCUCCUUCAGGCUUUCAACAGUGUCCCUCAGAGUGAUUUCCAACGGGAGGAAACUAACUCCCAAUCCUUUUGCUUUCUCUGAGGAUACUUGAUACUUUGGGUCUGAAGUAUUGCCAAUCUCAAAUCUGCCAACAAUACCAAAAAUAAAUAAAAUAUCCCUUAGAAAUAGUUCUUGUAAUGGCAAUGUCGAGCUUUCGGUUUACACAAUUGAAAUUAUUUUUGUACAAGCAUCUGUAAUUCUUGUAAGAAAUUCCUAACUGUUGCAUAUUUCAUUUUCAAGUCCAAACGUUAUUAUGUCUACUCUAUGAAGGAACUUACCUUCAAGCAGAGUUGACCAUGUUUAAUUCUAAAUAAAGACAUGACAUUAUGUGUGGUAAAGUAAACAGGCACAAAUUUGUGGUAUUCUGCAUAUGAAACUUACUUUUCAGGAAGCAAAGUGGGGUAAAGUUCGCGUAAAAUCUUCAGAACCUCGAAAGUGUCUGCAACAUGUCCAACUAAACAAUAUCUUCCACUUGCUGAAGGAACUGCAAAUGCCUGAAUGUGAGCAGAGGCAACAUCUCUAACAUCAACGAAUCUGAAGUUUGAAACAGUUGGUUUGGUACCUGCACAAAAGAGAAACGUUAGACAAUCAACUGCCUGCAUCAAAAAAUUAGUGGAAAAUAAAAAUGGAAGCAACCGGCUGAUAAGGUCGGAUAAAUUUACGCAAAUGUUUUGACACAUGUAACUUAGUAACUUUACGAAGUGUACCAGUGAUGAGUUUCUGAAUCGGCUCCACAGUGAGAUUAAGAGUCGGCUGUAAGAGUGGACCAAUCACGAACCCCGGAUGUAUUGUAACCAAGUCAAUCUCAUUUCCUUUAGCAAAUUCCCAGGCAGCCUUUUCUGCUAAAGUCUUGGAGACCAUAUACCAUUGCUGAACAAAAAGAAUAAGGCAGACAAUACAAGCAUUGUUCAUCUCUUUUAUAAUUGCACCCAAACACCUAGUUUGGUCCUAAGAUUAGAUUUUGUUUCGACUGGACAUGGAAAUAUUACAAAUUAACAAUGAAAAAAAAAGUAAAAAUUGAAAAAAAGAGAUUAUCGGAACAUUCAUACAUACCUUGUACUUCUCGCAAACAAGUGGAUCGGAAUACCAAGUUUCAUCCACAACUACAUCAGAGGCCAGAGGUUUUCCACUCAUCAUUACUGUAGCCAUAGACGAAGUUAUAACCACUCUCUUCACGGUGGGAAAUUUCACACAUGAUUUUAGAACAUUAAGUGUUCCAUUCACUGCUGGGUCAAUUAAUUCUGCCUGAAAUAUGGAGAGAGAUAUCAUGUCGGUUUCUACAUCAUUUGUCUUGAAAUUAUGUCAGUUUUCUACGCGUGCACGCAUGUGUGAUAGAAUAUUUGAAGCACAAAGUGAAGGGGCAAACCUGUGGGUCAGUAGCCGAGAAUAGUACAGGAGAUGCUGUAUGAAAAACGCCUUCACAUCCAUCAACUACAGCAUUGAAAGAUCCUUCUUCCAGUAAAUCUGCUUUGAACAAAUGCAGCCUGUCUUUUGCUCCAUCUAGUGAGAGCAAAUGUUCUGUUUUCUUUGGAUCAUCUGUAGCAUACAUGAACGGAGAACUGUGAGUUGGACCAAGAAUACUACAACCACAUUAGAUGGGGAUAUGUGUGCAAGGAAAAGUAGCAAACAUUGACUACAGUCAUUGCCGAGGGUUCAAUUGGCAAUUGAGUUAUGCCGACCACAGCAUCCAUAACCGAAAAAAAAGAAGGCAAAUACGUGGUUCCUCCAAUUGCAAAUAUCGUCUUACUCACCUGCCAAUCACAAUUUCAUGUGUACAGAAAUUGUUCUUUAUGUGUUUGUAACGAGUUAUUUCUGCAUACUUGUCAAACUGUGAUUUAAGGGACAGAGGAAUGACUUCUUCCGAGGAAAGAGCCAAGAAGUGUCCAAAGAAAGAGAACACAAACUUGAUACGAAUUGUUUCAACUCUAUCAUUUAUGCAGGAAGUUUUGGCUAAAAAACUUGAUCACUAACGGCUAGCAAGAAUGUCAAAAACAGGUCAACGCCUUGCCUUAACUGGACUUCAAGAACUACACUUGAACUCCAGAUGAAGAACUACACCGAAAGAUCCCGAAACUUUCUUUCGGCCAAUGAACCCAUAUACAAAACCCGGAAUUUGAAAAAGAAAAUUAUCGAGAACUGCUUGAAAAGGAACAUGACGUAAGAAAAGUUUAGAAAUACUGACUUGGGUCCCGAACAGUGGCUUUGACAGUAUAACCCUUUUCCAAUAAGAGCUUCACCAACCAUGAUGCUAUGUAACCUGAGCCUCCUGUUACACACAGAGUCUUUGUUUCUCCGGUACUCAUCUCUCUCUCUCUCCUCUCUCUCUAGAGGUUAGAAUUAUAAGCUUAAUUUGGUUCAGUAUUGUGUUUUUCAUGGUGAAAAGUCAGCUGGACAUUAAAGGGUCAAUGUUGGCAACUUGUCUUCUUCAAAUCUGAAUACUUUUGUAGUGGCAAAUCACUGUUUAUUAUGAACGCUGACUAAACAAGUGUUGGCAGGAACUAAAUUUAAAUGGCCAAAUUGACGAUAUAUGUGUAGUUGCAUAUAAAGUAAAUAAGGCACAGUGUUUAUAAGGUUCGGCAAGUGUGCUUAUGUAUUUGAAGGAGCAGCAUUUGUUUCUUUAAGCUUUUCGAUAGGUCCAGAAUAAAGACGGCUCUUCAAGACACCAAUUAAUUGGUUUUUUAAGCUUUUCGAUCCAAUCUAAUCCUACAUUUGAAAGGUCUGCACUAUUCAUAAUGAGAUACUCCAAAGAGACAAUGCCAGUCACCCAUUCAAGGUUAACAAUAUACAAUCCUGUUGUGUUUGGCUCAUAUAAUUAUGAGUUGGCAACAAUUUUGCAUAUGUAACUUUGUGAAUGCUACAAGGAAAUGGCAGCAGCCAUUUGUGACUUUGUAUUUGGCUUUCGGUUGUGGCAUGGAAGUCUUCUUUCAAGAGAAGAUAUGGUGACUGCCACAAGCUAAGUUGGAAGCAAGUAGGUCUUGACUUUGUGUUUGCUUGCAUGCAAUUGUGCAUUCUUUCUUUUAUAUGCAUUAAAUGGCAAAUGGAGAAAAGGGUUGCACUCUAUAGGCUAGGUACAGCAAAGGGGUGCUGAAUAUGCCAUGUGAACUCAAGACUUUUUGGUCUUGGCAUAAUUGCUGGUGCAUGCCUAUAAGUGAAGGCAAUAGUCAUGCAUUGUAUGUGCACCCGGAGGAGAAUACAGAGAGAAAAUAAAAAGUGAGUGAGAAACUCUUGCAGUUUUAAACAUUAAAAUUCGGUUUCCAGUUUAUACAUAAGCACAUUCGGACUACUUUAGCCAAGGAGCAGACAAUCUUGCACACCAAGUCAUUGCCGCCAUGCCGACCACAACGAAAGUUCGAAGUGCCAUCACAUUCACAACCUUGGACAACAGAUUAUACAAAAACAAAGGCAAUAAUGGAUACAAAAAAUGUGUCCGGGAGUGUUUGUUGCUGCAUAUAUUUAUAAAUGGACUACUAGUUUAUGCGAGGGAAAGUUAUAAACUUAAGUUAAUUUCCCAACAAACCUGUUACAUUAGAGAUUGACAAACUUGUUGAUUUUUUUUCACCAACAUUUGUUGGUGUGCAAAUAAGUAAGAGUCGAGUUAGCCCACUCCAUACGUUGGGCGUACUUGGAUUGCUUCGAGUCCCUUUAUUGUCUUCCAACUCAGAGCGGUUGAGUUGGGAUUCUACUUAUACAUUUUCGACCUGUGAUGUCUGAAUGUUCAGGAUCCAAUACAAAGUCCAAACUUCAAAUUUCUCAGUAUUUAAAACGCAGUUGAAACAAAUUCCAAAGUACAAUUAAACUUCACAGAAAGGGGUCUCGAGUAAGAGUUUUGUGAAGCACCAAUUAUUUUCAGUAACAAACUUUUACAUAGUUGAUAAAAUAGGAUAACGAUAAGUCCAACGUGAUCCAUGAUUAGAAGAAGCUCUUCUCCUUCAAACUUUCCACGGUAUCCUUCAAAGUCACCUCCAGAGGAGUAAACUUUACGCCCAAGAUAUGGACUCUUUCCUUGGAUACUUGGUAAGUUGGUGUGAAUGGUUUGUCAUCUGCACGUCUGUGAAGAACAAAGAGACGUUAAAGUCCAAAUUAUCUGUUACACAAAUUAGCAACUACAAAGAAUAUGCACAUUACUCACUAUACUUCAGACCAUUUCACUUGCAGUUUGUACAUCAUGUUAACGAACAAGCGAGUUAUUAGAAGGUACUAAUUGCAGUGUACCUUCAUCUUAAACCAUUCAAAUAGCUCAUCUUUUAAACAAGUGAAGAUUCAGACUCAAACUGAAAACGGAAAAUCGAACAAAACAAAAAUACUGAAAACGGAAAAGAAUACAGGCAGGGAUUCCUUUAUGAAAUAUUUAAGUUUCUCAAAUGCUAGAACGAUAUAGGCUUGAUAAAGAUGUUGUAUAUUAUUAAUAGGAUGUUGUAGUAACCCAAAAUAUCCUCAGACGCGAAUAUUGCAAAUAAUAUACAAGACGGAAAUUUUAAAACCUCAGAUAGAAAGGUACCGAUAAUGCCUGUAAACCUGCUCCAUCCUUAAAAGUGCCUCUAAAACUUAGAAAAAGAGUAACAUGCAAAAAAUCGAUUGCAUUAGCAUAGCAACUUCUCUGGAAGCUGGAGAACAUGGAUGAGAUCCCGCAGAAUUUUCACUGUGUCAGAACAGUGUGUUACUCUUCCAACUAGACAAUAUCUCCCGCUAGCCGAAGCAUUCUCAAAGGCGAAAAUAUGAGCAGUGGCAACAUCUCUAAAAUCAACUCAUCUAUUAGUUAUAUUUGGAAAUCUUUCGGCUCGUGCAUCAAUUAAAUAUCAACAAUGAGACUUUCUUAGCAGAUUGUACGGUAUCGCAGAGAGCAUGAGAUUCAAACAUGACCUUUUAAUUUAUGAUCACUAUAUAUACACCUCCAUGAUACCCUUUCUCUUUUACAAGAAACUCUAAUAUAUAUCGCCAAUUCACCGUAGUCUUUAUCUCAUAUAUACUGAGUACAUUACCCAUGUAAAGUGACAUGUCAACGUAGUGACGAUAAUGCCUCCAAACCAUUAUUCAAGAUGUGCUCAAGGAUCAGUGCUUACAUAAUUGGAGACAAGGAUUUAAUAGUCCACUCGUCUGUAUGCACAAGUAGAAAGAGUAAAUCUCUAAACUCAUGAAAUUUCAUGGAUCCCUAUGAGGAGUUUUCUGCACUGAUGAGGAUUUAGUCGAAAAAGUGUAAUCUGUGUAUUAUGCUUCUCUUAUGUAGUGGAUCCUGCCCUCAAAAUGGGUUUUCCAGUAGGAAUGAUUACUUGAUCAAAUCAUGCAAUAUAUCAACAAGUAAUGAAAUUUUAUAAAUACUUGCUCAGGAGUACUGUUUACAAGUUCCAGAACACGUUCCACGCCUGUGUUCAGAGUUGACUGUAAGAGAGAACCAAUCACCAAUCCUGGAUUUAUUGUAACAAUGUCCAUUCUCUUUUGCAAACUUCCAAGCAGCUUCCUCAGCCAAGGUCUUUGAAAUCGGAUACCAAAGCUGUUGAAGGAAAAAUCUUAAUAAACACAAUGAAUAUGCACUUAAAGCAUGAAAUAUAUAAAUCUUACACAGUUAAAAUUAGUCAUUUACGUGAGGGUAUGCCAACAACUAGACCAGGGCCAACAAAAGAUGAGCAUCAAUUUUGUCACGACAAAUAAUUAUUCGUUUCAAUUUACAUCUAAAUAUGACAUAACAGGCUAAAGAACCCUAAAAGUGAUCAAAUUUAGGCACAUUACAAGGUGAAGUAAUAACUAAUGCAUCUUGGGCAAAGCCUAUUUUGUCACUAAAAAUAGAAUGAGAAGUGCACAUGGGUGACGACUCCAGUUCCCUCUCCUCCUCUACAUCGCCACAGGCGUUCCUCUUGAUAUCACCAACAAUCCAACCCUAGUCACUAUUAAUGUCGUUGCCCAGUUGCAUACUCAAGAGAUUUUUCAGUAUGUACGACUUGAUACAUCAAAUGUUAUAAUACAACUUGUGAAAAACUUAAAUAAAAAAAAUUAGUAUACCGAUGUGACAAAAAAUUUCUACUCAAACUCACCCUUCCAACUUUGGUUAGUGACAAAAAAUCCACUUCUUCCUCCGCAUUCCAUCCAGCAUUAGCCCAAAAGUCCCACGUUCCCUUUUUCACGCGUGAAGGCCACUUUCGCUCCCUACCCGCCAUCCAAAGGCGCAAAAAAUAUCUCCAUCCUGCAAAACUCCUCCCCUCUCACUCUCUCCCCCGCCGCCCCCCCCCCCCCCCCGGCACCGCGGCGCUCUCUCUCUCUCUCUACACAAUGGCUCUCUUCACUUCUAUCUCCUCCUCAACCCUCUGCCUCUCCACCUCAAUCCAUCCCAUCGGGCUGUCGAACACCUCUAAACGGUUCUCUCGUCCCAUCGCUGCUUCUUCUCUGAGCUCCCCACCGUCUCCGGAAUCAAAAUCAACGGCCCCAAAACAAACCGUAGUCUCCUCCUCCACUGAAACUUCACCAAACCAUUUUAAUGGUGCGUCCUCUAGACCCCCCGAGCCGGCGGGCUUCAACUACGCCCCUUCCAACGGCAACCCCUUUGUCCGGUUUGCCCGUUCCGCUGAGUCUUCCAUUGAAAGGGUAACUGAAUUUUAAUUUGUGUAUCAGUCACUGUACUUGCUUCUUAAUUGUUCUAUUGGGAUUUUUGGAAUUUGGAUGUGACAAAAGAGUGAACUUUCCUCUUUCUUUCUCUCAUUUUUUGUAGUUGCAGAGGAGGUUCUUCUUAAUUUAGGGGCCGUUUGAUACCAUUUCGUUUACAGUCUUCGAUUAUGUGACUUUUUUCCUCCAUAGCUUGUGUUACUUUUUUGAUGUCAUGUUGGGGUUCAUGUACUCUCUAAUGAAUUUCUUUCACUUUGAUUAAAAGAAAAAUAACAUAGGGGGUUUGGAUAGCUUAGAGGUCCUAGUUGUGAAUUUUUUGAUAAUUGACGGAUUAGUGUUUAACAGAUUGCUGCCAAGAAAUAAGAAGAAUCAAUAAGUUAGUCCUACUGAAGCAAAUGAACUCGUAGUUUCGUUCAAAAACUUGGGAGGCAAUCCCUCUUGAGGCUUAAACGAAUCAUGAUUGUUAACAAAUACUGUAAGCGGUCUAGCGUGUAUAAACGGCCUAUAGGAAACUAAAUAUGGCUAGGAAACUACCAAAAUGUCAUUUACCUCAUGUUCUGUUUUUGGUUUUUUGUUAUAGGUACCAACUGCAAUAAUUAAGAAACUUGUGCAUUUUUUUCUUUAUCUGUUUAAAUUUUUUUUUAGCGUAUAGCAAUCUGUUCUAAGCGUUCUUUAUGUGUCCAUUGUUGAACAGACAAUAUUUGACUUCCGGUUUUUGGCACUGUUUGCUGUUGGAGGUUCGUUGGCUGGUUCGUUGUUGUGCUUUCUCAAUGUAAUUUCUCUCUUCAUAUUGUGUAUUCCUACCAAAUGUUUAGUCUAAUGGUCAGACCCUUGGUUUGUUACCAAGAGGUCUGGGGUUCGACACCUCUCAAGGUACCCACCUAGCAAUUGCUAGAGUUUCUUGCCUACCAAAUGUUGUGGGGUCAGGCGGGUGGCCUAGUGAGUAGUCGGGUCAAAGACCCGGAGACACUAGAUUCAAAAAAAAAAAAUAAAAAAAAUAAAAAAAUUGUGUAUUCCUACCACGAAAAUAGACAUUCAAGAUCUGAUUACGAUUUCAACUAUAAUUUUUAUAUUACUACACAUAAUGUAUGACUACAUCUGUGCAUAUACUACAUUUGAAUCUGCAGGGUUGUGUUUAUAUAAUGGAUGCGUAUAAAGUUUACUGGACUAGUUGUGUCAAAGGGAUUCACACUGGACGUAUGGUUCUACGACUUGUUGAAGCUAUCGGUAUAAUUUUCAGAAUCCUAUUUCUAGAAUUGCUUUAUGUUUCUGUUUAUCGAAUAUGCUUUCAAAAGAUAAAUAUCGUGACUUCUGCGUAAGCAGCAUUAGUCACUCCUUUCUUAACAUGGUAAAACUCAUCAUAUGAUGUCCAUAUUUCUAUGUUUAUUUUCGUUGGUAUAGUCUUAUAUGUUGAUGCAAAUCUUCCGAUGCAGAUGUUUACCUUGCUGGGACAGUCAUGCUAAUAUUUGGUAUGGGACUGUAUGGAUUAUUUAUCAGUAAUGUCCCUCAUGAUGUGCCUUCCAUUGAUGAUCGUGCUCUUAAGGGCUCUUCUUUGUUCGGAAUGUUUUCUCUGAAGGUAAUUUUGCUUCCCUUCCAUAGUAAGUAUAAGCGGAAUUCACAUAUACAUUUCUCAAACCUGGAUAGAUAUAUAUUAAUAGAUGCUAAAACAAUCUUAUUGUAUCAGAACUAUUCCGGGUCUGUAUUUUACUUCUUUUACAACAUUACCAAGAUAAGUGGUUUCUGAUUCUGCAGGAAAGACCUAAAUGGAUGAAAAUUAGCUCACUUGAUGAACUGAAGACGAAGGUGGGACACGUCAUUGUCAUGAUUCUUCUGGUUAAGAUGUUUGAGAGGAGCAAGAUGGUACAGAUAACCACUGGUUUGGAUCUGUUGAGUUAUUCUGUCUGUAUUUUCCUGUCUUCAGCUUCUUUGUACAUCCUUCAUAAUCUGCACAGGGAAGGAUAAGGCUUUCAAACACAUUAAAUAUAGCGUAUAGUGUAUGUUAGCUUACACCUUCAAGUGAAUAUACGUCUUCCAAAUUGAAAUCAAAGUUUCGCUAUUUUGAUAUCGACUUCCAUCACUGGCCAAACCCUCCAUGUUUGAUGCAUGCGACUUAUGGAGAUCAAAUAACACUUCCUAAUUCUUACUGUUAUUUCAUGCACGAUGAACCUCGAGGUAGACUCAUUUUGCAAUUCCACUAAGGAGAUAUUCCCCAGUGUUAGACGAUGACCGCUGCGGUACAAUUGUAUAACUUGAUCCAUAAAUUUGAAGAUUUGAUUUCGCAGGGGUUUUGCAUAAAUAAUGUCAAUACCAGGUUGAGUAUAUGUUUUGAUAGAUGAACAGCAAAAGUGCAAUUGGACUCUUGCAACUUGCAGAGCAUCAUUGCUUCUUACCUUCUCCUUUAUCGAUUGAGGCAUGUAGGUAAGAUUUUCUACUGGCCUUGCAUGCAGGGGUGUCUCAUGUGAGCCGGCUAGAUUGUCGUUUUUGUUGAAAACAUGCGGUUUCUAUCGUCCAUCAAGAAUAAUGUUCAAAGUUCAUAGCUAGAUGUUGCUUGUAACACCAACAUUUGAUAGAGUUGUUAACCCUGCUGGGAGUUCAGGAAAAGAAUUACCGAUGCAAUAAGAAACCCCCUUCUUUUCUUGUUAUGUUAUGUACAUUUCUCUAUCUUCAUAUUUUGUUCAUCAAGCAAUAGGAAAAAUUAUACAAUAUACAAUUUUAGAUUGUCGAAAAUGCUAGUAUACUUUAACUUUGAUAACGCAAUUCCAUUAAUCUGUCGAACCUUCUCCCUUUAAAACUUUAACAAUCUUCCUAUCUCCUCAAAGGACUUAGGGGUCUCACCAUUGAGUCCAAAGUGUAAUCUCAAUACAUAUGCUUCAUCGCUCAGCGUCUUCAGAAGCUUCUUCUCGUCCUGCUUCAUUAGCUGUUUUGUAAGCAUCUUUUCCGGCAUCAUCUCCUCUGGCCCUUGCAUGAUCUCCUGCAGCAGAAUGCGAACUAAUAAAUUAAGAUCGACUAAUGAAGUGUAUAACUGAUGCACUUUCCAUUACCGUUUGAGCUGCAAAUGAAAUUGGCAGUCUGCUCCUGUCACAAACAAGCUUUACAGUUGCAGCAGGCACAUUGACCACUUCAGCGAUUUCAUCAUGAGUAGGCAGCCACUGGAAUCUUUGAUUGAAGGAAUUUUUAGCUUUUGUAAUUUUUUGCCAUCAUACCGCACAUGUUUACCUACACAAAUAAACUAACCAUACUUCUGUAAUCUUUCAAUCAAUGCAUUUCUAUCAAGGUUAUCUGGCAGGAGUCGCAUAAAGAGAACUAUUUAAUUACGUCACUAAUAUAAAAUCUAUAGCUCGGUGAUUAGGCAACCUCAAUCAAAAAGCGGAAGGGAACUAAAUGCAACUGUUUAAGAACAAUGGUUUGUUAGGUUAGUUUCUCACUGGUAAUCUGAUUAUUCUAGACUUGUUGUCUAGGGCUCUGAUAAUAGCUUGCCUGAUCCACCAGUAGACGUAUGUUGAUAACUUCCAUCCUCGCUCAUGAUCAAACUUCUCUGCCACUUGAACAAGCCCGUCGCUUCCUUCCUGCAGAAAUAGAUACUUAGUUUCUGGGAGCAACUUACGGAAAGUGUUGGACAGGAGUAAAAAGGUGUAGGAACCUGAAUGAGGUCUUGAAAGCUUAGUCCUUUGCCUUGAUAACUGCUGGCAACAGAGAUAAUGAGUCCCCGGUAGCUCCUGAUGAUCCUUUCUUGUGACUCUCUUUUCUUACAAAGCACCUUAUCUAUACUUCUCGUCUUCAUUCCCAUUGCCUUGGCUAACUGCUUUGAGGUCGGCUCCUGCUCUUCAGCUUCUACGACCCUUAAUCUUCGCAAUUCUAAUCUUGCUCCCUCCUGUGUCAUUAAGGUCAUUCAUAGAUGGAGAGCUAAAGUUAACUUUUCGGCAUUAGAAAACUCUGCAAACAAGUAGUUUGAGAACUGUUUUAAAACAAAACACAGUUCUAAUUAAAGCUGUUCCUAGUAAUUGCAUUGAAAACAAAAAGAAAAACUGCAAAUCAAAGUGUAAAUACAGAUUAGCAGACUUAAACAACUUUUAAGGUUUAUGCAACAACCAUCAAUUGAAUAAUAUCCGUCGCAUCAUUUACAAGGAGCAGCAGAUUCGAAGAAAAUUAAAACUAGAGGACGAUGAAUGUUGCUAACUGUAGUGAUCAUCAUAUACAACAUUUAACUGUACAGUUUAAGAAACAUACAGUGUCAUCUGGCAUUAAAAGUUAAAUGUUCGGUUCUACGAAUGCCUAUGAGAUGAGAAUUGCUUGUAAUAGAAAGGCGAGUAAGUGAACGAAUUUACAAAAUGUAACCCAUAGCAAAACUCUAUUUCUUAAAUAAUGCUCUUGAACUUGGUAAGAAUCGAUACAACAAAGUCUUAUCCCACUAAGUGGGGUUAGUUGUAUGAAUCCUAAAAUGUCAUCGUGUUCGGUUUUGUGCCAAGUCUUGUGUUAGCUCCAAGUAAUCUGUCUUUUCUUAAAGUCUCUUUCCAAGUCUUCCUAGGCCUUCCUCUACCCUUUUUUCCUUGAGCCUCUAUCUCAUGAUCGCAUUUUCAAACCGGAGCAUCUGUAGGCCUUCAGUUCACAUCUCUAUCUCAUAUAUUGAACCCAACCAAUCAUUCUCCAAACUCAAAUUGGAACAACAAAUGAUGCAUAACAAUAUGCAGUAGUCUAAAUCGAGAAAUAGAAGAACACCCAUAAAUAAUACCAUAGAGAAACAAAAUGGCAGUUAGGCUUUUCACAUGUAAGCGCAUAACAACUUUACACCUAAGAGAAACACACUUCAAGUCUAUACUACAAAAACACUCUACCUUUCAACAGGAGAGACACUAAAGGAAGUUCGUGCAGUAAGAAUCAGUUCGAACAUGGCAGAUGGCUAACACAAGGGCUUUUUCUUUAAUUGGGCGCGUUGUAGGCUACAUUUGGAUGAUGAGGAAUUUACAAGUACCAAACUUUCAAGUAAAUUAGAUACAAAUGAAUCACAAAACAUUAGAUGAAGGGAUUUGAAAUGCGGUACGUGAUGAUUACAAAUACAUUAACAAGGAUUCACAAAUGACGACUCCUUUCAAAUAGUCAUAUGCAUUCCCUUUAAACGUACUGUAUUUAUUCAUCUCAAACCAAAUCUUCUGCAGUGCAUUCUUAACCAAUUUAACCUACAUCCCUUGGUACUUGCAAAUUCCAUCUCGAAACAUAGCAUAAGCAUAUUUGUUUAAAACUUAGCGUUGUCGGGCUUUUGUAUAAAACUUACUAGUACAAAUUUGCCCUAAAAGAAUCAAGGAAAAUUGUAGUACCUUGAGACUGAGACAGAAUUCAUCUUCUUCGUUUGGGCUCAGAUGCCCACAUCUCACAUAACCAAACGACAACUUUCCAUCUCCAACACCCCUUCCCCUCUCCUCAUCCAAACCCUCCAACCCUUUUAUCCUUUUCCUCCUCCUCUUCCUCCUCACCGCCAACCCACCACUCCCAUUCCCACUCUCCCUACAACUCCAAGCCUCCACAAUCUCAUCCCUCACCGCCGCAGCAUCUCUGGCCACCUUCACGGAAGCCUGGGCCAGUGCCAGCGCCUCCGCCGUGGCUGCAAUGACCAAUGCGUCACUGGAGACCCAGUUGGCGCCAAAUUUGGAGAAAGAGGGAGGAGGGAAGUGGAGUUGGAGAGGGUGGUGGGUUUUGAGUGGUGGGAUUGGUGGGAGUGGAAGUGUUGGGAGAGUUGGAUGUUGGUUUGGUGAUGAACAUAUGCUGCCGGUAAUGGCCAUACAGAUUACAGAGUAUAUAAUACAGAGUCGAAGUGUGAGUCAUGGAUUUUCUUUCUGAGGAGAUAAAGAUAUUUGUGUGUUUUGCCAUGCAGAGAGGGAUAGAGGAGUCCAGUGAUUAAUUUUAGCCAUCUGUGGAUGUCAUUGAAUUCAAUCUCGAUCAUCGGAUCAUCGAUUCAAAUUCUACUCACUUUUAUUUUUUUUUUUUUUUGCAUUUAUUUUUGUUAUUUGAUUUUCGUCGAUUCAAAUAUCAUAAAUAAUAAUAUUUAACAUGUUUCAUAUAUUACGUUUUAGUUUUGAUUUUUGACGUUGGUGAAUUAUAUCACACUGUGAUGAUAAUGAUUACAAGAGACUGAAAUGUAUUUGUCAAUUUUUUUUACCCCAAAAAUAAUACAAUGUCGUAACGAAGUCAGUCGCUGUUUUUUUUUUUUUAUCAAAAAUAAAAUAAAAAUGCAUUUCUCUCUAAUUGCUGCGGCUUAUAAAACACAUACCCCACUUUUUCUCUUUUGGCGCCAAUUCUUCUCUCUUACUCUUCCCAAAGCCCUAGGUUUUUACUUACUUCCCCGACCCAAAUCGAUCACCACCUAGGGUUUCACAUAUUGACCACAAAACCCCCAAUUCCUCGAAGAAUCAGAAAGUAGCACUGCAAAGUUCAAGAAUGGCGGAGAGUCGCGCAAAGCGCCCCAAAAUUACAAGGUCUGGAGACUCGUUUCACUCCACUUUUGAAAUUGACUUUGAAAUUGACGUUCUUUUUAUGUUUUCUGGUAUCCAGUUCGUCAGAAUUAGGUUUUUUUUUAAUUCUAAUUGCAUUUUUUCUUACUGUCUGUUUGGUUACCCAGAAAAUUUAAUGUCUGUGUUUAUUUUUUGCUUUAUUAAUUAUUAUUAAAUGAAAUGUUUAACUUUUUCUUUUGUCUUCCAUUAUUAUGUUAAGAAAUUAAACUGAGGAUUAUGGAAUUCACCGUAAAACCUUAUUCUGCUUAACACAAUUUUAUUUUUAAUUUUAUUUUUUUCUAAAUGUAGUAGUAGUACAGUGGUAAAGAUAUAAAAUUUUGUCAUUUGGGACCUAUAGAAAUUCUGAGUCAAUGCUGAAGCAACAAGAUAUCUAUUUAGCUGUCUUGAACUGACUUCGUAGUGUGUUAAAUCAAGAAGAUACUAUUCAAUUUUUUCUGGUAUACAGAAAAUGUGAUAGUGAAAUUUAUUUCCUUUGUGUUGUUUUGAUUAGUUCAGCAAUGAUGUCAAGGUUUAAUGCUUAUCAUCUCUUUCUUUCAGGGGUGAAGAUGACUAUAAGCCAGGAAGCAUAACUAAGAUUGAACUCCAUAAUUUUAUGACCUUUGGUCACAUAAUGUGCAAACCGGCCCCUCGUCUAAACCUUGUAAUUGCACCAAAUGGGGCUGGAAAAAGUUCUCUUGUAUGUGCAAUAGCACUGGGUCUUGGUGGUGAGCCUCAGGUUAGUUAAUAUCAGGGAAUGUGUUUUGUUGCAUUUCUUAAGUUUGUUUUUGGUAAACAAUAUAUAAAGAAGAGGAGUUUGGUAACUACAGCUACUUGGAAGGGCGACCAGUGUUGGAGCAUAUGUGAAGCGUGGUGAAGCGUCCGGUUAUAUUAAAAUAACCUUGAGAGGGGACACCGAAGAGGAGCAUAUUGAAAUUAUGCGUAAGAUUGAUACACGUAACAAGUCUGAAUGGUUAUACAAUGGUAAGUAGUUUUGCAUGUGUAAAAAGUUAAUUAUUUUAUCAUUUCUCUUGAAUAUAUUAUGGACCAACAAACAGUGAUCUUUAAGCAAUAGCUUGAGGUGGCUUAUAGCCAUUAAGAGAAGUGUUUGUAUACUUGUUAGUAGCCCCUUAAAGUAUCAUGUUUAACUGACAUUUUCCCAGAGAACGGAGGAUGUUUAACCUACAUGCUCUGACCCGGGUUAUAGUAGUUUCUGAAAAUCAUCUUAUGCAUUAAUUUCCAUUCCAAGAAUUGUGCUUCCAUGCAUGUAGCUCCUAUUUUGCACUUAUUCUUGUCUUCAUUCAGCAUAAGUGAGGUACUUGUAUACAAGCUUGUUUUCUUUUCAAAUUGUAUCAGUUUUAACUUUUAAUUACAAGUCUGCAAGACAGUGGGAAAAGUGGAUGAUAUGUCUUGAUUCACUAUCAUGCAUUAUCAAGGGAAAUAAACUACUUUCCAAAUUAAGACUGUUUAUUAAGAAGGCACAGGAGUAAUAUCAAAUACUGAUUUAUCAGUUUUCUUUGUAUUUCAGGAAGAGCGGUGCCUAAAAAGGAUGUGGUUGAAAUCACUCAAAGGUUUAAUGUUCAAGUCAACAAUUUAACUCAAGUGAGUUUGUUUCUAAUAAUUAACUUCAGAUCAGGGCGUGCCUUAAUUCUGUAGCUUUUAUAUGUGGAUGCAAUAUGACUUUUGAUAUGCAUGCACAUGUUUUUGUUUGUUAAUAUUCCUUUUGAAUAUCUGGACCUUGUAAAUGAAUUUUGUGACUGUUGAAUUUAUAAGCUUAAUCAGUAUUCUUCAUUGUUUUUUAGUUUUUAGUAGAAGACAACAUUUUGAAGGUUAUACUUGCAUAGAAUAGGCAGUACUUUUACAAACUUGGUACUGUACAGUUUCAGAGUAUAUGUACAGACAGAAAAUUUACUUAGUAAGGACUGCAAUAGAUUGUAGAAACUGUUACUCAAUAUCCUCACAAAGUUGAGGCUUUAUUUUUUUGUAUUUGGCGCCUCGGUCUUUAAAAUUAUAGGAAGGAUGCAAAGUAUUUUCUUAAAGUUGAGAAAGAUGAGGAGUGUUUGCUCAUAUAGCGGUGCAUUGGUUCAGUCUUAUUAUAGGCAGUAAAUUAUUGGAAGAGACCUUUAUAUUUCACUUCUUCUGCAUUCCAUUGUUUGUACUUGCUGUGCUAGUAAAAUUGAGAUCCUUUGUUGCAUGAUCCUGUUUGAAAUGCCACUCCUUUUUUAUUUUGAUUAGAGCGUGCGCUAAAUAAUGGUUUAUCUAGGGGUAUACUUUUGUCUUUCAUCUUAAUUGAGCAUUCCUAUCCAUUCCAAAUUCUUCUGAAUGGACUAAUGUUGAGAAGAAUGGGUAAAUUAUAUGUUGUAGUAGUAAAGGUUGUCUGGGGAUGCACAUAUAAUAACAAUCUAGUUGUCAAGUUGUUUAUUGCGAGUGUAUUAAUGCAUGGAUAUGACAUUGUUUAUUUGAUUUCCUGUUAUUUGUCUCCCUCUUAGAUAUUUCAGUUUUAACUUAUUUUUAUGAUGCUAUUUGAAACUAUUGCUAACAAUUUUGGAGCUAAAUUAUGAAUUUAGGUCAGUAAUUUCCUCUCUUUCUUUCUUUUUUUUUUUAUCAUUUUUCUCCUUUUUAUUUUUGGGGGUGUGCUUGUAGUUUUUACCACAAGAUCGUGUCUGUGAGUUCGCCAAAUUAUCUCCAGUGCAACUUUUAGAAGAGACUGAAAAGGCUGUAGGAGAUCCUCAAUUGCCGAUCCAACAUCGUGCACUUAUUGAGCAAAGCAAGAAAUUGAAAAGAAUUGAGCAAGUGGGUUUUUAAUUUGUCCUUAUGUUAUACAAUGUUAAUUAGCUUUAUCACGUUAUUUAGACAUUUUGUCUUUUUGAUUUAGGCCGUUGAAAAAAAUGGAGAAACUUUGAAUCAGUUGAAGGCACUGAAUGCUGAACAAGAGAAAGAUGUUGAGCGUGUCCGCCAAAGAGAGGAACUUCUUGCAAAGGUUUGUCUUUUUGGUUUUGUUAUAUGAACUGAAUGACAGUGUAUUUUUAUGAUAAGAUACAAACUCUUAGUAAAGAUUUUUACAACACAUACACACACAAUGAAGUGGACAAGAUAUCCAUUGAGCGCUAGUACACAUACUCAAAUACAAUCAGAUUCACCAUCCACAAAAUAGCACAGAACCUCACAAACCAAACAUCUGAAGGAAAACACUGAAAGAUAAAUGUGGUUCAUCAGACCAUAGGAAGGAAAGCUAGAUCCCCAAAUGCAGGUGAAACUGAAGCCCAUAAUGGCGACAAUGAGAAUUCGACUUUAUCCCAUAAAUCCUCAUCCCAUCUCCCUUAUAGUUCUCAAGGUAGUAAAAAAAAAAAUUGAACUCCAUCUGACUCGAUAAUCCCCUCCUCAUCCCCCAAAGAGAAAACGCUCUUCUGCUUCCCACAUAAUUAAAUUGGAACUGAGAUUUCUUCUUGAUGUCAUCUACAGGCUGAUACCAUGAAAAAAAAAUUGCCAUGGCUGAAGUAUGAUAUGAAGAAGGCUGAAUGCAUGGAAGCUAUGGAGCAGGAAAAGGAUGCAAAGAAGAAGUUGGAGAAAGCUGCAAGAACUCUAAAUCAACUGAAAGAACCUAUUGAGUACGAUCACUUCAUUUAGAUGAUAUAUUCAUGCACAAUAUAUUGACAUGAGAUAUACAGUCUGUUUAUUGCAAUGAUUUGCUAUUAUUUUACUUUCUAGUGUAAUAAUGUUUUACCUGCUGCAGGAAACAAAAACAAGAGAGAGUGGUGAUGGAGUCUAAGAGUACAAAAGUAGUAAAAAACAUUAGUGAAAAUGCAAACAAACGAAUGAGACUUUUGGAAAAUGUGAACCGCUUGGUAUGAUAACAUGGUACUUUAUUUGCUUAAUGUGAUUUUAGCCCUUCCCUAGUUUGUAGUGUGGAUAAUUGAAUUUUUAUUGUGCUUCAAUUUCAUCCACAUGUUUAUAGGGAGUGUUAAUAAAAGAAAAAUACAACGAAAUGGAAGAAUUGAAGAAGCAAGAAGAAUCUCGUCAACAAAGGAUCUCAAAAGCAAAAGAGGAUCUAGCUGCUGCUGAACUAGAACUUGAAAAUCUGACUCCUUAUGCGGCCCCUACAGAUGAAAUUGUAAGUUAUGGAUUCAGUCUCAAAAUUUCAGGAUCUUCAGGCAGUCCCUGGUGUGAUUAACAUAAAUGGAUCAGAUUUUUAGCCAUUAACAUGAAUGAAACUACUUUUGUGCAAACCAGUUUUGAGAAGUCAUGGUUCCCUUGCCAAUGUUUUUCAAUCAAGUUUUGUUGGGUUAUUAGACUUUGGAUUUGUUUGCCUAGGAACAGUUAGCACACUGUUUAUUAGUCUUUUCAAUCAAAUAUGUGCCUAGUUUCUGGUUUUGUUUCCUAUGAACAUUGUAGCGCAAUUGUUUAUUAGAGUCAUUUGAUUAUUAUUCUCAAUUUUUAAAUUUGUAAACUAACAUGUUUCUUUUUUUUGCUGGUUAUUAGACUUAUGAUUUGUUUAAGUUCUUCCCUCCCGUUACUGAGUAAAUAUUGCUGAUCAGGCGAGAUUGCAUGCUCAAAUUGUGGAUCUAGAAGUUUCUGCAAAGGAAAAGAGGGAUAAGAAGUCGGAGAAGGAAAAAUUUUUAAAUCAAAAGAAACUUUCCCUAAACACCUGCCUGGAUAAGUAAUAUUUGCUUCAACGUCAAAUCCUGUCCACAUGCCUUUGUAUUGUUAAUUCAAACAUCGUUUACUGUAUCCUUUUCAGGUUGAAGGAGAUGGAAAAUAAAAAUGGUAAACUCUUACAAGUAUUAAAAAAUUCUGGAGCAGAUAAAAUAGUUGAUGCUUAUAAAUGGUUGCAAGAACAUCGUCAUCAGUUCAAUAAGGAGGUGUAUGGCCCUGUUUUGCUUGAGGUAUGUAUUUAAAUCAUAACAUUGUCGUGUUCACUGAAGAAUUUGAAUUUACAAAUUAUUGAUAAUGCUCCUCUGGGUGCAUGCAUACUCAGGUUAAUGUGCCAGAUCGAGUUCACGCUGACUACUUAGGUGGUCAUGUUCCUAAUUACAUGUGGAAGGUAAAUGCAUUUGUAUUAUGUAAUUUAUGUUAGAUUUUUUUAAUCUACUUGUAUUUACCUAACAUCAAAUGUCAGGCUUCUAACUCCUACGUGAUUAAGGGCCUGUCUGAAAAUGCUUUUGGAAGGGCUAAAAGUGCUUUCAGAUAGCCAAAAGCAAUAUUAAGUAACCAAAAGUGCUCCUGGCUUCAAAAAGCACUGUUUGGGGCUUUCUGGAAAGCACCUGGCCACCAGGUCUACCAGGUUCUUCUCCUAGAAGAGCCUUCAAGUGCUUUGUAUAAUAAAAAUUUUCUUGUGCUUCUGAUACAAGUGCUUCUAGUGGGCGCUAAAAAGCAAUCCCAAAUGGGCCCCUAGAAUUUCCAAGUUUGUUUGGUAUAAGGCUUAUACCUGUGUAUCUGUCAAUCUGAUCAGAACUUUGGUUUCAUAAACUGGGGGAGCUGCUUGGGAAGGGUACACAAAAGAAGGUAGAUGAAAGGAGUUACAACAGUUGUUGUCUAUACAAUUUUGGCCAUUUAUUAAUUCACAAAGUGAAGGCAAGAGAUGAAAGUAAUCAAGAUAACUUAAUGAAGGCUUAGUUUUGGGAUGAAAGAUCAUUUCAUUGGCAUGUCACAUAUCUUGGCUAAUCCAUGCUAAACCCUCAUAGGUGAGUUUGGAUGCAACAUUAAAGCCUUUACCCUAACUCUCCCCCUUCUAACCAAGAUUUAAAUCUCAACUUUCCCCUGCAUAGAACUGUGAAGCCAUGUGUUAACUACAUAUGUAAAUUAACUCCUUACCUAAGUUUGGGGUGCUUUAUAUCCUGUUUAAGUUUUUAAUAUAACCAUUCUACUUUCCAAAUCUCUGUUUGUGUAUGUGUGUGCUUGUGUUUGUGCGGAUGGUUGGGUAGAUGCCAGUAACCUAUACACUGUUGUACUUCGAAUUUACUUUGAGUCAGUAUAGUUAUGUGUUUUUUUAGGAGCACAGUAUCAUAAAAGAAUUCCACAUGUUACUCAAACAUGUAUUUAUUUGUUGGCUUAAUAAUACCUAUUUGUUGAUCUUACUUUUUCAUGUUUUGUAGUCUUUCAUAACUCAAGAUUCUCGUGACCGGGACUUUUUGGUAAAAAAUCUCAAGUCCUUUGAUGUUCCAGUUUUAAAUUAUACGGGAAAUGGAACUUGUCACAGAGAACCCUUUCAAAUUUCUGAGCAGGUGUGUGUUUUUGGUGCUAUAUUUUAUAAAAAAAAGUUUGAACUAGUCUCGUUAACAUUUUUAUUGUUUACUUCCGUGUUUUAUGAGCAGAUGAGUGCACUGGAGAUCUAUUCGCGGCUUGACCAAGUUUUUGAUGCUCCUACUGCCGUGAAGGAGGUUUUGAUUAGCCAAUUUGGCUUGGAUAGAUCAGUAUGAUUCCCAAGCUUACUCUUAUCUUAUAUACUUCAGGCAAAAGUUAUAAAAUUUAAAAUAAUGUGCUAAAUAUAUGUUCACAAUUUUAUGUGCACUUGUUGACUUCAACUACGCUAAAAUAUGUACAUGAUUCCAUUACACGACUUGAACCCAAGAUGUGGUUAACGGGUUUUGGUGACCAUUACUUAACACGAACCUGUAUGUUGUAUGAUAAGACAACUGGUAAACAGGUUGGGGUAGUGUCAAACAUGAGGAAAAUAACUUUUCCAUGAUAAGCCCGUUUUAGUUGUACUAUAUACCAAUAAGUAUUGUAUGAGUCCUUAUGUAAACUAUAAAAUUAUAGUAUAUGGUUUAUUAAUAAACCAUACUUAAUGGAUUCAAUUCUUUAAGGAAUGUAUAAGUGAUCGGGUUAAUUAGAAAUUAAUGGAACUUAGUUUCAAGUUUCUAAUUCACAAUAUAUCCGUAUCAUUCCAAACAGGACGUGAUAAAUAAAUGGGUGAGGUUAGUGUUUAAGUAACUUGACCUGAUCAAUUAGACGAGUUGGUGAUGAUUGACUGUAUUGUACAUAAACAAAAAUGACGAUUUGCCACGCCUAAGGUCAACCGUAUGAAGUUCGGUGUUUGAAAUUUGUUAGGUAGUGUUUUGAUUUUGAUAACUUUUGUGCAUGUAAUUUAUUAUAAAAAAAUGCUCAUGUAUUUGUGUUUCUUCCUUUUUCCUCAGUAUAUUGGGUCCAGGACUACGGAUCAGAGGGCUGAUGAGGUUUCGAAGUUAGGGAUUUUAGAUUUUUGGACCCCUGAGAAUCACUACCGAUGGUCAGUAUCAAGAUAUGGUGGUCAUAGAUCUGCCAGUGUAGAAUCAGUCACUCGUUCUCAACUCUUUUUGUGUGGUAUGUUUCUGCAAAUCCUUUUCUGUUUAGCAAAUAAUCCAAACACUUCGUUGGUAAAAGAUUUGAGGUCGUACAUUUUACUUUCAGGUUUGGAGACUGGGGAAGUUGAGUCAUUGAUGUCCAAAAAAAGGGAACUUGAAGAAUCUAUUACUGCUUUACAGGAUAUUGUUAGAUCACUUCAGAUUGAGGAAAGACAAGCAGAAAAUGAAGCAGCAAAAUUUCAGAAACAGAGGGUAUGUGGAAAUAAGUGUAGCAGGUGGCAUUCAAUGCUAUAAACAUAUAAACUAUACUUUAAUAUUAACUGGGUUUGGUUAGACAUGCAAUUCCUUUACUUAUGUGGAACAACGUAAUAUAUAUUUUAGGAGGAGAUUAUCAGAAAUGUACAGGAUGGGAAGAGAAAACAACGUGAAAUAGAAAACCGUAUUGGUAAGUAAUAAUGGUUUAGAAGUUUUCUCUUUAGAAGCUUUGUAUUUAAUUUCUUUUGUUCAUUUUACAUAAUGAGUAUACUCUGGUGAUAUCAGCACAAAGGAAAAAGAAAUUAGAAUCUAUGGAGAAGGAGGAUGACCUGGAUACUAGUAUGGCGAAGCUCAAUGAACAAUCUGCAAAAUAUAUGAUUGACAGGUUCCAUUCUGCAAUGGAAAUUAAGGUCAGGUUUUAGGCACACUUCUAAAAUUAAAUUCUUAAGGGGACAUAUUUAUUUAUUCUGUUCUUUGUUUGGUUUAAGUUGUACACCAAUGUUUGGGGUAGAUAUAAGUGUUUUAGGACUUGGUUACUUCAAACUUUUAACUCUGCUGUCUUUUUUUCAGAGUCUACUUGCUGAGGCUGUUUCUUUCAAACAAAGUUAUGCUGAAAAGCACAUGAUGGUCAUUGAGUUUGAUGCAAAGGUAUUUUCUACGAUGAUCCAGAACAUGCUGCUUUGAGAGUUUUACUAUUUUUUUGCAUGCUGAGUUUGCCUACAAAAUUUACAAAUAAGUUUACUUAAAAUCGUAGACAGUUUGUCAAAUACAAUCAUAAAACUCUUAAAAUGCAAUCAUAAAACUAAAGUGAAUGCUUUUUGUUAAGGUAGAAUGUAAUUUCCCCUUCUUUUAGGCAUGAAUGGUUUGAAACUUUUUCUUGUUCUUUUUUUACUCAGUUUGCAAACAAAGGUGGCGCCUUAUACUGUAAUGAAUUAUUUCUUUGUUAGAUUUAAUCUCUUUAGACCAUACGCCUUUUUAUGAUUCAUGUUUAUUUUUAUUGUAAAGCUUUUGUGCCAUGGGGUAUCUGAAUAAUAUGCAUUUGUUCAUACUCAGUUCUAAUUAAUUUAUUUAUGCUUGUUUUUCAUUUUCUUAGAUUAAAGAAAUGGAGGUUAAUAUCAAACAACAUGAAAAGGUUGCUCUUCAAGCAAGCCUGCACCAUGAGGAGUGUAAGUGGUUCCUUACUUUCACUUUGAGGUUCUUCCAUUCCGUGCGGUUGUUUAUACUGUCUGAUCUACACAUAAAGUUGUUUUUCACUUUUUUUGGUAGUGUAUAAUUGUGCUUUAAUUUUAGGACUUGGCUACUGUACAUGUAUUUUAUAUAUUCACCAUCUAAACGGUCAUAUAUGCACCAAAAAGAGAGAAUAUCAAAUCUAACCAUACGUGACAAUUAGAUGGUUAAUGUAUUAAAUACAUGCAUGUAUUGUAGCCACUCUAUUAUUUUUGUUCUAAAGUAAUUUAUCAUAGUUCUUUUGUCUUAAAAACAAUCAGAAUAUUGAAUUGGUUAUCUAAUCCAAUUCGUUGGUCCUUACGCACACUGAAGUAUGGAACUUCUAGAGAGGGAUGCCUUUGAAAGAAAGAGGAUAACAUUUGAAUUAUCAGUACAUGUAUAUGUCUUCGAUUUUCACCUGCUAAUAAAAUUGUUUCUUAUUGAAAAAAAAAAGAUUAAAGAUUUACAGUAGAAAACUCAAUGUCAGUAAUGCUAAUUAUUGCUUUUUUGCUUCUUGUCCAGGUAAGAAGGCAGAGGAGGAUUGCCGACAGCAACUUUUAGCAGCCAAGAAGAAUGCAGAAUCCAUUGCGAUGAUCACUCCAGCACUUCAGAAGGAAUUUCUUGAGGUUUUCUAUAUAAUGAGUUAAUUCUAAUGCAUGGAAAAUAUAACUUCUGCUUGAAUAUAAGGAGUAAAUGGCACAAACUAUAUAGUGUGGGUGGUGGCCAGUUAAUUCCGUGAAGUGAGUCGACUGGUUAACUGGUAUCAAAAACUUGUGUGCUAGGUGCUCAGGUGUUUUUGUUUUGCUGUAUAUAAUGUUCUGAAGUUAUUUUCACUUCCCAAAAGUUACAUCGAUUAUCAGUUUAGUGCCCAAUGUUCACAACUUAUCUAAAUCAUACCCAAAUCCAUAUAAUGGGCUUGUUGGCUGAUUGAUUGGCGUGUGUGAAAUGGACGAUAAAAGGUAGCAUUAUGUAGUAUUACAAUAAAUUUUGAACAUGAGGUCCUAAACUGUUAAUCCGUGUAAACUUUCGGGGUACUAAACCACUAUAGGAGUGUUCGUUGAGAAGAUCCGUUGACCUGACACCAAGAGAAACGUCUAGCUGCUUUAUUGUGUGAAAUUUCUUAUGUAUGAAGCCAGUAUUUGGAUACAUAAAAAACAGUAAGGUAAUCAAGUAGCUUCUUAGCUAGAUCUUGGGAGCUUAUGGGCUUAUUUGGUAUAACAGAACACCAUUCUAUGAAGCGCAAUUAUUAGGACUAAAUUUGAUGUGUUUCUUUUGUGAUUGAGUUGUACAUUGAUAAGGAGCUAUGGCCUUGAUCUGCUAUUAUGAGUUUUAUGGUUUUCUAAUAAUCUGAGCCUAUGGAUUUGUCCAAAGCUUACUUCCAUGCAUAAACUUUAUAAGUAGGACAAGCUGGGCACUGUGACUUAUCAUAUGAGCCCGACCUGGUUCAACCAUUGAACCAAUUGGAAUAUUGACAUGGGCCUCAGGAUUUGCACUUUCUAUUUCCUUAUAACAUUUAAGUUCCUCUCAUAUGAACAUGGCCCUAAUGGUCAACCAUGUAAAAUCUGUAGUUUAUCUAAUCUCUCUCCAUUUGCACUUUUAUUAUUUUAUUCAAAAUUUAACAGCUCUUUUGUAACCUAAAAAAAGUUGAUUUCUUUGUCUGUUUUGUCUCCAGAUGCCUACUACAAUUGAAGAAUUGGAAGCUGCUAUACAGGAAAAUAUUUCUCAAGCUAAUUCUAUUCUUUUUCUAAAUCAAAAUAUACUGAAAGAAUAUGAAGACCGUCAGCAGAAGGUAUAUUUUUGCCGUCUCUGGUAGCUGUUUUCCCCCUAGUUUCUUUUUUAAGUUCAUCACUCUUACGUACAAUUAUAAUACAGAUUGAAGAAUAUUCAGCGAAACUGGAAGCUGAUAAAACAGAGCUUAGUAGGUGUAUAGCUGAAGUGGAUAAUCUGAAAGUGAGUAAUGCUUUGUUUUAUUUUAUUUUUUCAUAAAGAAGGUUAGCCAAGUUUAGUUGUUACCUUAAUGAGUAGCUUAGCUGAAUAGCUGAAGUAGGUAAUCUGAAAGCAAGAAGGUUAGUGAUGCUUAGUUGUUACCUUAACGACUAUUUUGUCAAGUUGAUGUUGGUCUCCUCGAUGAACACUUAGACCACAAUACUUUGGCCGUUUGAACUAUUGCUUUAACCAAUCCAACCAGAGUCACCACAAUAAACUGUAGGACGCACUCAAUGAUGGAUGAUGGGAAUUGUUAAAUGGAUUAUGAUGGUUUCAGAAAAGCCACCACAAUUGACUUGAAAUUUUCUUUUGUUUAAGUUUAUUUAGGCCUGCACCCACUGUUCAUGUUUCAGGAUAAACAUAUCACAUUUGCAUUCUAUUACCAUAACAGCUUGUCUCUUAUGUUACUUGGAAUUCACCUGAGUUUUGGUCUUUGGCGUUAGGUUGUAAUUAUAUGCAUUUUACAGUCUCCAAUCUCCAUGGAAACAGCAGUUUCUUUAUGCUGCUAACCUCCUACAGUUCAUUAGUUUGCCACAAACGACAGAUUCCAAAAUAAUUAGACAAGUUUGGCCUUUGCCAAUACUCACUUGUAUUGCUAGGUCUGAAAAGGUCAUGUUGAAUAAAUUUUCAGACCAACAGCCCUGAACAGUUUUAAAAUUCUAAAUAUUUAUGUCAAACUACUUUCAUAUUCUUGUUUCUUCGUUUUCCUUUAUUUCCCUCUUUCAUGUCAGUAUGCAUAUAUGCCACUUGCAUUAGUGUAUGUUUUGCUAAUAAUCUUUGUUGUUUCCUGAUUGUAAAUUAUUUGCAGGGAACUUGGCUCCCAACAUUAAGAAGCCUUGUUGCUCAGAUAAAUGAGACUUUCAGUAGGAACUUCCAAGAGAUGGCGGUUGCAGGGGAAGUUUUAUUGGGUAUUUAGCAUUGCACUGUCUAGAAGUAUUUUUUUUAUUAUUAUUUUAUUUUGAACUUUUGUAAUUUCAUGUUUCUUCUCAGAUGAGCAUGAAAUUGACUUCGACCAAUAUGGGAUACUUAUAAAAGUAAAAUUCAGGUAAUUUCAAUUUUGUUCCUGUUUCUGUACUUUCAUGGUGCUACUACUAGUCGUUUUAAGUUGGGAAGUGUAAUUUAAUUUAUCAUAGUAGUGUAAUUUAAUUUAUCAUAGUUAUGUCGGAACCAGGACUAAUUCCAAGCCUGGUUCAGCAUAACUCUGAUAGAUUCCAAGCUUAGUAGUAUCUAUAUUGUUUUUGUUCUAUUGCACUAAGAUGAAAUCACAGUUGCUGAUUUGUUAUGUGUAACCUGCUUAAAAGUUAUGCAUUGCUUCUGUACACAAUUUCAUUCGUUUGACAUUAUGGCCAUCAGGCAAGCGGGGCAGCUACAAGUUCUCAGUGCCCACCAUCAAUCCGGAGGGGUAUUACACUUGCUGUAUUCUUGAGUUAUUGAUUUGACUACAACAGUUUUGCCUUAUUGUGGCCUUCAAAUUCCCAUUUGUAGGAGCGUUCGGUUUCAACUAUACUUUAUCUUGUUUCUCUUCAAGACCUUACAAAUUGCCCGUUUAGGGUGGUUGAUGAGAUAAAUCAAGGUUUGGUUGCACAGCAGAGUGUUAUCUUCUAUUUUUCGUCCAAUCAAUUUUCUUUAUCUCAAAAUAAAUCAUUGCUGUGUUUUUAAUAUGUUUUCAGGGAUGGAUCCGAUAAAUGAAAGAAAUAUGUUCCAGCAGUUGGUAAGAGCAGCAUCUCAACCAAAUACACCACAGUAAGAGCAACUAUGCAUAACUUGUGAUAAUUAUCUGUGUCUGUUUCUUGGUGCGAAUUAUUAUCUGUCUGUAUUUUGCUCUGUUUUAGAAGGCGACUUGAGAAACUAGAAAUACUUAUAUAAUGCGUCAUUAUUAAUUGGAAGUAGUGCAAAAUGAUGUUUUGGGUGUGUGGCAGCUCCCUUUAUAAAUUGGAAGGAUAACAUGUGUAGUCCAUCUCUCAUCGUGCACUUCUCUUUUAGCUGCUCCUAACAGUAGUGAAUAUCGAGGUUAACAAAAAGGUUUCUGCUUCUAGUAUGAACCAAAGAAAUUGCAAGAUUGUGUGACCAAUGGAGGACAUGAGCUUAUAUGAUUAUAUUGUCUUAUAAUUUGCAGUGGACAAAGCCAAUUGUGCUUAUCAUAUGUAAAAGGUCACUUAAGCUUUGGUUUCUGUCACUGUUAUUCAGGUGUUUCUUGCUUACCCCGAAGUUGCUACCAGAUCUGGUUUACAGUGACGAGUGCAGUGUUUUGAACAUAAAAACUGGCCCCUAUGCUGGUUCAUGGGCGAAUGGAGGUGAAAGUUCUACUUGAGAGUUAGCAGUCAGUAGUAUCUAUUAAUUUGUCGAACAUAUGCGAUACUCACCAAAAAUUCAUUCCUUUUUCUUAUUUCAGACUGGAGUGAGGGCGAUAGCUACAGAAACAUUCUUGGAAAAAGGGGACGCUGAAAUAACAAUUACCUUUCGAUGAGGAAUUUUCGUAAAGUUGCACUCACAUAAGCGUGGCUUAGUACACCCCGUGUUCAUCCCUGUGUAAAUUAGAAUGAUGGCUGUCUUGGAGGGUGACUGUUAGCUUUUGUGUACGUUUAGCUUUGUUUUUUUUUUGGCUUACAACUUAAUAGGAAGGAGAAAUGAUUCGUUUCAAAUGAUGGCUGGCUGCAGUGGCAUUGUUCUCUGGUUAAACAACCACCUGGUCCCGACUCUCAACUGAGAUCAAUAGCUCGAUACCUGAUAUACAUCGCAUAUACUCUCCUUAAUGUAAAUAAUAUCAUCGUUCAAAAAAAAAAAACAUCGCAUAUACUAUGAAAUUUCUCUCAUUCAUAAACAAGAAACCAAAGUGACGAGUUGAUAAUAUCGAUCACAAAAUUAGUACAUGGCCUUUCUCACUCAGAGUAGAUGAAACUCGCAUGCUCUGACUUACCCUAGAUACAAACGUAUCGAGGUCACCCUCUGCCUUCAUCCCUUACUCUCCCCAGCCGUCUUUACUAACUACAUUGGCAAAUAUUCGACAGUGGCAGCUAAGAGGCUGAAUGAACAAUAUAACGACAACAUGUGUACAGGUGGUUAGUGUUCUUCAAGCAUUUGUUGGAAGCUUGAAAUCGAGCAUCGCCCUUAUAUUUAACCGGAUGGAAGGCCCCAUUGACGAGCAUAUAUGUGCACUCUUCCAGUAAACACCUUUUGCACCUGGUGGUUUAUUUGCUUCUACCGAUUUCUGCCAGGUAAAAAAUAUAAGUAGAUUAAAUUUCAUGGCCAAGUGGGUGGAGUUCAGAUGGCAAUCGAAAUUAGGAAAUAAGAAGUGAAGAACGUACAACUGCUGCUAGCAAGUUCACGAGAAGGUCUUCUUCAGGAAAGUCGGCUUUUCCAAACCGCAAAUGAACUAUACCAGUUUUAUCUGCUCUAUAUUCAACUUUCCCCUGCUUGAAUUCUGCUAUGGCCUGAAACAGAGAAUACGAGUAAACCCUUUUAAUUCAGUAGGCUAAGAAAUCAAACUCCUUGUAAUGUUGCCCCGCCACAAGUAAAUCCAUUCCUGUACAACCAUGGAUGACCACCGUAGGUUGUCUUGAAUAUUAGACCCUCUUCUGUGUGUCAGUAUAUCAGUUUAUUCUUCUUACGGAUUUCCUCAUUUCAUUACUCUUACUGUGCCAGAUAUAUAGAUGCCACGCAUAUACAUUAAGGCAUCAGGAAAGAACUAAAACAAUAGCUAAGAUUAAGGGUUUAGUGUAAGAAAGCAUAUCCACACAAGUGCAGAAAGGAAACGAAAAUGUCGCAAAACAAACCAUACCUGUGGUAUAUUAGGCGUGACAGUACCAGCUUUCGGAUUUGGCAUGAGCCCUCGUGGUCCUAGAAUCUUUCCUAGGCUAGCAACCUGAGAACAGUAGCACAUACAGUAUGAAGAAAAAUUACUGGAGAUCAUAGUUUCCAGCCGAUGAAAACCACAGAAGCAACAGAUACAGAAAAGAAAUUGUGAAUUGCUUCACGUUAAAGAACAGUGACUCAAAAUAUGAUUAAAAGGUAAAAGUUAAGAAAGCAAGCUGGUAGAAUCCUAAAAGCAGACCCCGAAAAGUCAGUCUAACUUGAGCAGCUUUUUUAACUCCAUGUGAACAAGUCACAAGGAAAACUGGGCAGCACCUAUUGCUUUUACAUUCUUAUUUAUAAUUAUUCAGUCUUGGUGGGUGGUGUCUCAUUAUGAGAUAAUAUGAGCGCUUUAGGUGCCCGCAAGAUAUGUUUUCAGAUAUUGAUGCAAUUUCUUUGCUUUUAAUUUCACUUAUGAAUAACAUGAACUUUACCACAUCAACCAAAGAAUAAUCAUCCGCAUCCCAUCAUGCACAUCAGGAUUUAGAUCUGACCCAAAUUACUACGAAGCUGACAAGUUGUCUUCCUGAAGCAAAACUAGUUUUCUCAUUUCAAUCAUAUAACCCUAGUUCAACCAAAAAACAAACAAAGAACACAACAUUUUAGAUUUGACCCAAAUUAAUUCUUUACUUCUAUAGAUGCUAUAGAAAAUGAAAAUGAUUAACAUACUUCACUGUACACUACACAUAAUUUAAUUGAACAAGAUAAUGAAGGCAGCACCUUAGGCAUCAUAUCCGGCGAAGCAAUUAGCUUGUCAAAUUCCAUGAAUCCUUCUUUUAUCUGUUGUAUCAAAUCAUCUCCACCAACCAAAUCUGCUCCAGCAUUUUUUGCUUCGUCAAACCUUUCACCUGCAGAUAUUGAAGAAGAUAAUACGUGACAUGAAAUAUAUGAAACCAAAACCAUAAGAUAACUUGUGCACAAAUGGAUGCCUGCUUGUCAUAUAAAAUGAGCUCAAGGAGUUGCUAAGAAGCUUAAAGAACAUGAAUAUUUGUGCAUAUUAUGAAGGGUCACAUGAGAACCAGAAUAUUUCACUUUUUUGGAAAAGUAGAAGACAUUCAAACAAACUACAAUAUGUCUAUUGAGAGCAAACAAUAAAUACCGAAGGUGCAAAUUUAUUAGAUACAAACACAUUUUUCAUACUAGCUUAAAUCUAGAGAAUAUAUAUCUCUAAUUCUGUGUAUAUAAGCUAAAUCAAGCCAGUGGUACAUCUCCCACAUCCUAAGUAACAAAAGAUCAAGACUAAAUAUUAAAACAACAUGCUCCAUUUAUGACUACUCUUAAAAAGACUUAAGAAAAUCUUACAAUUCCUAAAAAACUUACAAAAGUUUUCCCUCUUUUGGACCCAAAUGACUAAGAGAUUGCCUUUUCAUCAGGAAAAAAUGCAAACGAAAAUAUAUAUUCAGACUACACCUUACAGGAGCAAUGAUACUGCUCCAAUCCAAUUUGAAGACCGAAAAGGGAAUACUAUACUAAACCCUCCAACUAAAUCAUUUGGAAAAAAUGCACCCUUGACAGAAAAUAAAACCCCACUUCAGCAAAGCAAGCAUUUCUUCUGUUUUUUUCAACCAAGGUAAAAGAAUUAGAGAACAAAACCCCUCUCAGUGAAGGUGACUCGUUUUGGCCUUCAAGGCUUAAUUAGCAAAACAAUUUACCUAGAGAGAAUUCAGAUAACAGUUUCAAGACUAAGGGCCACCUGCCUAAUACAUGCUAAUGCAGAAAUUGCCAGCAUAGUUAUGGUCCUCUACUUUUUAUUCUCUAGGUUGAAAUUCCCAACUUGUAUCCACUAGGUUCAAAUACAUGGUUAACUUUAUACAUCUCCUUAGCUCAUACUAAAUGACAGAUAUAAUUACUUUGAAUACAGAGGUGAGAAAUUGAGAACCGGAACUACCUUGAGUAAGAACAGCCACUUUAACAGUCUGUCCAGUUCCCUUGGGCAGGUUUACCUAGUAGAAGAAUUCCACAACAAAUGGACGAAUAUAAUAUAGUGCUUAAGCAUUGAUAAGACUAAACAUAUCUCUGACCGACAAGAUCCGAAAACUCACAGUUGCCCUUAGCUGUUGGUCAUUAUACUUUGGAUCAAUGUUGAGGCGGAAAUGGGCUUCAGCAGUUUCUACAAAUUUCGUACUCGUCAUUUCUUUCAGUAAAGCGAGUGCUGGCUGCAGCUCAUACUCUUUUUUGGUUUCCCUCAGUUUCUGAAUUUCCAAGAAUCUUUUGGACCUUGUCUGACAUUUUAAACAGAAGACAACUGAACGCUUGAAUCACUACCGAAAUCUUGGAACAACGUAAAACUAGGACAUUGCAGGAAUAUAUCUAACAACAUAAAUGAUAAACAUAAAAAUAAACUAGAACCAAAUUAUCAAACACAACUUCAGGGCAUUCUCCAAUCCAAAACAUGGGAAAUCCGUCAAACUUUAAGGAUGUAAAUAUCAAAUUUUGCAGAACCAGUCUCUUCUCCGAGAUAACGAAGUGACCUUAAUUACUCAAAUCAAUUCCUUGACUUUUAGAAUUUAAAGAACCAUAACAAACAAGUAUUCGCCGAACUAACCGAUAAUCUACAAAAGAAAAACUAAAUGUAAGAAAGAAAAACCCACCAACGAGAUAACCCAAAAAAUCAAAUUUCACCCUCAAAACAAUGAAAAAUCCGAACUUGCAGAAGAAAACAAGAAAAAGACUCACUCUGUCUCUCUUCAAAAGCAAUGCAGCCUUCCCUUUCUUGGGCUUUGAAGGAACAGAAACAGCAACAGCAACAGACCCAUCACCUCCUUUCACUCCUUCCUUCUCGUCCACAUCCUCCUCCACCUCUGCCUCCGCCGUCAGAGCCGCCGCGGCCACUCGGUGAGGCUCGGAAUUGGACCAUUUGCUUGGUUCUCUCUCUCGAGGCCUUAGAGCCAGCGGGCAGAGGCAGAAGGUUUUGAAGAGGGGCUUGGGCUGGAAGGAGACGAGAGAGGGAGUGAGGUCAUGUGGGUGCGCGUAAGAGGAGGCGUACGUUAGCAUGAGGGACGAAGGCGUGGUGCUUGUCGCCAUUGAUGGAGCUCUCUGCAAAUAAACGAUUUUGAGCAAUUGCUCUACCUAUCCGUUUAUGUUGGAGAUAAGAGCUGGCUGUCAUUGUCUGCCAUAGACCUUAUGGAUGGUAUGAUACACCGUAGUUACCAUCACCGAUAUUAAAAUACAAUAACGAAUAGGAAAAUGCUAGAGGGAUUUUAUUUUUUUGGAACUUUAAAGAAAAGCUACUGGUAUUUUAUGUUAACGAAAAAUUAUAUGUUUACAUUAAAAAGUUAAUUUGGUACUAUUUACUUUACCUUUUAUUUUGUCCUUAUCAUUAAAAUUCAAAGUUUUCAAGUCAUUUUCAUUAGUUUUUCUUAUUUUUAAUCAUAUUUUAUAGAUUACAUAAUACGAUGUUCUUUUUAGAGAACGUAAUAAUAUAACAUCAAGGUUAAGGUUUUCCACAGUUAGAAAAAGUGAGUAUAGUACUAGCAUAUUAAAAUUUUAUAUAGGAAUAAUAUUUUUACAAUAGGUCACAAAAUUUGAGUGUGAUACCAAUAUACUCAUUAGUUCGAUGGCACUUAGUACUAUUGUCUUAGGUUCGAUUCUCGCAAUAGACUUAGCCUUACAAUGAGCUAACAAUAAUGUGGUUCAAAUUCGCCUUUGGCAAGAAUCGAACUUAAAACCUCUCACUUAUAAGUACAAAUGAAUAUCAUUAGACUGUAAUACUAAGUGACUAAAAAAGUGUUUGCAGUCUCAUCUAAUAGAAUGAUUUUUAACUCAUGAGUGUAAUAUUAAACUCAUGAGUGUGAUAUUAAUACAUUAAACUUAUAAAAGUAUAGUCAGUGACGUAUCUAGCAUUUUCAAAUAAUGAAAUCAUAAUAUUAAUUAAAAAAAUUGUAUUCGGCCCUUUCGUCAAUCACCUACUAGACAUUUUUUAAUUCAUGUCAAUAUAUGCCGACAUAUGUCACUAAAAUAGUAGAAGAAAAUAGAAAAAAUAGGAGGAGGAGAUUGUAAUUGCCUUAACCGUUUAUAGAGAUCAAAUAUAAUUUACAAACAAAUAUAUAUUAAGUUUUUGAAGUUGUUAGAAUAAAAAUUAACCAAUGAUUUCAUGCUUGGUCCCCCACUGACUCAAGCUAAUGUUAAUGCUAAAAUACAGACCGUAGAAAGAAACAAGGACAUGGACGUUCAGUUAUUCAUUUCCCACAAAUUUAUUUGACUCCCCAGUUUAUUCUGUCCACAAUAAAACCCCAUUCAAAUCAUUUCGGCAAAGCAAAAAAAAAAGAGUAAAUUGUAGAAAUAGUCCUUCAACUUUAAUUAAAUUAAAGUAAUGGUCUCUUAAUUAAAAAUUUAUUACCAUUGAUCAUUCAACUCAUCAAAACGUGUAAUUAUGGUCAAUUUCGUUAGAAUUUUAUCAAAAUAAGUUAUGUUGGAAUAAUCAUUGCUACAAUUGAGAUUCCUCAACUCAUCAAAACGUGUAGCUAUAGUCUUUUUCGUCAACUUCGUUAGAAUUUUGUCAAAACAAGUUAUAUUGGAAGGAUCAUUGCUACAAUUAGAUUAAAGUUGAGGGACCAUCGAUUCAAUUGGGUUAAAGUUGAUGAAUCAUUUCUCUAGUUGAAUUAAAGUUAAGAGACCAAUGGUGAUGAAUUUUUAGUUUAAGAAACAUAGAUGCAUUUAAUGAGUUGAAGAACUAAUGAUAAUGAACUUUUAGUUGAGAAAUCGUUGUUACAAUUGAGUUAAAAUUAAAACACCAUCGCUGCAAUUUCCUCAAAAAUAAAGAAAGAAAGAAGCAGGAAGAAGACCAAGACCCAGUCGGAUUGACCAUCUACUCCUCCACAAUUCCUCCCCCACAAUUCCUCCCCCAACCAAAUCCCACCAACCCAUUUUUCCUGAACAAUCUUUCUUUCUGGUUCUCCCAUUCUCUUCUACUUCUUCAAAGAGGAGAGAAGAGAGAGAGAGAGGGAGAUACUGAAAGUAAAGCAACCAACCAGCAAUGGCGGCAGUAACCACCAUCUCCAACUUCGCCACCUUUCACUCUCAGUUUCCCCCUUCACCAACCAACCCCCACCAUUUCUCUUUAUCCCCAAAAAAACUUCACUCUCACCAUCGUCGCCCGCACUAACAUCACCGCAACUCCUUCCGUCCAACUCACCGCCUCUCGCUUCACCCGAUCCCACUUCGCCUCCGCCGCAUACGGCGGUGAACCCCCCGCAGGAGGAGCGGAGAUGGCGGAAGCGGAGGUAAUGAUAACAAUGACAGUGAUGGGAGUGGUGAUGGUGAUGAGGACCGGGAUCGGAACAAGGCGGAGGCCCUGGCGGCAAUGGUGGAGGCAGGGAGGUUGUCGGAGAGUCUGUCGAAGGACUUAGCGGCGGCCAUAAAGGCCGGACGGGUGCGGGGCUUGAUUGUGAAGAGGUUCUUUGAGCUGGAGAAGUCGGCGGUGUUCAGAUGGUUGCUUGGGUUUGAUGGGUUCAAGGAGCGGUUGCUUGCGGACGACUUGUUCUUGACCAAAGUUGGCAUCGAGUGCGGCGUUGGAAGGAAACUAUUGAAAAUGUCUUGAAAACUUUAAGUUUUAGGACAAAUUAAAGGAUAAAGUGAAUAGUAGUACCUGAAUUAACUUUUUAGUAUAAAAAUGUGGUUUUUCGUUAAAGUGAAUAGUACCAGAAACUUUUCGUUAAAGUUCCUUAUUCACUAAGGUCUCUGCUUUUCAUUUACUCUCUUCUUUUUAUUUAGGUAUAAUCUUUCUAAGGCUCGAUAUGAAAAACUUUUUAAAUGACUGAAAGUGUUUUUGAUGAGAGUGUUUUUAGAGUUAAUCUCGAUGAAAUUCGAUGAACAAUUUCGCUAAGUGUAGCAACGGUCUUCGUAAUAGAAAUUUGAUGAUCAAUUUGCAUGUGAUUAUUCUUGUGGACGCCAAAAAUAUAACGGUCAAAUUUCUUAAAUUUUUUAGAGGAAGAAAUCUUGACCGUAUUGUGGCAUCAACUGUUCUUAUUUGGCGCCUCAACAUGAGAGUAACUUUUAUAUAGAACGAGUUCAUCGCCACAUGACAUUCUGGCCCAAUAAUACAUUGUUAUGUGGAGAAAAACUUGCACAUGACAAUGGAUUAUUGGACAAGGGACGCCACGUGCACAUGUUCCAUGUAAGUCAUUCGCUGCCAACAGAGUUGGCGUCCCUAUUAUGCAUUGGAUAUCCUUGACUUUUGAAUUGAAGUACCAUUUGAAGUAUCUCUUAGUAUGGAUGUAAAUUUGAGUGUAAUAACAAUAUACUCAUUAGUUCAAUGUCAGUGUGCCACUUAGUACUAUAGUCUUAAGUUCGAUUCUCGCAAUAGGCUUAGCCUUACAAUGGGCUAACAAUUAUGUGGUUUAAAUUUGCCUUUAGCGAGAAUCGAACCUAAGACCUCUCAUUUACAAGUGAAAAUGAAUAUCACUAGACCGUAGUACUAAGUGGCUAAAAAUGUGUUUGCAAUCUCAUCUAAUAGAAUGAUUUUUAACUCAUGAUUGUACUAUUAAACAAAAGAGUGUCAUAUUAAACUCAUGAGUAUGAUAUUAAUAUAUUAAACUUAUAAUAGUAUAGUCAGUGAUGUAGUCAGAAUUUUCAAAUAAUGAGAUCAUAAUGUCAAUCAAAAAAGUUUUAUUGUGCCCUUUCGUUGAUCACCUCCUAGGCACUUUUCAAUUUCUAUCAACAUAUGCUGAAAAUUUAUGCCGACAUAUGUCACUAAAAUGGUAGAAGAAAAUAUAAAAAGUAGGAGGAGGAGAUUGUAAUUGCCUUAACUAUUUAUAGAAGUCAAAUACAAUAUAUAAACAAAUAUACAUUAAGUUUUUGAAGUUGUUAAAAUAAAAAAUAAAGAAAACUAAUGAAAAUGGUUUGAAAACUUUGAAUUUUAACGAUAAGAACAAAAUAAAGAGUAAAGUGAAUUGUACUAUAAUUAACUUUUUAGUGUAAAAAUAUAAUUUUUUGUUAAAAUAAACAACAUCAAGAAGUUUUCGUUAAAUUUUGUUUAAAAAUAACCAAUGAUUUCAGGUCCGCCACUGACUCAAGCUAAUGUUAAUGCUAAAAUACAGACCAUAGAAAGAAACAAGGACAUGAACGUUUAGUCAUUCAUUUUCCCACAAAUUUAUUUGACUACCCAAUUGAUUCUGUCCACAAGGAAAACCCCAUUCAAAUAAUUUCGUCAAAACCAAAAAAAUAAGAGUAAAUUGUGGUAAUGGUCUUCUAAUUUUAAUUAAAUUGAAGUAAUGAUCUCUUAACUAAAAAUUUAUUACCAUUAGUCCUUUAACUUAUCAAAACGUGUAAUUAUGAUCAUUUUCGUCAACUUCAUUAGAAUUUUAUCAAAAUAAGUUAUGUUGAAAUGACCAUUACUACAAUUGAGGUCUCUCAACUCAUCAAAACGUGUAGCUAUGAUCAUUUUCUUCAACUUCGUUAGAAUUUUGUUAAAAUGAGUUAUGCUGGAAGGAUCAUUGCUACAAUUGGGUUAAAGUUGAGGGACCAUUGAUUUAAUUAGGUUAAAGUUGAGGAAUCAUUUCUCCAGUUGAAUUAAAGUUAAGGGACCAAUGGUGAUAAAUUUUUAGUUUAGAGACCAUAGCUGAAUUUGAUGAGUUGAAGAACCAAUGGUAAUGAAUUCGUUGUUUCAAUAAUUUUUAAUUGAGGAAUCGUUGUUUCAAUAAUUUUUAAUUGAGGAAUCGUUGUUUUAAUUGAGUAUGAUCAUUUCUACAAUUUCCUGGUAAAUAAAGAAAGAAAGAAAGAAGCAGGAAGAAGACCAAGACCCAGUCGGAUUGACCAUCUACUCCUCCAGACUUCCUCCUCCAACCAAAAUCCCACCAACCCAUUUUUCCUGAACAAUCUUUCUUUCUGGUUCUCCCAUUCUCUCUCUACUUCUUCAAAGAGGAGAGAGAGAAAGAGAGAGAGGGAGAUACUGAAAGUAAAGCAACCAACCAACAAUGGCGGCAGUCACCACCAUCUCCAACUUCGCCACCUUUCACUCUCAGUUUCUCCCUUCACCAACCAACCCCCACCAUUUCUCUUUAUCCCCAAAAAACUUCACUCUCACCAUCGUCGCCCGCACUAACAUCACCGCAACUCCCUCCGUCCAACUCACCGCCUCUCGCUUCACCCGAUCCCACCUCGCCUCCGCCGCAUACGGCGGUGAACCCCCCGCAGGAGGAGGCGGAGACGGCGGAAGCGGAGGUUAUGAUAACAAUGACAGUGAUGGGAGUGGUGAUGGUGAUGAGGACCGGGAUCGGAACAAGGCGGAGGCCCUGGCGGCAAUGGCGGAGGCGGGGAGGUCGUCGGAGAGUCUGCCGAAGGACUUAGCGGCGGCCAUAAAGGCCGGGCGGGUGCCGGGCUUGAUUGUGAAGAGGUUCUUUGAGCUGGAGAAGUCGGCGGUGUUCAGAUGGUUGCUUGGGUUUGAUGGGUUCAAGGAGCGGUUGCUUGCGGACGACUUGUUCUUGACCAAAGUUGGCAUCGAGUGCGGCGUUGGAAUAUUCACUAAGGUCUCUGCUUCAUUUACUCUCUUCUUUUUAUUUAGGUACAAACUUUCUAAGGCUCGUUAUGAAGAGCCUUUUAAAGUGACUCAAAACGUUUUUUAUGAGAUUGUUUUUGGAACUAAUUCCGAUGAAAUUCGAUGAACAAUUUUGCUAAGUGUGGCAGCGGUCUUCGUAAUAGAAAUUUGAUGAUCAAUUUGCAUGUGAUUAUUCUUGUUGACGCUAAAAAUAUAACGGUCAAAUUUCUUAAAUUUUUUAGAGGAAGAAAUAAUGACCGUAGUGUGGCAUCAACCGUUCUUAUUUGGCGCCUCAACAUGAGAGCAACUUACAUGGAAUGAGUUUACCGUCACAUGGCAUUCCGCCCAAUAAUACAUUGCCAUGUGGAGAAAAACUUGCACAUGACGAUGGAUUGUUGGACAAGGGAUGCCACGUGCACCUGUUCCAUGUAAGUCCUUCGCCGCCAACAGAGUUGGCGUCCCUAUUAUGCAUUGGAUAUCCUUGACUUUUGAAUUGAAGUACCAUUUGAAGUAUCCCUUAGUAUGGAUGUAAGCUCUUUACAUGUUGCUCAUUUUUCAGACUGCUGCAGAAUUGGAGCGACGCCGAGAAAAUUUUACCAAAGAGCUGGAUUUUGUUUUUGCUGAUGUGGUAUGUCUCUUGUAUAAAUAAGAGAUUUGAUUUCAUUGUGCUAUAUAAUGGAAAGCUAUCAUCUCAAAUCAAAGUAAUUUCCAUCUGCUUCAUAGAUGAGCAGUUUAUAUAAGUGGUGUAUGUUAAAUUAGCGCAACAGUGUAAUCCUCUGAAACGCUUUGGUGGAAUCCGGGAUAUGACAUACGAUAUAAAGUUAGAAAUAAAUAAGUUGAACUGGGACAUUCUGCCUUUCAGUCAAGCAUGGUCUUUAUAUUGGGUCAUGAAAUGGAAUGGAUGCAGAAAACUUUCUUUGUUCGUUUUGUGCUCAAUGCGAACUCUUGGUAUGCAAUUUGUGCGCUUCCAAAUACAGAAUCAUUGAAUCAUGUUCAUGUAUUUGGUAAUAUUUACUCUUCUUUUCUAUUUUCUUCUUGACCUUUUGCUUUUUCAAUCAAUAGGUUUAGCGUUUCUUAGUUGGCCUUUACCUGGUAACUGUGCUCAAGGGUUUUCCAUGGAAUUAUCAACUUUGUUUUAUGAAGUUGAGUUGGAAAAUGCAGAGAUGACUUAUUAUUUCAUUUGCGGUUUUUAGUUGGACCUGGUAAAAUGUUCUUCGUUUGCAUUAUCUGAUUGUUUGACUACUUGACUACACUUUCAGAAGGUUUAUUUAUCUCAAGGGAAAGAGUUUUCGAUUUUUAGUCAUAAGUUGUAAUAUAUGUCAAGCUAUGAGUUGCUUAUAGUGGAAAAGCUCUGCAGCGAUCCUUCAACUUUCUAGCAGAAGUCUUUUGGUUACCAAUUUCAAUCUAUUUGUUCUUUCUUCUUUUUCUGGUAGUGUUUCUGUUUUUGGUUUGUUCCACCUUUUGGCAGCCUGACCCUUAAACAGAUAUUUUUUAUCUUUUCCUUUUAAAUCUUAGGUGAUGGCCAUCAUAGCUGAUUUUAUGCUUGUCUGGCUUCCCGCUCCUACUGUUUCGCUUCGACCACCUCUUGCUGUCAGCGCAGGCCGUAUUGCUAAGUUCUUCUAUGGGUGUCCGGAUAAUGCUUUCCAGGUUCUUGCUUGUUUCAUUACUUUUGGCUUUUUCAAGUUGCCACUGUAUCAUGAGUAUAACAUCAUGGGAGGCAUCAAUCUUGUCUGCAGGUAGCUUUGUCUGGAACAUCUUACUCACUCUUACAGAGAAUAGGUGCAAUAGUGGUAUGUGAUAUUGUGUUCUGUGAUCCAAAAUUAUUCAGUCUUUACGUUCAUGGUCAUUGGAGUUUAUAGUAUUUUGAUUGUUUCAGAGAAAUGGAGCUAAACUAUUUGCAGUUGGGACUGGUGCAUCUCUGGUAAGUGAAACACCUUACAUGUUUCAAAAUGCCUUAGCUUUAGCUUUUCUGAGAAUUAUCUGUAACAUCUACGCAAUGUAAAACAUUGUGGCUCUCCUCUCCUUUUUCCAUUUUAUCAUGAACUUUUCGUGUGACAUUACAAGACCUCAAAGCUGGGCAAAACUUCCCAUAAGUUACUUGAUAUUUGUUCUAUCUUGUUUGAAACAAUGGAAUUUUCAGCUAUCACCAAAUACUUUUUAUACUUUUUUAAGCCCCUGUAGUUAUUAGCAUCAUGCUAUGCAGGAAAAACUACAUCAGCUUUUGUUCGGCAUGUAAGCUAACUCUACUAGCAUUUUGUACUAAACAUGCCGGUUACUUAUGCAGUAUAUGUCUAUCAAAAUUUUCUUUCUUUACCACUGGUUGUUUGAACUUUGCUCGUCUAAAGUUAAAUCUAAUUAGGACUCGGUUGUGGCAAACUUAAAUUAAGCCAUUGGUAGAACUCCAGUGAGUUUAACAUUGUAUCAAACUCCAUUGAGUUUAAUGUUGUAUCAACAUCCAAGAAUGGUAAAGAUGCAAAUUCUUUUUCUCCAAAUAAUUUACAAAGGCACAAGCUUCUUCGACGGUCCAACCACUCGUAUAAAUUUAUUCGCCAUUCUGAGGGUCUAGUGUGCUUUAUUGUUAUUGAAAGUUACUUUCAUUUUUUCAAUUUCUGUCUGCAAUAUUAUACGCAUUCGGAGAAAGAGAUGGUAGUUUUUGGUACAUUACGAGAUUGUUUUGGUCCUAUGUUAUAGUUUUCAUUGCAGAAUGUACAUAUGAAGUCUUCUUCGAAUUUUAUUUCUCUUCUCUUAUUCCACUUUGUUAUAUAGUUGAAAUUGUUAGUAGCCGUUUGGUGUCAUACGAUGGAUAACAAUUUUUAAUAAAAAUUGUUUCAGGUUGGUACGGGUGUGACAAAUGCAUUGAUUAAUGCACGAAAAGCUCUCGAUAAAUCCUUUGCUGGUGAAGCUGAGGAUGUUCCCAUAUUAUCAACUAGUGUAGCCUAUGGAGUUUAUAUGGCAGUUUCUAGCAAUCUAAGGUACAAGGGCUAUUUUCAGAUUGAAGUUUUCUAGUUAUCAUUUUUACUCUAACCUUCACGAACUGUUAGCAUAGGCCAUUAACAAAAAAAUUUAGAUUGAAUGUGCGUAAAGAAGCUUGAGACUGUGAAUAGUAACUGUCAUUUCAUGGAGAAUUGGAUAUGUCCAACAACAACAACAACAACAACAAAGCCUUUUCCCACUAAGUGGGGUCGGCUAUAUGAAUCCUAGAACGCUAUUGCGCUCGGUUCUGUGUCACUUCUUCCGUUAGAUCCAAGUACUCAUAAGUCUUUUCUUAGAGUCUCUUCCAAAGCCUUCCUAGGUCUUCCUAGAAUCGGAUCUGUUCCAAAAAUAAAAAAUAAAAAAUAAAACCAUUUGUGGCGUUUCUAGGUAGGACUAUGCCUUUUUGGUUAUCAUGAAGCCUUUUAUAUAGUCUCCAAGAACAUGGUGACGGAAGAAACCGUUCAUAAAAUUCUUUCAACAGCAAUUUUGUGAAAGGACACAUGCUAUAAAUAUGUCUUAAAAAGAAAAGCUGAGCAGCUUUGACUCCUCAACUCGCAUCUUGAAGAUGCACGUUUAUGUUUGUGUCUGAAUAUGGUUAGUAAUGUGUUUGAAGAAUUCUGGAAAUUCAUCGCAGCUUAAUUAUUCCAACAAUGUAUACAAGCUCUGCAGCAAACUAAGGACCUGCGUAGUACAUUACAGUUGGGAUAGAUGGACGGAUGACACCUUGAAGCAAGAAAUCUUUUUGCUUACCAUUUAUUUAGCUUUACUUACCAAAUUUUAUGUUUUUCGAUUUCUUUCAAAGGUACCAAGUUCUCGCGGGAGUAAUUGAACAGCGACUUCUGGAACCCUUGCUGCACCAACACAAGCUUAUACUGAGUGCAAUUUGCUUUGCUGUUCGAACUGGCAACACGUUCUUGGGUUCCUUGAUGUAUGACCUGAGUUCUCCUUGAAUGUCAUUAUAUUCGUUCGUUGUGUAUCCGUCUUCAAAUUCUCAUAAUUUUUUGUAUUGUGCAACAGGUGGGUCGAUUAUGCACGUUGGAUUGGAAUUCAAAAGAUCCGAGAGUAGAGCGUACGGUAGAUUACUAAAGUUACAUGAUUGUUUGUGUGGAUAUUGAUUUCAUUUCUGUUCUCACUGUUAGACAAACGAAACAAUCCUUUCGCUGAAAGGCAGUGAACGAAACAAUUCACAACAUGUAUAAAAAAGUAUCUUUCUUUGGCAGGCCAGGGUACAAGUAAUCUUUUGCUCACAUUUAGUCCUUUUUGCACCACCGUCGCCACCGCACUAGUGCUGGCAUUGAGUCCUUUUUAAACUCUCGCACGAUGUCAGCGCCAGUGCGGGAGACUCGAUGGUACUAUCCAUACAUCGUUUAUAUUAUUGAUUCUACCGAUGUUUCAAAUGCAAAAAGAAGCCAACUGUGUAUUUCCUUCUAUCUAACAAAGCAGUACAGGUUGGUAGGAAGAACCUGCUGCCAAACAAGUUGUCAUACGCCUCAAAUAUGAUAACUUUCGACACCAUUAGCUGCUCAUGCACAUAGCUUUUAAGAACUGAAUCAAACAAUAACACUGUGAGGGAAUGGCUAAUGAGCGUGGGUGCAAGAAGAAAAAUUGAAAAUUUACCAGAGAAGCCAAAGAGAUACAAGGGACGUUGGCGACCGCGGAGCUGGCGGCGUCAAGCUCGUCAUGUGAGCUGCAGCAGACCACCAUGGGAAACCCCGGACGCCGACCUGCCACGCCCAGUAGGUCCAUCAACGUCUCCUGCCGAAUUAAAUUUCCACAACUUUUAACUUCAAUUAGUCAAAAAACUCCAUUGUUACGCAGAUGGGUGCGGAGAAAUUUACCAUCUUGAACUGGUAUCUGUCGACGGCGAGGUAGAAGUGGUAGUUGCAUCCACCUUCAUGGAGGAGGUUGUCGGAGAGUCUACCGAAGCACUUGGCAGCGCCAAAAGAUCACACGCGAUUUUUAUAGAACGGUGAACAACUGUUUUUAUGGUAAUCAUGCAAUGUCACAUGAAGUGAAAAAUAAAAAGAUAAACCAUUGUAUUUUUAUGUUAAUCAUGCAAUGUCACGUAAAGUAAAAAAUACAUACGGGCGUUGUAUUGUUAACAUAAGACACCACAAUGAGGGUAUUAUCUUUCAACAACAGUGAGGUGGCUUGAGUGACAACACAACUCAACAUAAGAGUCCUACUCUUCCUGUGGAGAACAAAAUUCAAUAAUGCAGUAAGUCAAAGACCCAAAACAAUGCAAUGACAUGGCAGCACAAAAAGAAUAAACUUGGGUUACCCUUGACCAUGUUAGUGGAUCAUUUAAUAUCGACAAGUACAUUGAUGUUAUAUUAUCGCCACGUAGUUACUUAUAUAAUUAAUGUUAUCGAUACUUUAAUUAUAUAGUUGUCAAUAUCGUAAUAAUAUAUAAUUGCCAAUUAAAGUCCUUAAAAGGGCUACUUUCUUUUUAGUUCAGUGGUAAGUAUCACUGAAUGAUCAAAAAAAUUAACGGUUAGAUCUUGUAUAAUAGAUCUUUGCAACAAUUAAAUCAUGUGUAAAACUAAGUAUCACCAACUAUCUACCAUUGUAACCAGUCUCAAAAGAGUGCUACUAGACCUACCCUAGUAUCUUAUUUCCACACCCACAUUAUAAUCCCACCCAAUACAAAGAGUUAAAAACUUGAAAUGUUAUCUUCUCAUCAACUGUUAUUUCUAAAAUAAUCUUUAUAUUGAAAAUCUUUAUAUUUUUAUUUUUAUUGAAUAAAACAAAAUCUAUAAAGACACGAUUCAAUCGAUCAAGAUGCACAACGAGGAUUGCAUCUAUACAAUACAUUUUACACAAUUCCCAGCGUCUUCUCCAUCCUCCAGCACGCCACCCGCCCCGAAAACACCAUGUUCCACUUCAUAUGCGCCUCCCACAACAAUUGGUAUGUGGAUUGUGGAUAGACAAGCUUUUAUCCUAGUUUUCAAGGCUGUUUGCUGGUACUGACAACAAAAACAAACAUAUCAAAUUAAAAUGCCCAAAGGUAUUGAGGACUUUAUUUUUUGAAGAUUUAGAGAGGUGGGUUGUUCUAGAAGAUGGAGAAGAACGAACCUAUCAACCUAGAGAGCAGAGGUUUUUCUUUUCUUUAGUCUUAGAUGUCAUUUUACAAGAGAGUAAAUUUGAUAUCAAAAUUUUUAUUAAAAGAUGGGUGAAAAAUAAGACAGUACGGUGAGUUUAUCACCAUUCUCUCAAAAAGUGAUAGAAUUGGUGGUCAUUUGGGCCAAAAUGUCCUAAGUGGUGGGCUUUUGUGCUCUCUCUCACUAGUUUCAUUUCGUUUCGCCGACUGUUCAACAACCGAACUCUAAUCAAAUCCACCGAAAUAUCAGAGCAGCAGCGCGGCAGCGAAAGGAGAUGUUGAGGGACGAGUCGACCUGCAAUACCUACAACUAUGGCGACGCCCUCUACUGGGACGCCCGCUACGUCCAAGAAGGUGGCGCCUUCGACUGGUACCAGCGCUACUCUUCUCUCCGCCCUUUCGUCCGCCACUUCAUCCCCACCUCCUCUCCUGUUCUCAUGGUCGGCUGCGGCAAUGCCGGUACUCUUUUGCCACCCACCCAUUUCCCUCAUUCUCUUUUUAUUCCCUUUCCCUUUUGUUUUCUAUAUGUGUAUAUAUAUAUAUAGCUCCCUUCCGACUCUCUGCUUUAAUUGCUCUGUUUGAUUGCUGAGAAACUCAGAGGAAAGUACAGAAAAGAUAAUUUUUUGACGUGGGAAUUUGGGUCAUUGGGUGAUCUUUGUGCUUGUAUUAUUUGAAUGAGACUUUUGUUAGAGUAUUGGUUCCCGAAAUUCAGUUGUUCCGAUCAUUCCCGUUCCAUUCUAGCUAUUUUUUUGGUAAUUUUGAGCUGGGUUUUUGUAAUUAUUGCUAUUCUGUGUUUGGUUGAACAUUGUGCUACUCAAAUUUGACCCCUUUUAUUGCUGGGGAUUUUGGCAUGAGUAUGAAUUCCCCAAAUUAAGGUUCUGUUUUGUGUUUUCCUUCUGUUGUGGUUGAUACAUAUAUGAAUUGCCACGGCGGAUGCAUUCUUUGUAGGCCCUAGAAUGAAAAAAGAAGUUGCGAAGUAUCGUUUUAUUUCCCACUAAUUAGAAAAUUUGAUGUUGAAAGUAAUAAUGUACCUGAUGCAAUUCGGGUCCCUAAACUUGGCAUUGUCCUUGCCAUCCAUAGGAGAAAGAUUUUUGAUGCAACAAUCAUGCGGUGUCCAGCAAAAGGAACCUGACAUCUGUAAUUUCGUUGGUUUAAGAUACUUUAUAUGGUUCUGUGUACUUGUUGAUUAAGAUAAUGAUGGAAAAAAUGUUCUCUGUCCCAGUUAUGUCCGAGGACAUGGUCAAGGAUGGAUAUGAAGACAUAAUGAACAUUGACAUUUCGUCAGUGGCUAUCAACAUGAUGAAAAGAAAAUAUGAGCACAUACCUCAGCUGAAAUGUAUCCUUUUGGAAAUUUACUUCUUUAAAAUCUCUAGUACAAAUUUAAAUUUUCCUUUGUAACGAUUGGGGACACUAGGCAUGGUUCCUAUAUGAAUCUUAUAGACAUGCAAAUGGAUGUCAGAGAUAUGAGUUUCUUUCCAGAUGAAUCAUUUGAUGGUGUCAUUGAUAAAGGUAAGAAUCUAUUUCUCCGUGUUACUCAUUUUAGAAAUAUACAAUAUUGUAUACUAAUUUUCUGUCUUGUCUUGAUAAACCUUGUUUGCUUUCAUCACUUUUUGCACCUGUGGUCUGUCAAAGGAACUCUUGAUUCACUAAUGGUACGAUGCAUGUUCUUAUGUUCUAAUUACUCCUGCUACUCAUUACUGGGCACACUCUGAUUUUCUCAUUUGUGCUUAUGUUUUUAGUGUGGCAACGAUGCUCCAAUUAGCUGCUCAAAUGCUCGGGGAAGUGAGCAGGUUUUAGACUUUAAAACUCAAUUUACAGCUGCAAUUUCUUAUACCAGUUCACAAUUUCUCUCUCCAUUCUAAAGUAAUUCAAUAUCAUUUAGUUCUAUAUUCCUUCACUAAUAUGGUUGUUAUUUUGCUUGUAGGCUUCUUAAACCCGGAGGGAUCUAUAUGUUGGUAAAUGUGCAACCUUAAAUUGGGUUACAUUUUUCAAUGCUCUUUCUUUAGUUAAAAGCUCAAAAUGUAUCUGUUCUUACAAUGCUGUAUAGCAGAUAACCUAUGGUGAUCCUACAGUAAGAAUGCCUCAUUUGAGCCGGCCAGUGUACAACUGGAAAGUCCGUUUGUAUGUUAUACGUAAGUUUACUGUCCUUUCAUAAUAGUUCAUAUUUUUCUUGCUGUUCAAAUAUCUGCAGUUUUCUUCAUUCAAUUAGCUCUCCAGAAGAUUUUGCUUCCAUGUUAUUAAAUUCUGUUUAAUAUUGCUAGAGAUUUUUGGUUAAAUUGCAUUUUUCAUUUCUUUUCGAUGCCAAAUGUUCUCAUUUUUUUAGUGAGUUUAAGUCAAUUUUAACACAUGGUGAACAUCCGUUCAAGUAUAAUGGUACAAGAUUUUUGUUGUCCCACAUCUAAAGUGGUGUCAGUUAAGAAAAUAUCUAAUUUCCUUCACCAGCUUGAGAAGUUAGUAGCUAUUCACAAUCUACGAGUUAAUAUGAUUGACAAAGCGAAAAUGGGAGCUAGCGAUGACCUCCAAAAUUGUCAUUUAGGAGUUUAAGAUCUUUGGAUUCCAUGUGCAGGUUGUAUUAUUCAACUUGUUUUUGGUUUUUGUUUUCCGUUAAUUGGUAUUUGGGUUAUUGGUUAGGAAGUUCAGUCCAGAUUGUCCAAGCAUCAGAUACUUGUUGCUUAUGCAUAGCGUACAUGCAAGCUGACUAUUUUUCAACUAUCGCAAACUACGUUGUACCCACCUUUUCCUGGGAUCUUUCUUAGAUAGUCAUAAGCAGUCAACAGAGAUGAUAGUUCUAUGAAUUUGUUUCUUCCUGUUUUCUAGCCCAUAUACAUUCAGUUUUUGUUAGUUCAGUGUUUACGAUUCCUGAUAGAGGUGUCUUAUCUAGAUUUUGUAUCCUUUUGGCUAUUGUUUCACAGCCAGACCAGGAUUCCAAACGCCUGAAGGCUGUGGUUCGUCAACAAAGUCAGAUUUGGAACCUGUUCCUAUCACUGAGAAGGGCUUACUUCCGGCUGAUUUUGUUUUGGAAGAUCCAGAUUGUCACUUCAUAUAUGUGUGUAAAAAGGACGAUGCGGAGCUAAGUAAUCCACCAACUGAUGGAUUGAGUCGAUUGACAGUUGAUGGCUUAUAGUAAUUACUUGCAGUGCAGUGAAACACCGAUGAAGGUACCUCGUGCCCUGUAUACUAGCAUUCAAAUGCUUAUCGUCGUCAUUUGUAUGAUUAAUUGUUGUACCACCUGCUAAUUGUGAUCGUGGUUGGGGUGUCUGUAAGAGAGAGGAUUUUGUUCAAUGUAUCUGCCUAGAUCUUUGGCAUGAAAAUCUAAAACAAAUAACUCAAUGAAACAAAAGCCUCCAUGGACACAUUGGUUGGCCCCAUCCUUUGAUUUAUUGUAUUGUAUCAGUCAACACUGAAGUAGCUACCAUGAACAAUUACAAAAUAAAUCGUGAUAUUAGUUUAUUUUUUGGAACAUUUGUACUUAGUUUCCUCAAUUGCGUGAUGACUGUUUAUCGUAUGCAGUGUUUAAAAUAUUGAUACUGGUAGAAAUAUUGAAAUGUAAAUUUAUGAAAAUAUCGAUGAGUAUAUCGAUAUCAGUUGCCUUCAAUGGAAAUUAUAGAAAUUUGCAAUGAGUCAAGUUCUUCCAAAAAGAGCACUUGGGAGAGCUUCUCGAAGAAGCAUUUGACAAGUGUUUCUCAAUAAGUGCCUCCAAUACCCAUAAACACUUUUAACGCUUUUUGACAAACAUAGUUAGAAACGUUUUUAACUGUUAGAAAAAAAAGUAUCCUUUUUUCUAGAAGCAAUGCUAAACACGCUCUACCUCAACCCUUAUAAAGUUUAUCUUAAGGGCAUUUACCCAAUUACCCUCAUACCAGAAGUUAUUGUGUUUGAUUCUCUUUUAAUAUUGCUUGAUAGUCCCCAUCACAACCAAUAAACCUAGGCUGAAUAAUCAUUUCACCUCAACAAAAGUUGUACACAAUUAUAUUUUGUAGCUAAAAAAUCAUUUGAUUCAGGGAAAAGAUCUUUUGCAAGCCAAAUUAGUAAUGAGACCCUUCCCAAUUUAACCAUUACAGAAAAGAAGAGAAGUUCUUUUACAAAAACAGAAAAAGUGCUUUUACAAACAAACUUGGCAACUCCCAAUUCUCUAAAAUUGGAAGUAAUUCAAAAGUGCUUUUUCAAACAAACUAGACAAUUCCCAUAUGCUCCAAAUUUGGAAGUUGCUUUACUAAAUGUAUCACUUGGAUAGUUGCAAUGUAACCAAAAACUUCUUAAUGUGGUAAAUAGAGAUUCCCAAAGUGGGCUCCACAACACAAAUGUGGCAAAUUGGAUAGCAAGGGCAUUAGAGGGGCAUAUACUCUCUCCCUCCCAAAACAGAAAAAAAUACACACAAAACAAAAUGCCCCUCUCUCUAAUUUUGGCAGAGGAUUUACUAUUUCUAGCACUAAAUAUUAAACUACCAUGUUUAUGGCACACAUAUAGAUAAUACGAUAAUUCACACUAAAUUUAUUUAAAUUAUAGUGAGAGAAGAGUUUGGACUGAAGACAUAGUGUUAAACAAAUUAACUGCAUCUGUCACGGCAAUUCAAGACUUACAUAAUGAAAGGGAUCCUCUCUGGAUCCCUUCCUCUUAAUCCAUCAAGUCUGGGGAUUCGGACCGUUGAAAUUUGAUCAAACGGCUAAAAUUAUUAUAACUUUUAAAGUGGACCCCUAUUUGUAGCCGUUAGAUCAAAUUUCAACGACCCGAAUCCCCGGACUUGAUAGAUUAGGAGGAAGGGAUCUGAAGCGCUUUCCGUUUUGAAACGGCCAAGUGGGACCCGUAAGCAAGACCGACAAAACAGUUUCCAACUCGAAAUACAAUAAAUAAUAGGUAAAAAAUGGUUAGGAAGUAAAAGUGGGAUCCAGAAUGCCAAAUGUGGGAAAGCAGAGUCAUGCAACCACUCUCUAAAUAGUAAACAGAGCCAUGCAAACUUGCCGUUUCCAAGCUUUCGCCAUUUGGGGUAUAAACGCUUUCUUUCUAUUUCUCUCUCACACCAACACACACGCCCCUUUAUCUUCUCCCCAAUCUAAUUUUGGCAACGCCCCCUUCCCCCUUCAUCCCCACCCUCUCUCUCUCCCAAAGAACCAAACCCUCAGAACAACGCCUCCUAGAGAGAGAGAGCACACAACUCUUUUGGACUUUUAGUUUUAGAGAGAUAAAUUUUUUAAUGGUAUUCAAGUUUUUCUGCUAAAGUUGGUGCCUUUUCUGGGUUUUUGAGCAUUUGGGUUUUUUUAAUAUAUUUUUUGUUGGAGGGGUUAUUGAGAAUUUGGGAGAAAUAAUGGGAAGGGGGAAGAUUGAGAUCAAGAGGAUUGAGAAUGCAAAUAGCAGACAAGUCACAUUCUCAAAGAGACGUUCUGGGUUGCUCAAAAAAGCUCAGGAAUUGGCUAUUCUCUGUGAUGCUGAGGUUGCUGUUAUUAUCUUCUCCAAUACUGGAAGGCUUUUUGAGUUUUCCAAUGCUGGGUAUGUCUCUGAAUUUUUUACCUUUUUACUCUUUAAAUUCUGGGUACAAAGUUUUCAUUUUUUUUCUACUUCUGAAUUUUUUGGUUUCAUGCAUGUGUUUCUGAUCAUGUUUCUCUGAUGUGUUUUACUUUUUUUGGAUAAAGAUUUUGUCUUUGAAUAUGAAUUUAUCUGGGGUUUUGGUUUUUCCAUUUUUACUGUUGAUUUUUUUUUCUCUUCAUUUUUUAUUGUUUUUAUUUUAUUUCAGGGACCAGUGGAUGCUUCUGUUCCCCUUUUCCCUUUUUCUUAUUUGGGUUUGUGUGAAUGUCUGGGAUGGUCAUUUUACUUAUGAAGUUGGGUUUUCUUUUCUUAUAUAUUCUUCCCUACCCUGUUGCCUACAAUCUUAUAAUUGUUGAUCUGGGGGCGAUUUCUCCUAUGAGCAAAUUUUGAAUUGGUUGUGCAAAUAUUUGAAUAUAUAUCUUGGUUAACGUUGAGUUUACAAGUAUUUUUUGAGACUUUGAGUGAAGUCUGUUCCAACUUUUAUGAUGUUUGAUCAAUUGGAUCUGCAAUGGACCUUGGUAAGCUAUUAGUACCGGUGAUGAUUCUGAACUAUCAGAAAGGCUGAUUUCAGCUAAUAACUCUGGUUAAUUUAGUGCUAAAUCCGAUAGCAGAAUCGAAAGAACUUUCACUUCCUUUUGAACUUCUCAAAGUUGAAACUGCCCUGUUUGGUUGUUGCUCCUUUGUGCAUCUUCCAAAGUUAGGCAGUGGUUUAUUUUUGGGAUUUGAAUAUCCAGAUGCUGUUUUCUUUUUGUAGUAUGAUACGAACUCUUUCAAGAUACAACAAGUGUUUAGAUUCGUCAGAAGAUGCACCAGAAGAAGGCAAGGCAGAGGUAUUGUUCUCACAAGUUUAUGCACUUGCCACUAGGUGAUCUUUUGUGUUGUAGCACUUGAAAUUUUAACACGGACAAUUUUUUUUUAUUUGUUGUCCUAUUUUGAUUCUUCCUGCGUUAAUUUGUAUGUCCUCCUGUUGCAUGUCAGUCUUAUUCGUACAGAACUUUGACAAAGUAAAAUAUACUUUUGUGCCAAUUUUUCCUGUGUUCAAAUUUUUUUCGUUUCUCCUAUGUAAAUUAUGCUAACCUCCUUUGGAGCAAGAACCUCACAUAACGUUUUCAGAAAGAAUUGCAGCAACCAUUGUUUUUUCGUGUUCGUAGAUUCAGAAGCAAGACUGCAAGGAGCUGGAUAAUCUAAAGGAUGAAUAUGCAAAGCUACAAAAGAAACAAUUGUAUGUAUUUACUCAAUUUUCAGAUCUAAUAAUUUUAGAUUUUUGGAGUACUGCGUGUAAGAUUAUUAUUUUCUGAUUGUGUAGAAGGCUGUUGGGUAAGGAGUUGACUGAUUUGAGCUUGAAAGAAUUGCAGCAUCUAGAACAGCAAUUAAAUGAAGGAUUAUUGACAGUGAAGGAGAGGAAGGUACAAAUUAUAUUUUUCCCUUGUUUCGUUUUUUUCUUUUCUUCGAGGUAUUCAGUAGGGAUGUCAGAUGUAGUUCAGAUUAAUAUCUACUCAUUUCUGCAAUCUGUAAGGCCUAAAUAGAUGUUCUAAUAUUUCAGGAGCAAUUACUGACGGAACAACUAGAGCAAUCAAGAAUACAGGUAUGUGGAAGUACCGAAGUAGCACUGAAUCUUACUUGAAGUUUAAGAUGUAAGCAGUAGCACUAGCAUCACUAGCAUUGAAUAGUAAGUUGAAGUAUCAGUUUUCUAAAUGAAUAAUAUUCAUUCCUGAAAACAUAUGAGAUAUGGAAUUUCAGUUUCAGUUUACCUAAUAUAUUAUUGUUCUAAAUAAGCUACUUUUUCUUUGAGUUUUGAACUAAGGAUACAAAUAAUGAUUUAAAGCAAAAGACGAAUAGAAAGAGGGAUAAAAAUGAUACAAAACACAACGUUCUACUGCAAAUUGAAAAGGAGACAGGAGAAGGAAAAAAGUGACUAAUCUAGACUGGAAAGUUUUCCAUUUAUAAAUACUUCUGUUGUGGUUUAAAACUUUGGCUUCAUGGUAAAAGUUGCACUAUGACCUUCGUCGGUAUGAAUUGCAAAGACUAAUGUUGAUUAAAUUAGUGCCAUAAAAAGGGGCAACUCUGGUUUUAACUUGUCAUCUAUUUUGUUUCCUCCAGGAACAGCGUGCUGUACUUGAGAAUGAAAUGUUGCGCAGACAGGCGAGUUACAUUCUUCUUGCUAUAUGCAAAUUUUGUCAGUUUCACAAUACCUGGCCUUUUGAGUGAUUUCCUCUUACGCAAUGUCUACUUUCGCAUAUUAUUUCUAUGUAGGUUGAGGAGCUUCGAUGUUUGUUUCCACAAACUGACCGUGCAGUCCAAUCGUACUUGGAAUAUUAUCCUGUGGAGAAAACCAAAUCCCUUGUAAACCAUGGCGUCACAAGUAGUCCUGAUUUGGUCAGUAAUUUUGCAUUUGAGAACGGCGAUUCUGACACCACCUUGCAGCUAGGGUACUCUUCUUUCCUUAAUAACAAGCUUAACCUUUAAAAUAUUUCACUGUAUUAUCUAAUAUUCGUGCUUGGUAUUCUUUCAAAGAGUAGAAACUCAUCUGUGAUUAGAAGUAAUAUGCUCAAGUUACAUUCUAAACUGAAAGGCCUCAAACAAAUACUGGGGAUGGUUUGUUGUUAGGAUGAGCCAACCGAAAUUUACCCUAGCCCUGUUAAGCAAAAUAUAAAUUUAGUUCCUCGUACAGUGUUUUGUUUUACAAAUGAUUUGAAAGAAGUUUCUCAAGUGAAAAUAACAUUGUCCUCUUACUCUGUCGGUUUUACUUUUACUUUAUCGUUUUGCUAGGCUGCAAAGCAAUGCUUAUUCUGGGAAGAGGAAAGCUCCAGAAAGAGAAGCCAACUCCAAUGACUCAGGGAGCCAAUUAGGUCUGUAAUUGUUUAUGAGGAUCUCUUUUCUGUAGAAUCAACAGAUGCUAGAGAUGAGGUUGAUACAGUCGAGAGUGUAGCGUAGUACCUUCGUUGAAAGGUCAGUAACUUGUAAAAGAGAGCGUAGAAUUGUUAGGCGACCCCCAAACAUAGAAGUUCCUUUGUUGGGAAGGUUUGGCUGAUGAAGAGGAAAAUGUCCUCGUUAGUUUUUUCUAGUUUGUUUUGUAUUUUCUUUCAGGUCAGAGAAAAGAAACAAAGGAAAAUGUUUAUUUGUUUUCGUAAUUGCAAGUUUUAGCUCCCCUUUCGUAGCCGGUCAAGAUCUUUAGAGCACCUAAGUACUUGUUGAAGUUUCUUAAUCUCAGGCUCUCGGCCAUUAUUUGAAAUUGAAAGGUUCAAGUUAUGCAUCAAUGUUAUGGAGAAUACCAAACCCUUUAUCUAUCCAUAAACAAGGGCAUGCGUUUAUGUGAAGUUCGAAUUGACUGAUGUUGAAGAAUUAGCAGAUGAGUACACCGCUUGAACUCAGAGCGAGCUGAUUCUCGCUGAAAUGAACCAAAAACAAAGAUGGCUUAUAAAUUUGGUCUACCUAGCAUUACUUGUAGUUUUAUUGCUCCUUGCUUACAAAAUCUCUCUUAUCGUCUCACCAAAUAUCGGGCUAAACUUCAUGUUCCGGGUUCUACAUUUUCAAAAACAAAAUAAAUAUACUGGUUUGAUUAUUUGAAUGUGAAUUUUGACUUCAUUUUUACCAUAUACAAACUCUGAUUUACAAACUAAAAUCAAUAAAAAUACAACAAUGUUCUGUACACAGUGAAUUAUACAAUUGAUCUACUAUUUCUUUUGCUGUGGAAGGGCAUUGAGCAAUUGAUUUCUCCCAGCCAAAACCUUGUCAAAGACGGAAUCCACCUCCUUUCCCAAACCGUCCACAAACUUCUCAAACACCUCUAGUUUUCUUCUCAAUUCCUCAGCUUCUGCUCCGCUGUUCUUUCCAAUUCCUAUUGCCGCAGCAAGGCCCGUCACUGCAUCAUUAAGCUCCUUCACCUCCUUCAAACCACCAUUUCUCUCCAUUAUUUCACUCACUCCCGAAUUCAACCCCAAAAGCAACGAGUCAACAAACCUUCCACCCGAAUUCCUCACCUCCAAGUAUGGCUCGGGAUUCCCGGCUAAACCAGACAUCAAAAUCCCACCUAGCCAGAAUACCAUUCCCUGCAUAACCUCCAAAGCUUGAUGAAUCACUGUUUCCUUGCUAAUCAAGCAACUUCCUUUCCCAACCUCUUCAUUUCCUUGGAAUCUGAUUCCGUUGCUCAAACCCUUUGGUUGGAAUUGGACUGCCUUCAGAUGCUCCAAAGCCGAAGAAGGCGACGAUUUCUCCACAAGGCUCAAACCAUGAGCCAGGGAAACCUUAGCCUUCCCAAGAUUAGACAGAGAAGAACUGACAGAAUUGCAAAGCUCCAACAAACUCAAACUGUAUUUGAGAUACUCAUCCACAGAAGCAGCUUCCCAUCUGCUCAUGGGAAAAUCUACUUCCACAACCAGCUUUGCAAAAGCACUUUGGACGACGGUUAGCAGCUCAAAGCACUGUAGAAUCCAUGGAAAUGAUGGAAUAUCUGACCCUGCAGAUUUUGAUGAACUCAGAGGCAACAACUUUUUCAAGGAGUUUGAAACAUGGGUUUGGAAGGCAUCCAGAGAUGCCGAUAAGGCGGGUUCCGACGGUUGGUGGUGGUUGUGGUGGUGGUGGAGGUGAUUAUCCAGCUUGGAGUAGAUUUGGUUAAACUUUUGCACCAAGAGAACCAUUGCAAAGUAAUGAGGGUUUUGGUAUGGAAAUUUGGUUUGUGCCUUGUGGUGAGUUUUUGGAAAAUGUGGGUUUGUGUGUUAUAUAAGUUGUGGGGUUUGCGUUGAAAAAGUCCACAUGGCGUGUUCGAGUUGGCUGAACAGAUGGACACAGAAAAAGAGUUGAAACCAGGUGCGUGUGCCAUUAGGCCCGUUACCAAUUGAAAAUUGUAAAAACCGAGGAGGGACAUUGGCGGCGGUCAAAUGUUCUUAUCUUGUUCGUUUGUACUAAUCCUUGAAAGACACGAUUUGGAGCAAUGCAAUUGGAUCCACUUGUUGUUGCCUUCAAAUGCAAGCUAACAUAUAGGAAGGAUCGAGGAUGGAGAUUGUCUAUUAUUUGUCUUGCAAAGUUGAGCAUCUAAGUAAGUAAUGUUCUUCAAUUCCGAGCAUGUUUCAUAUUAGUGAUGUUACUCAGUUUAAUACGUGAAUAACACAUAUUAAAUGAUAUAGAAGCAUAUAAUGUUGAAUCGAAGUGAUUGUUACAUUUCCCUUUUCACAACAUGUGUUCUAAUUUAUUUCUAAUCUUAAGUUUUGAGAAUUCAAAUAAAAUUAAAAGACAGAAACAAAAAACUAAUGUAGGAGGAGAAAACGAUAAUGAAAGCUACUAUUGUUACUUGAGAGUAGGAACAAUAUCACAUUAGGAUGCUAGUGUCCAACUCAAAACCACUUGUAUCAUGACAUGUAGUGUACCGCCUUGUGUUCAGAGUACACGAAAAAACUCUCCAGAUGCAGCACAUUGGUUCCUUUAUAUAUGUUUUUAUUGGUCGCAGUUGCAGCAGCGGCACAUUGGUUUAUAUAUAUAGUCGGUAGCUUAAACCGUAAUAUUACUUGUAUUGUUUCACGGCUUUACUAUAAUAAGAUUACUUUCUCAAUGUUUUUGCUUUGUUUGUAAAGGUCCUCUCUAUUGCUUGCCAUCAAUUUUUUAUUGCCAAUUAACUGGUGACUAUGAAUGUUCAUAUCAACUAAAAGUUUUAAACGUGUGUGACAAUUUACUCGUUUGCAUGUUAUUAUUUACUUUUUAUUUUUGUUUAAAGUAUGUUUUAAAUUUUUGUUAUUUAAAAAGUUAAAGAAAUUAACAAAAAAAAAAAUGGCCCACUGCGAGUUUUGUUUUGGUUUAUGCCACCGCAGUACUACAAAGCCUCAUUUGUUAAUGACGAUUGACUUGGACAAAACAAGAAAAUUGACAUUCAUUUCUUCCUUCAAAAUACUUUCAAUACAUGAAUAUCAUAUCCAAGUCAAUCCUCUCUAACAAACGAGUCCUGAGUGUUUUUUUGAAAGUUUACGUUUGGCUCAAUCAGUGUUUAAAAUUUCUUCGACAUUGUCGAUAUUUCCAUGAUAAAUAAAAAAAAAUCAAAGAAAGACAUGAAAAUGGGGGUGAAGUCUAAACUUCACCUCAUAUCGGAGGAACUCUUAAGUUUAUGGCUUUUAGGCUAAAAUCGACAAAUAUCGUUAAUAUUUCUUACACAUGUUAAAAAAUGGAGACUUUCUUAUAUUUCGUUCAAACCAAUGUUUGACAAUCUCUAAAACUUCAUUUUAAAUUUCUAUCAUUUCAAAUGAAAGCAAUAUUGAUAUUCGAUAUAUCUGUCAAUAUUUUUUUUUUAAUUUGUAUGUCGAAAUUUCCACCGAUACAGAUAUUUUAAACACUGAGUUCAGUUAGAUUGGUACUAAUAGGAAACGUGGGAAACGGUCAAACUCAUAAGUCCUGAGAGAAGUAAAGGGUCAUCAGAACUCCCAUAUGUAGGGAAGGAAGAGUCUGGAACGAAGGAAAGGAAAGACAAAUUUUAUUCCAUACAAAGUAAAUACUAAAUCCUAAGUCAACGCACGGUGUGGAAAGUGCGUUUACUGAUUUCCUAUUCUAUCCGGAUCUCUUUCACCAAAGUUACCAAAUCAAGUAAUCCGAGCCUUUCAAAUUUCAUUCAACGGUCUACAUUGUAAUAAUUUUUUGUGGUUGGAUGAAAUUUGAAAGAUCCGGAUCACUUAAUAAGAUAGCAUUGAAGGAAGAGAUCCGGAGAGAAUCUCUUUCCCACUUAAAUAGCGUGUAAACAUGCUUCUUCCAAUUUUUUAAAUUACAAUUUGCUACCUGUAGUUUAUAGAAAAGUAAAUUAUUUAAACUAAAAGCUCCCAUUGUCUGAAACACAAAAGAAAAACAAAACAAAACAAAACAAAAAUUUAAGGCUUUUUAGUCAACAUGGUUGAUAUAACUUCUCAAUUUGAUCUCUCAUUAUGAAAAUAAAUUCAAGUGGUCAUUGUAAAUUAUUUUGGUUCUUUCGUGAAAAAUCUAUCCAUAUCCUUGUUAAAUUGUCGCAUGAAUGACCACGUAACAACCUUUUUAGGGUUUUGUGAACCAACCCUGCCACGUAACGAGGAUAUUGGCAGAUUUUUCACGGAAUAAACAAAAUGAUUUACUUAGGACUACUUGUAUCAGUUUUCAUUGUUAAGGAGCAAAGUGAAGGGUUAUGACAUUUUCAUGAAUCAUUUUGACUAACAGGCCAAAAUAUAGGAAACUGUUGCAGUCAUAUUUAGAAUAUGAAUGUGAUUGUAUAAAUCCUAAUGUAUUUAAGGGUAUCUUGGAAUAUUUCCUUUAGUAGAUAUUAUCAUAUUAGAGUUGCAAUCCUAUUAUGAUAAAGAUUUAAUCUAUCCUACUACUAUAAAUAAAGGCAUAAUGGGGUGAAAUACAACACACCUCACAAUUAAAUCUCUCCCUUCUCUCUCUUGCCGCUGGCUUCUCCCUCUCUACUCCCUUAGAAUAGUUCAGUCAAUUAGACCUACAAUACGUUAUCUGCACGCUCUUGCCAAAAGCUAAGGAACUGAAGGAUCGUAGGAGGAGGCUUUCUGCUACAAAUUUCAAAGGCUUUUAUUUAUUUUCUGCCAAUAAAGUACGCUUUUAUUUAUUCCCCAUGAUGCAUGAACCCCCCUAUAUUUAUAUUUUCCUUCAUAUAUAUAUAUAUAUACACACACACACACACACACGUUUCAUGCAUUACGCAACUAUUAUUUUGCUGAGUGGAAUUUGUCAGUCAAAGCAUACAAAUAAAUUAGAAGCAAUUUAGGGUUUUUUUCACACCCUAGAGGUGUCGAAAUAAGAAAAAAAUUGGGAAAUAUGAUGCAUGGCUACGACUUGCUGCCACUGGCACCACCGCUGACCACCGCAGCUAGUCUGCAGCUUAGCCGUGUGGAGCACGCCGUUAGGAUGACGUCGUUGUGAUGUCUAGACUAUGGCAGCAUCCCUUUGGGCUUUGUUGUGCCUACAUGGACACCAAGCUUCGCCUUGGUAAGGGUUACCAUGGGCCUGCAGCCCCUCCAAGCCCAAAACCAAAACUUUUAAGUUGCUGAGCUUUGUCCUAAGUCCUUGGCCCAAACCUGCAGCAAGCUCGCUUGCAGCAAUCCCGUAUCGCUUGCUAGGUUUUGUCUAAGUCUCGGCCCCCUUGCCCGCAUCUUAUGUUGCUGGGCUUAACUUGCCCCAACCCCAAAACCCUGGAGACAGCCUCGGCUGGGCCUCCCUACACCAACCUGCGAGCCUGCUUUAGGCUGGGCUUGCCUCGUGCCUUGUUUUUGGCCCAAACCAGCAACUUUUGCUGCUGGGCUCACCCAGAUCACAUGACCCAGAGCCUUGUAGCCCUCUCACGACCUAAUGGCCUACAGUCGUGCUGCAGGGCUCGUACCCACAUCACAGCCAACCUAUUUUAUGCUGGGCCACGUCACAUUUUUCAACCCAAUGCUAAUUUUUGGCAUUCCCGCGUUAUAAAUCAUACCUAAAUAUUUUUUGGGGUACUUUGGUUUACGCUAAUUAAUUCUAAUUUAAUUAUCGCUUGGUUUAUCACCAACCGAAGCUAAUAUGACCCGUCUAUCAUUAUUUUGCUUCCACGAUCGACCCCGUUUGGUCCCGAUAUAUUGAAUUAAUUAAAAAUGACCAGCAGUUCAUUAAUCUGAUAAUUAAUUCAAAAUUAUUGACCUGAAAAUCAUUUUUGGACAUUAAGAUUCAAUAAUUUAUUUUUAUACUUUGAACCGUUGACAUCCUUUCGUUGUCCCAAAGCUCUCACACUUGAGUUCCCGAAGCAACUCAAAUCCACUACACUUAAAUCAGCAUAUUGCAUUCUAUGUUCUUAUAGGAACCUCUCCUUUAUGAACUAAUCGUUCAUAAAACUAAAUUGAACUUGUAGUUUCAUAUUUAGUGCCUUUGAAAUCCAAAGUUUCAUUCAAAACUUACCACAUGAAACAUGUAGCUUUCAUGCUUAAAUUAAACCAAUACAUGUUUAUAAAACCCGAUGGCUUUCCAUAUGACUAACCACAUUUUUGUACCCUCUGUUUUAGGGACAUGUCGAACUUGAACAAACUCGAUUUCACUGCUUUGGAAGUAUCUGGAAGAAACUACUUGAAGUGGGUUCAAGACAUGAAGCUCCAUCUCAUUGCAAAAGGUAUUAGAGCCACCAUCGAGGAACCUAUCGAUGAUGAACCCAUCAACGAAGCUGAGAAAGCUAUUGUUAUGAUCUUCAUUCGAAGACACAUCCAUGAUGCACUGCAGACGGAGUACCUCGCUAAGGAGGAUCCACACACCUUCUGGCUUGCUCUGGCCGAUCGUUUCGAUCACCAAAAAGACAUUUACUUUCCUGAAGCAAGAUACGAAUGGCAGCAUUUACGCUUCCAAGACUUUAAGUUCGUGAAUGAAUACAACUCUGAAGUUUGUAGAAUCCGAUCACUGCUUAAGUUCUGUAAAGUGGACUUAACAGACGAGGAUCUACAUUUUUGAAAAUGAAAUCAACAUUGUUUUAUCAUUUGAAAUGUGAAUUUUUACUUCAUUUUUGCAAUAUAAUAAUUCUGUUUUACAAACUAAAAUCAAUAAAGAUACAACAAUGUUCUGUACACAGUGAAUUAUACAAUUGAUCUUCUAUUUCAUUUGCUGUGGAAGGCCAUUGAGCAAUUGAUUUCUCCCAGCCAAAACUUUGUCGAAGACGGAAUCCACCUCCUUUCCCAAACCGUCCACAGACUUCUCAAACACCUCUAAUUUUCUUCUCAAUUCCUCGGCUUCUGCUCCGCUGUUCUUUCCAAUUCCGAUUGCUGCUGCAAGGCCCGUCACUGCAUCGUUAAGCUCCUUCACCUCCUUCAAUCCACCAUUUCUCUCCAUUAUUUCACUCACUCUCGAAUUCAACCCCGAAAGCAACGAGUCAACAAACCUUCCACCCGAAUUCCUCACCUCCAAGUAUGGCUUGGCAUUCCCAGCUAAUCCAGACAUCAAAAUCCCACCUAGCCAGAAUACCAUUCCCUGCAUAACCCCCAAAGCUUGUUGAAUCACUGUUUCCUUGCUAAUCAAGCAACUUCCUUUCCCAACUUGUUCAUUUCCUUGGAAUCUGAUUCCCUUGCUCAAUCCCUUUGGUUGGAAUUGGAUUGCCUUCAGAUGCUCCAAAGCCGAAGAAGGCGACGAUUUCUCCACCAGGCUCAAACCAUGAGCCAGCGAAACCCUAGCCUUCCCAAGAUUAGACAGAGAAGAACUGACAGAAUUGCAAAGCUCCAACAAACUCAAACUGUAUUUGAGAUACUCAUCCACAGAAGCGGCUUCCCAUCUGCUCAUGGGAAAAUCUACUUCCACAACCAGCUUUGCAAAAGCACUUUGGACGAUGGGUAGGAGCUCAAAGCACUGUAGAAUCCAUGGAAAUGAUGGAAUCUCUGACCCUGCAGAUUUUGAUGCACUCAGAGGCAACAACUUUUUCAAGGAGUUUGAAACAUGGGUUUGGAAGGCAUCCAGAGAUGCCGAUAAGGUGGGUUCCGACGGGUGGUGGUGGUGGUGAUUCUCGAGCUUGGAGUAGAUUUGGUUAAACUUUUGCACCAAGAGAACCAUUGCAAAUUAAUAAGGGUUUUGGUAUGGAAAUUUGGUUUGUGCCUUGUGAGUUUUUGGAAAAUGUGGGAUUGUGUGUUAUAUAAGUUGUGGGGUUUUGGGUUAAAAAAGUCCACAUGGCGUGUUAGUUUGACUGAACAGAUGGACACGGAAAAGAGUUGAAACCAGGUGCGUGCCAUUAUCCCGUUGCCAAUUGAAAAUUAUAAAAAACUGAGGAGGGACAUUGGCGGCGGUCAAAUGUUCUUAUCUUGUUUGUUUCUACUAAUCCUUGAAAGAUUUUAAGACACGAUUGGAGAACUGCAAUUGGAUCCACUUGUUGCCUUCAAAUGCAAGCUAACAUAUAGGAAGGAUCGAGAAAUGGAGAUUGUCUAUUAUUUGUCUUGCAAAGUUAGCAUCUAAUUAAGUGAUAUGCUCUUUAAUCUGAACACAUUUUAUAUAAGUGAUGUUACUUAGUUUGGCACGUGCAUAACACAUAUUAAAUGACUUAAAAAUGCAUAUUGUUGGACAGAGUGAUCGUUGCAUUUUUCUUUCAUCAACAUGCGUAUUUUAAUUUAUUUCUAAUCUUAAAUUUUGAGAAUCUAAAGAAGUUAAAAGAUAGAAACAAAAAAAUGUGUAGGAGAAAACGAUAAUGAAAGCUACUACUGUUACUUGAGAGUAAGAACGAUAUCCCAAUAGAAUGUUAUCGUACAACUCAAAAUCACCUGUAUCAUGACACAUGAUGUACCGACUUGUGUUUUGUGUACACGAAAAAUUCUCUCCAGAUGUAGCAAAUUGGUUCCUUUGUAUAUGUUUUUAUUGGUCGCGGUUACUGCAGCAGCACAUUGGUUUAUUAGUCCUGUAGCUUAAACCAUAACGUUACUUUUAUUGUUUCACAGCUUUACUAUAAUAAUAUUACUUUAUCAAUGUUUUUGCUUUGUUUGUACAGCUCCUCUCUAUUGGUCGCCAUCGAUUUUUUUAUGCCAAUUAACUGGCAAACUAUGAUUGUCCAUAUAAUCUAAUCGUUUUAAACACGCGCGACAAUUUACUAUUUUGCACGUUAUUAUUUAUUUACUUCUUGUUUAAAUUAUGUUUUUAUAUUUUUUUUAUUUAAAAAGUUAAAUAAAUAAACAAAAACACUGCCCACUACGAGCUUUGUUUUUAUUUAUGUCAUCGUGGUAGUACAAGGCCUCCCUUGUUAAAGACGAUUGGCUUGGACAAAACAAGAAAACUGACGUUCAUUUAUUCUUUCAAAAUGUCUUUAAUACAGUGAAUAUCAUAUUCAAGUCAAUUUCUCUAACAAACAAGUUCUGAGUGUUUUUUUUUGGAAGUUCACGUUUGGCUCAAUCAGUGUCUGAAAUUUCUUUGAUAUUAUCGAUAUUUCCAUGGUAAUAUAAAAAAAAUCUUAGAAAGAUAUGGAAAUGGAGGGUGAAGUCUAAAUUUCAUCUCAUAUCGAAGAAACUCUCAAGUUUAUGCUAAAAUCAACAGAUAUCGUAAAUAUUUCUUACGCACAUGUUAAAUAACGGAAAAACUUUUAUAUUUCGUCAAAACCAAUGUUUGACAAUCCCUAAAAUUUCAUUUUAAAUUUCCAUAAUUUUUAUCGAAAGUAACUUAUAUCGAUAUUUGAUAUAUCCGUUGAUAUUUUUAUAAAUUUGCAUGUAAAUAUUUUUUCCCAUACCGCUAUUUUAAACAAUAGGCUCAAUUUGAUUGGUACUAAUAGUAGAUGUGGGAAACCGUCAAACUCGGAAACAGAGUUAUGAGAGGAGUAGAGGAUCCUCAGAACUCCCAAAUGUAGGGAAGGAAGAAAGAAUCUGGAAGUAAGGAAAGGAAAGACAAAUUUUGUUCCAUACAAAGAAAACACGUACAGACUACAAGCUAUGGCUGUACUGAAGCUAAAUACUAAAAUCCCUAGUCAACACACGUUUUUGUUUUCCAUGAUGCACCUAUUUGCACCCACUGAACACAAAACUGCGUGCGUGGAAACGUGCAUUUACCACUUAAUUAGUAAACGUGCUUCUUUCAGUUUUUUAAGUUGCAAUUUUGCUAACUGUAUUUUAUAAAGUCAAUUGUUUAAACUAAAAGCUCCCAUUGCCUUAAACACAAAAAGAAAAGAAAAGAAAAUAUAAGGCUUUUUAGCUAAAAUGAUUUUUGAAACUGGGAUAACUUCUUAUUCUGAUUUUUGACAAUGAAAAUCGACACAAGUCGUUGAUGAGUUUGUCCACCGUAAAUAAAUUUGAUUCUUCUGUGAAAAUUAUGUCAAUAUCAUUGCUAAAUUGUCACAUGAAUGACUAGGUGACCACCCUUUUAUGGGUAUUCUUGUCAAAUCAACCCAUCUACUUAAUGAAGAUAUUGACAGAUUUUUCACAUAAAGAACAAAAUGAUUUACCGUGGAUAAACUUAAGGACGCUUUUUAUCGAUUUUUGUUGUUAGAGACCAAAGAGAAUAGUAUGACAAUUUCAAAGAAUAUUUUAGCCAAAAUAUUAAAGCUUAUUUUCAUACUUAAUUGGGAAACAAAAGUGAAUUACUUGACACUUUAUAAAGAUCAAGGAAAACCAGGAGCAUCAUCUCCAGAUCCUCUUUAUGAGAAUCCUCAAAUCGUGUCCGUUCAUCGUAUAUCGUGCGACCAAUUUUUGUCAAGUUCUAUUUAUAUUUAAUUUAAAAUAAAAGUAUUUAAAAUAAUUUCCGACUAUACGAUUACAAUGAAUGAAUACGAUUUGAGGAUCCUAGUGUCACGGGCCAUAUGUUAAGUCAUCCCGUGACACUAGGAUCCUCCUGACAAAGCUUUCUCGGAGUUUAUGAACGGGAAUGAGGAUCCUUUCCGGAUCCUCAAAUCGUAUCCUUUCCAGAUCCUCAAAUCGUAUUUGUUCAUCAUACAUCGUGUAACCAGAAAUUAUUUUAAAUACUUUUAUUUAAAAUUAAAUAUAAAUCGUACCUGACAAAAAUUGAACGCACAAUGUACACAACUCUUGCACAACAAAUUCUAAAGCAAAAAUCAUUUUCUUUCUCUUCCUGUAAAAUGUUUAUGAACAGAAAUUAGAAAAUGGAAGGAAUCUACUACUGCCUAAGAACACACCACAUGAGCACCCCAGCGCGCCUCUGUUCAAUACUUGCGAAGUCGAAGCACUAUCCUGUUACCAAAGAGUCAACUUCUAAGUGGCUUAGCCUUGCGUAUGUGACCCAUACUAUUAACAAGAUCUUUCCGGGUACAUACAGGGAAUAUAUUUAUCUUCUUGAGCACUUUCAACCGCCAUAAUACAUAUGGGAAACUAAGCUGAUCACGAGAAGUGAACCGAACCACCUCGUUGAACCAGAGGCACAUAAACAUAUUAGUCAAUGGUGUAUGCUCCCUCACGAUAACAGAUGCUUCAGAUAAAGCUGCACAGGUUAACGACGCAAUGGUUCAGAAUAGGAACAAAAUGCAAGACAAUGAGAUCACCAGCUUUGUAGUUUUGGAGUUUUUCAUAUUAAGUAUGGCUAUUUCUUAAUUCUCAAGUAUCUAAAUAAGCUUGGUGGCAGCAGACUGUGAGGAAGGGCUCAUAACCCACUUUAAACACAAAUUGGGAAAAUAUGAAUCUGAAGUAGACUGAUGGGGAGCGGACUGGCUGCCGGAAUCAGUGUAUGGGUAUGAUGCGCAGAGGAGCAAGUGAAAAUAUGCAGAAUUGAGGCAAUCAACAGAUUGUUCAAAUUACGAACAGACUGAUAAGAAAACAUGAAUAAACAGAUAUGAAACUUGAAUAAACAGAUUGAUUUUAUAUUUCGACUAUUCUUCUCAAUGUCAAAAUCUUAAGAUAUUUACAUUCGGUAAAACCCAGGAGUAAGUCACCUUUUAUGCAGAAUUAAGGAAAGCAAUAAGGCAUGCAGUAGGCUUAACUACUCCUACUUCAAAAAGAUGUACUCAACAAAGAAGCAAAGGAAUUCAAGAAUUGCUACAAUCAUGAAGCAUCAUAAAUAGCAAUAUUUCAUAAGAGAGAUCAAGCCAGAACAAGUGAAAGAAAAAGAAGCAUACCCUUCUUUCCGUUGAACCUCUUGUCUUCUGGCAAGCCAUCAUGGCGGUAUUGAGUCAAUUGCACCUCAACUUCUUCUGGUUUGGCCUUGUUUUUUUUCACAACAGCCUUCGCUUCAUCAUAAACGCUACUGCGAGCUCCAUGUUCUGAGAUAGCAAGUACAGAGUUUGAACGCCAAAGUAGGGCUUCGAGCACACCUAAGGGGUCCCUCCUAAAUUGGGACUUUGAAUCUACCCAAAUGGAAUACUUUGCAUGAGGAAAAAGACGAUGGGGCAACAUCUAACACCAGAAAAAAUAUACAAAGUCUCAGAUAAAUUUCCACAUACACCUAUACAUGAUAUUUGGCUAGCACUUGUAACAGAACUUUUUGGAUAUUUGACAUUUAGCUUAAACCUUUUAUAUCAUGAAGAACAGAUCCAGCGUCCCUUUGAUUAAUAUUGUUCUGCUUAAAUUAUCAUACUUUACUUGACUUAUUAAUGUAAUUACAGAAAAUAGGUUCCAUGUUGCAAUAGCUUUCAUGUAUCAUGAAAACAAAAAUGUUUGCAAAAAUUAAAAAAGUAAAGAAAAUGACAGAUGACAAGAGAUAACAACAUGAUCAGGAUAAAUUUUUUAAAUUUAACUUAAAUAAACUAAAUGACAAUAGAGAAAAAAAUAAUAAUUUAACCUAACCCUGAAAGUUGUUACCUUUGGGAUCUUUCCAUUUAACCUUUGGUCUGAAAAGGGAAGAUCUUUAACAACCACAAUGCGCCAUUUCCCAAUAAAUCCAUUCCCAUCAAUUCUAUGUUCAGCCGCUUCCUGUGUACUUAGAGUAAUUUCAUCCCAAAAAGCAACAUAGCAAACCUGCAUCCAUUCAGUACUCAUAAGAAUUUAUAACUUUGAAGCUAAUUAGUAAUAUUUGACUGAAAAGACAAAAACCUUUCGAAGUGAUGCCUCUGACAUUCCAAUAGGCUGAUAAAGAUCAUCUCCACCACCAAAUGCACAUGUGGACACUACAACCUUGCAACUAUCCAUGUACCCCUUGUCUUCAUUUGAGAUUUUAAACCCUCCAUUUUCACUGUAGAAACCACAGUUCAUAGUAACAGUUUCAUUUACCUGUGAGCAACAAAUUUCUAACAAUAUGAACACCGCCUCACAGUACAAAUUAUUAUUAUUAUUUCUGUUUAAAAUCGGGCAAAAAGUAAAGACCUCGAUGUGCUUCACAAUGAAAAUAACAUCAACAUCAAAACCUAAAGAAGUUAGAUGCGUCUUAAAACUUGACCUUUAACAUGACAAAGACCAAAUAGAAUACUAAAUCAGUUCAAAGUUUCAAAACAAUGAUGCAGUUUAUAACCUUAAACGAUUUUGCUCUCUGAUCCAGAGUUUGACUUCCAGUAAAUGAAUUAAAUCUUGGGGCCUCUGUGUGCUCCUGAGAAAGACUGUUGUUCCCUCCUGAAAACGGAUUGUCAUUCUCUGAUAUGUAUACCACUUUCUUAACAGGUGUAUUGGAAUCUUCGCGCAUAGGAAUUUCCAGAUGCUCAAGUUCUUCAGGAGAUAAGAUGUCCAAACAACCUAACAUUAUCCGCAAAUUUUCGUCACAUUUCAAAAUGCGUCAAUAUUCCAAUCCUAACUAAAAUAAAAUUUUCCAACUACAGUAAAAUGCACAACCCAAUUAUCAGUAACACUAAAGAAACAACAAAACAAGCUCAGCAAUCACUCCGAAUCGUUAAACUAAUGUGGGUGUCAAGCAAUGUAUGAUAAUCGGCAUUUGGGCAGUCACAUUAAUCUAACAGGCACAAUUCUAGCUUACACUCAUUGAAAUUUACAACGUCAUUAGAAAAGUAAGUAACUUACAACACUAUGCAGAUUGCAGAAUCGUUUCCUUAUAUUCUUUAGAAAGAAAAAUUAAAGAUUUUGAACUCGUUCUGCACACAAUUUCGAUUACCCAUUGUACAAUUGCAUCCGAAUCGUAUGGCAAUUAAGCAAGAGUUGAACUUACGUUGUCUAACGCCUCCAACAACCCGAGUCGUAUGAUCGAGCCGAUUCAAAUUCCCAUCCGAUUUCUUCUCCAAACUCGAGUUCUUCACCGUUUCCGAGCCAACCAAACUCGGCUUUUCCGGCUCACUGAGUUCCGACUUCGCCACCAAACUCGGCUUCCUACCGAUCCUCGAAACCUCGUAUAAGAGCAACCCAAGGGCCGGGAGAAAAAUGAGAAGUGCCCAGUACCUGACGAGCUUUCUAGCGACUCGGUGGAGGAACUCGUUCUUGAGUCGGUGGCCGAGUUUCUUGCGCUUUCUUCGAACUCGGACUCGCAUCCGGCCGAGUUCGUCCGCUUCGUCGUCGGAGACUGAGAUUGAUAUGCUGUUGUUGCUGAACAUUGACGACGACGGCUUCGACCGCGGAAAUUGAAAUCAGUGACUUGGAAGUGGAUUUGGGUAAAUUACGGGCUUUGAGAUCAAAUUUUGCAAAGUAUGAGCUUCUUUUUUCUGCUGUGAAGUUUCUCAGCGUAGGAUAGUAUGAGCCGGAUUCGAUUUCUUACGGUAUUUUUUUUAGGAAAACUUUGGAAAAUUUCAAAAAAAAAUUUAGUUUUAAAAUGACAAAUAAAGAGAAUAGUACGAGAAAAAUGUAAAAAUAUAGUUUUUUAUUAAAAGUAAACAGUACAGGAGUAUUUCGUUAAAUUUUUAAUUUUUUUUACUUAAAUUGAAAUUUUGUUGGGUAAAUUACAUAGAAACCCCUCAAGUUUGAGGUCUAUUACAAUCAUAUACAACAUCUUUCAAAUAUUUCACUUUCAUACCUCACGUACUAUUUUAUUUCAAAAUAACAUCUUCGUUAGAUUUUUCAUCCAAUGGUCUGUUAUAUGCUGACAUGGCUGCCAUGUGGCAAAAAAAAUAAUUUUUUAUACAUUAACAAUAUUAUAAUAUUAACCCUAAAAAAAAAAACCAGAAAAACUUGAACCCAACCCAGAUCCCCUUCCUUCCCCCUCACCUCUCUGCAACUCCUAUUUACAAAAUCCCUUCCCCCAGAAGAAGAAGAAACCAAACUCGUCCGUUCCCCCCCCCCCAUGACCCACUUGCCUUCCCCCCACCCCCAGGCGACGGUUGCAAGUAUUUGGGUUGUGGUUUUGCAAGUAUUGUGUUGUAGGGGUUUCUAAGAAAACCAGUAAAAAAAAGCAGAGAAGUGAUUAAAGGUGGGGGCUUUGAGGUGGGAGAGGUGGAGGGGAAUAUGGGUUUUGGGGGAAGGAGAUGCGUGGAGGCAGGAGACGGAGGGUGGCAGGGGAAGAGGCGAGAGAGGGGUGGAAUUCGAAACUCAAACCCUAGAGAGGGAGAAGGAAGGAGGGAAUUGAAAAAAGGGUGUCAGGGAAUGUGUUGGGGUUGGUGUGGAGGAAGAAGAAGAGUGGGAGAGAUGGGUAAGGGGAUGGGGACGGACGGACGGGAAGGAAGAGAUGGGUAAGGGGGUGGGGGUGGGAUAUGGGGUUGAGGGGAAGGGGAUCUGGGUUUGGAUUUUUAUUUUUAAUAGGGUUAAUAUUGUUAAUGUAUAAAAAAUUAUUAUUUUUUGUCACGUGGUAGCCACAUCAGUACAAAUGUGGCAGUCACGUUAGCAUUUAACAAACAAUUGGAUGGAAAAUCUAACGGAUGUGUUAUUUUGAAAUAAAAUAGUACGUGAGGUAUAAAAGUGAAAUGUUUUAAAGAUGUUGUAUAAGGUUGUAAUAGAUCUCAAACCUGAGGGGUUUUUAUGUAAUUUACCCAAUUUUUGUUUGAUAAUUAUAAGGUUUAUAACCUCUGUAAUUUAUUAUUUUUAUAAGAAUGUUCUUCUAUUCGGUCUCUAAAUUAGAAUUUGAUUUAAAGAUGAUGAUUUGAUGUUCAACAGGGUUUAAAAUUUCUGUAAGAGCUAUCGGAGCUUGAUCUCCAACAAAAUAGGUUUAUUAAGAGCUCGUUUGGAUGUACUUUUAAAUGAGUGAAAAUAUUUUUAGUUAAAAUGUUUUUGGAACUCAUCCGUAGUAAAAAUGCAAAUGAAUAAUGAAAAAUCACUUAAAAUGCUUUCUAGAAUGAGCACAUAACUGGUGCUUCAUGCAGAAAGUACUUGAAGUGCUUUUGAAGCAGAAAAAAUAUUUUCUCUAAAAAUAUUUUUGAUCAUUCUAAAUGCACAUCUAAUCGAGCCAUAAUAAUUUCUCAUGGGGGUUGAUUUUCGACUUUGGUGUGAAUUAAACGACACGUCUGUUUGUUAAUUUUUCACUGAGGUUAAUUUGGGGUUUUUAGUCAACCCUACUUAUGGGUUCUAGAGACCUGAGAGCCACUACUAGGGUUCUGGGGUUUGCCGUUAGAAAUCGUUCGUCGCCGGCAGCAUCUAACAUGGUUCUACUCUGCAGCUCAAAGACCCCCAGGUUAUACUCUUUAAUAUUUUCCUCUCCAUUUGCUUCCAGAAACAAGAGAUUAGUGAUUGAAAAUGUAAAACCCUCACUUUCUUCUCUUCAAAACCAGUUGCUUUACAGACCCAUCACCUCAAAAAUCCCAGAAAACCAACACAAUUUCACCGUCGAUUACCUCAUAAGGUCAUGUGGGUUGUCCCCAAAAGCUGCAAUUUCAGCGUCCAAAAGGCUCGAAUUGCAAAACCCAGAAAGGGCAGACUCUAAUGUGGCUCCGAAUAUUGGGCUGUUGAGAGAAUUGGGUGUUUCCCGAUCAUGCAUUUCUCUGAUGCUAGCUCAAUGCACCCAAACUCUGAUGCUAAAGCCUGAAAAUUUUGGUAAAGUUGUGGAUGAGGUGAGGGCUAAGGGACUUGAUCUUGGAAAAGCGACUUUCAUGUUUGCACUACGCUCAUUGUCUGGUAAGAAUAGUAAGUUGAUAUGGGAUCGAAGUCGGGAAGUUUACGGGAGUUGGGGUUGGUCUGAGGAUGAUAUUCUCUUUGCUUUCAGGAAAAACCCGCAGUGUAUGAAUCUAUCUGAGAAAAAAAUAACGCUAGCAAUGGAUUUUUUUGUCAACAAGAUGGGAUGGCCAUCGGGACUACUCAUAAAGUGCCCAGCGGCUUUGUGCCUAAGUUUGGAGAAUAGAAUCAUCCCAAGGUGUUCAGUUGUUAAAGUUUUGUUAUUGAAAGGAUUGAUAAAUGAAAAUUUUAGCUUGAGUUAUGUGUUAUUGCCGGUGGAGAAGCAGUUCUUGGAGAGAUUUGUGACCAGAUACCUAGACCAAGUACCUCAACUGUUGAGUUUGUAUCAAGGGAAAGUUGAAAUCGAAGAUGUAUGACGUCCAUAAUGUUAAACUGGAUGAUAUUCUAACAGUUUUAGCCAUUUGAUUCUGUACCACUCACUUGUAGCAGCUAGCUUUCGGAGCUAUAUUGUAAGGUACGUCGUGUCCUGUAUCUUACAAGAUUUGUUCGUAAGUGAGGUUUUCUUAAUAAAGUCUGCUUUAAUUAUGCAUACUUUCUCAUUAGGAAACCAAUUCAUAUGAGUUGGGGUUGCCCUGCUCUCCAUGGUCAUGGUGCCACCAAUCUUUGCAGACUUGCAGUACAAGGCUCUUGACUUUGGCUUGGUCUGCAAAAUGUGCUUACAUCAAUUUGGGUCAUUGCAGGUGUCGUUGGAUCAAUCUCAACAUCCACGAGGCUAGAAUGAGUGGGAGUAUUUGCCAGGAGUAAGUUGCAGGUGUCGUUGGAUCAAUCUCAACAGCUUAAAAAGAAAAAAGUCCCCUUACGUUACAACCAGAGGGGGAGAGAGAGAGAGAGUGAGAGGGCAACUUGGAGGAUAUCAGCAAGGUCUAUAUUUUGCGCAUAAUCUUCAGAGAGAGACCUGCACAUUGUCUGGUUUGCUUGCUUUCUUUCCCUUUUUGUUUUUUUUUCCAUUCGUAUUCGAAGUGUACAAAUAGAAACCGAAAUAGACUUCUCAUUUUUCAGACUUGAGUUGGUUUUCUUGUAUUUGUGGAGAUGAAAUUUCAUUCUUGGGUUUUCUUCUAUUAAUUGUCAAUUAGCGAAACCCUAAAACCUGCUGCACAAUGCCAUAGGUUUGAUGGACAAGGAAGCCAAAACUGUACUUGGUUUUUAUUUCUUUUCCCAGAAAAACUGAUGCUCGAGGAGGACUUUAAUUAAUUUAGGGUUUGAUCCAGGACAUUGGGUUGUUGAAUGGGUAGUUAAAAAGAUAGCAACUUGUCAUUGGAAGUAUAUAUUUUUCUAUACUAAUCAAUUUAGUAUGUUAUAUCAUCUUUGAGAUCGUUUCAAUUUAAUAUGUAUUGUCUCAAAUUUUAUAAAAAUCACAAAUUGUGUUAUUAAGUGAGGUUUUGUUUAUAGUUGACAGAAAGCCUGCUUGAAGUAUGUAUACCUUUUUCCCGUUAGAAAACCAGUUCGUAGGAGUUGGGGUUGCCCUGCUCUCCGUGGUCGCGGACUCACGGUGCCGUCAGUCUUUGCUGACUUGCAGUACAUGGUUCUUCUGUAACGACCCGUCCUUGAAUUAUAGUAUUUUAAAUCCUUAGAGUGGGAGAAUGACGAAAAUACCCUUACUGAGUAUAUGUUGACUUAGUCGUCGGGCACGUGAUGUAUUUAUUUAGUAUAUUAUAUAGUAUUUGUCGCUACGAACGCGUGGCACAAGCAAAACGAGAUUUGGACUUCAAAUGAAGUUUUUAUGGAACUCUGAUUGCUUAGAUGGGUUUUAGUGGGACCCACGAGGAAUUGCCGGUGGACGAAGAGAACUCUGCACCGUUGAUUGGUGGGAGCGCCAGUGGACGAAGUGCGUGAAUCCGUUUUGGAUCGGAAGAAAAUUUUAAACCUAGGAAAGGAUUCUUCCAAUCCGAAACGAAUUCGUGCAUGCAAAGCUCGAAUUUUGGCAGAAUGGAAAAUGGUGUUGUGGCCCGUGGUUUUUAGCAAGAAGAAUGGUGGCGGUGGUUUAGAAUAAGCAAGUGUCACCGUCACACUUUCGAUUGAGAAGUUUGCCCGUGUUCCUGUGUCCGCUGCUCACCCCGAGAGCGAAUCGUUGCUUAUUCAGUUGAAAGUGUGAAACCAAGCACUUGGGUUCGGUGCGGAGCUUUGCCCCGCCUCCUUCUUUGGUUCUGAAUUCAUGUCCUACUUCUCCGGCUUUGGAACUUUGUUCUUGCUGGUUACCGGGUAGUGGUUAUAGCAGUGAGGUUUGGCUUCUCCGUUCGGUUUGUAGGUUUAUUGGUGAUAAUUUUCAGUUUUGUUUUGGUUUUUAUGAUGUUGUUGUUAUGUGGUUUAGCAUUGUUAUUUAUUUGGGACUUGUGAAGGUCUGUGUAUGACCUUGAUAUAGGGGUGAAUAAUUGUUAUUUUGUGGUGUGAAUCUGACGGUGUGGAUUGGCGGCCAUUUAUGGCUUUCAAGCAACUGCGACGGGUGAUCUCUCAGCUAGGCUUGUAGAGUUUUCUCUAUUAGCCACCUUUGGGCCUCCACUAUUUGAAUCCUUGUGGAGGAUUUGUAUUUGGGUUGAAACCGUUUCAUGUUUAUUUCCUUUGUGUACUAUUUGUAGGCUGUUUUUUUUUCUGUAUGCCGAUCUUUGCUGACAUCUGUCCGUUUGAAUUUUAUUUUAUAAAAUUUCUCUACUUCUGAAUAAAAAAAAAGUGUCACCGUCACACUUAACACACAUUAGCACCCUCGGGCAACAGGUGAUGGAAGAAAAAAAAUUGUGAAUUCACUUUGCUAAACAGAAAAAGCCGAACUUUGGCAGUAAUUAAGGGCAAUUUUGUCAAAUCACUAUUAUAAACAGUGCUUUUCAAUUUCGUUUUAGCAUAGAAUAAUCUCAACUUCUCAUAUUCGUGUCAGUUGCACGUAUUUUUAUUUUGACAACUUAUUGCCCUACUUAAGUAUCGGUUAACCAACAUGGAAAAGGAUCCUCUUCGGAUCCAUUUUGUGAGAUCCUAAGGAUCUUAACAUCUUAAUCGUUCAUCGUACAUCGUGCUUUAAGUUUUCGUCAGAUACUAUUUGUGUUUAAUUUUAAAUAAUAAAAAUUAAAUGAUUUCUGACCGUACGAUACACGGUGAAUGAUUAAGAUGUGGUCGGGAAUUCUCGGAUGAGAUCCAAUUCCAACCAACGUAAAAAUAAUGAACUACGUAUUGAAGCAUAAAAUAUGUACAAGGCUAUUCUUGAAAUUUCAUAUACAACUUUUACCAAAUUUGUACACAACGGUUAAUGUUUAUUUUUUAUCGAAAAAUUGUGUUGCGAAAAAUAUUAAAAUAUAUGAGAUUUCUAUGUCCUUAGAUGUUACAUUCUUAAAAAAAAUUGCACUUACCACAAAAGUUGGCACGCCCAAGCUACUAUGUGCUACAUUAAAAGAAUCACAACCAUCAAAUUAUUGGAGGAAAGUUAGUAGGUGAAAAAUUAUGAUUCUAAUUGUAUCAAAUUCUUCCUUUUGCAAAAUUACUUUUUAUUUUUACAUAUAACCUAUGAAUGUCGAAGCAGUGUUUGGAUUGGGAGUGGAGUUGUAUGUUGAACCAUGUUUUAGUGUGUGUCCUUAAAAAUAAAAAAAGUUGGCUACAAAUUUGUUAGCAAAAGAUAGUGUCAUCAAAAUAUUUUUAGUUAAACUCUCUUAAUUUAUUUAGCAAAUGGCUCAACUCAACAACAAUUAACCCGUGAAAUCUCGACAAUGUGUAGUGUGCUCAACUCAACAACAAUAGAAUAGAACCGGCAAAAAGUAUGUUGAAAAAGAAGAAGCAAAAAUGAAAAAUAAUAGAAGGUACAAGAAAAGGAACACAAAAGACUUGAACUUCUUACACUAUGAGGUUGAAGGAGAUUUAGUAAAGAGUUGGGGAAAUUUCCCUCAUGCAACAUGCAUUCUUAUCCUAUUUUAAAAAGACAUAUUUUUAUUUUUGCCUCUUUUCCUUCUUUGUUAUUUCUGUUUGGACAUGUCAACUGAAGACCUAUGGAUGCUCUGAUUAAAAAAUACGAUUAUGAGACAAAUACUCAAGGCAAAAGAGGUAGAUGAAGACCUAAGAAGAUUUGGAAAGAGACUCUAAGAAAAUACAUCGAGUACUUGGAUCUAAUGCAAUACUUAGCACAAAACCGAACGCAAUGGCAUUUUAGGAUUCAUAUGGCUGAUCUUACUUUGUAGAAUAAUGCUUUGUUGUUAGUUUGUUUGUUUCCUUCAAUGUUUAUUCGAUAAUUAUCCCGUAAUUAAUUUCCGUUUCUGUUUUUUUGGUUACGGAAACCCUAUAUAUAAAUACCUUUUUUGGUUUCUGGAUAAGUAAGCCCUAAAAAUAAUUUCCUUUUUUUGCUUGUUGGUGCAUGCACAAAUAAAGAAAAAGAAUUAAAGAUAUUAUUGCCCCCAUAUACCCAAGAACAAUCAUAGGGCAAACAUACAAGGGAAGGAAUUCUGGACAUAUGCAGCCUGUGCUAUAAAUACCUCUCUAGCCCUGGCUCAUAUAUCAUACCAAUCCUCUUCUCUAUAUUAUCUUGGCUAUAGGUAUUGUCUUAUUCCUAAUACCCUGAGCCGCCAUGGAUUUCAGCAUAGCCACCUCCAAGAACUCGUCCAAACAAACCCGAACGAAUAAUCUGUCCAAACAACGAUUGCGGCGCAAACUAAUGAGCCUGUCCAGAGACGUACGGGAGCUCAAGGAGGCAACAGGGAAAGAAGUCACAUUUUAUGUAGAGACUAAGGACAAGAAGCUGUUUUGUGUCACGGGGCAACACCGUGUUGAAGACAUGCUAGCCCAGCAUGUCGCUAAGGUGGAGGUUUCGGACGACCAGGAGUUAUCAGAGAGAAAAACCCUAGGCCAAGUGGUGGAUCAUGACAAGUGUGAUCCGCAGUGGAUUAAGCCGAUUAAGACCAUGGGAGAGGAGGAGCUUAAGCUGUACAAGAUAAGCUUGUUGGAAGUGAAGAAAGGUAUGGAGAAGGCUACCGAACAGAAGUCCACAGCUGCUGGUGGUAGCAGUGGUUUGACUUCUGAUCGUGAUGGCAGUGCUACUGCCACUGUCUCCCGUGAGCGUCGAUGUGGAUUAGGACAACGUCGCAUGAGGCCUGGUUGUGAGUGAGGCAGAAGUUCAAUAGAUGUGUAUGCUUUGGUAGCUAUGGCUACUCCACAGUGUUUUUGUUUCUUUAAAUUUGUUGCUUUCAAGAGAUGAGGGAGAGGGAUAUGUUUGGUUGAUUUGGUAUGGGGGUUAAGAGUUGUUUCUUGUUUUCCAGUUCGACCAAAAAAUAAUAAUGUUGAAUUUUGGUUUUCAUUUUCGAGAAGAUUGGCUGCCCUGCUUGUGUUCUAAUUAGAAUAACUUUUAUGUUAUAGUAAUAAAUAGAUGUUGAAUGUUUUGCUCUUUUUUAUCAGUAUUCCAAUUGAAAAUUCUUCAAUAAUCUUCUUGAAGUAAAUAUAAUUAAAAUUUUGGGUGAUGUAAACUAGUAUACAAAAGUAAAAUCAGUGUUCUAGUUAAUCACAUUUUGUAGUGUUACCUGAACGAAUUUUGUAAAUCGUCGUGUAUAGAAAUUCAAAAGAUAGUCGGGGUAGGUUGGAUAAGAAAUGAAGUAGAUGAAAUUAUCAUAAAAACCGUGAAUUAUCACAUUAAGGGCAUUUUUGGGAUUUCAUAUAUACACAACGUUCAACGAAAAUGAGUUUUCUUACAAAUAAAAGAAAUUGGCAUAGAUACGGAAAUUCCACGUUUGAGAUUUUACGCUUCUUAAAAAACACACAUUCUGUCUUUUAGUAUUAUAGUUUAGUAGUAUUUUUCUUCACUUGUAAGUGAAAGGUCUUAGGUUUGAUUCUAGUCAAAGGUGAAUUUGAACCACAUUAUUACUAACCUAUUGUAAGGCUAAGCCUACAUACUCCCGUAUAGAUAAUAUCGUUUGUUUAAAAAAAUGCACAUACCAAAAAAAGUUAACGCGUGAAAAUGACGAGAUAUCACUUUAACUGAAUGUCCUAAUUGAGAAAAACUACGAAUUAAAUUGAUGGUGCGUGCACCAACAGCUGGCAAUAUGUAGUAUUAUGCGGGUCAUGUGAAAAUUAGCUUAAUUCUCAUGACCUAUUAAGUGACACAACCUGGUUCGAAAUGUCCACCUGGGCACCCCAAUAGAGUUGUACUGGCUGACACCUAGAAGGUGAUGAAGCCAUCACAACUUGAUUCGGGCGCCUACAUGGACAUUCUGAGUUCAAAUGUGUCAUUAAGCUUGCAGAUGGAAAAUCCAAAUACGAACAUGACCCGCAAAAAUAACCAGUAACAGAAUAUAGAUGACUCAUUCACCAAUUUUUAAAAUAUGUAAUCAUUUUAAAAUAGAUGUUUUCUUGGUCAUUCGGUAACAAAGAAAUAUAUGAUCACUAACAGUUAGAUUUAAAAUCAAAGAUAGAAAAAAUAAAUAGAUGCGUUUUAAUUAAUGUUUUAAUCUCAAUCUCAAUAUCAAAACUAAUGGUGAGUGACAAUGAACUCUAAAGAUCAAGAGAAGGUGAAUCUCAUUUUAAACACUUGGUACAUGCUCAUCUUGAUAGACUUAACAAUGUUUCAUUCACCAAAAUGAAAGUGUUAUUGUCAUCAUUUUGAAAAGGAGUAUUGUGUAGAAUUUAGAAGUACUACAACUCUAAGCGUUUGUGACUCGCCAUAUGAUGGUGGACUUCAUCAAUGGGAGCAUUUUGAGUCAUGCGUUUGCAAUUGAUGUAAACAUUUCCAUUCAAAUUUAAUCAACACUUUCUAUAUUUUGACAAAAAAAAGUUGCAAUAAGUGUCUUAGACGGUGAUGACCAAAGAGUACGUAACUGGUUAACAUCCGUAACGAAUUAAAUUCUAAAGCGAAUUUUGUUCAUGCAAAUUUCUAAAAUAGUGAAAUUAAAAUGAAUCUGGAUGCAAGUGGAUUUAACUUAGAGGUCGGCCGGUAUACCAUGCAUGUGUAAGCCAAGUACUCGAAAAUUACAUUCACUUCUCAAACACUCUCGAUCAAUGUGAUUAGUGACUAGCUAAGUAGUAAGAACACGUCGUAGAAAGGAUGUUGUCCGUACGUAAAAUUACAACAGUGUGUAAUGUCCAUUAUUUGGGAAAUGUAGGACUAUAUGAAAUAAACAUUUGAAUUCACAAUUAAGUAAUAAUUCAAUUAUCAACAACCACAUUUUAUUGUUUACAAAUUAUAAUUUAAAUAACUGGUCUUCCUAACAUUACCCAUAUAAAAACUAUUGAAAAAAAAGGAAAAAUAAUAGGUAAAAGAAGAAAAAAAAAAUACACAAAAGACGGCUUGAGUUACAAAUUAAUGUAAACUAGAAUGAAAUACCUAAUUGCCACCGAUAAGGAAUUAAUUUCUAAUGUAAGGUUUGUUAAUGCAACAUGCAUAUUCUUAUCUUAUUUAAAACAAAUAUAUUUUUGUUUUUAUUUUUGCCUAUUUUCCUUUUUGUUUUUUUAGUAUGUAGCCCUAAUUUCCCUUCUUUUUUUUUUUUUUUUUUUUGCGUAAAUAACCCUAUAUAUAAUUUCCUUUUCAGCUUUUUGGUGCAUGCACAAAUAUAGAAAACAGUAAGAGACAUUAUGACCCCCAUGUACCCAAGAACAAUUAUAGGGCAACAUACAAGUUCUGGGAAAGAGAUCAGCUCCGGUUCUUUCCCUCCAAAGUUUAAAGAUCAAAUAAUCUGGGCCUUUAAAAUUUGAUCAAAUGGCUAAAAACAGAGAAGUUGGUAAAAACUUUUAAAAACUAUAAUAAUUUUUAGAUGUUGGAUAAAAUUUUAAAGACUCGGAUCACUUGAUCCUUGGGCUUUGGAGGGAGAGAUCUAAAGAGGAUCUCAGGGGUUUCUCCAUUUUAAUCUUUGAUACAGAUUGAAAUUCAAUUAAAACCUUAUGUUAGAUUAUAUAUUCGUUAUAGUCCUUUGACUAAAUUUUCAUGUCAGCAUAAAUAUUAAAAUUUAUUUUUUCUUGUUUUGAAAUAUUUAAUGCAUUUUUUGGGUUCCUAUAAUGCCCCUAUUAAAUAUUUGAUUUUAAUUUGCUCCAUAUUUUUGGCAUUGAUUAUUGUUUGACUUUCUAAAAUGAUAAACAUAAUUCAAAAAAAUAUUAGUGAUUCGUUACAAGAAUUAACAAACACCUAAUUCAAAUUAUUCAUUAUCACCAUUCAAAGCAUAGAGGAAAUAUAAAUAGCCAAAUCAUAUAUUUUACAUAAUCGAAUGCACUUAAACCAUGUCCUAAUGUGCUUAAAUCAUAUAACCUAGUCGAAUGCACAUAAAUCAUAGUACCAAGUCAAAUGCACAUAAACCAUGGUACUUAUAUGAAUGCACCUAAACCAUGGUACCUAUAUGAAUGCACCUAAAUCAUGGUACCUAUAUGAAUGCACCUAAAUCAUAGUACCUAUAUGAAUGUACCUUAAUCAUUUAGGUACUAUCAAUUAGGUCUUAUCCAUUCGGUAUGGUCGGUUAGGUACUAUAUAGUGUAUGUCCGAUUAAUUUGGUACGGUCAAUUAAGUUGUGAUUUCACAUUCUAUUUUCUCAAUUUGUAUUUUUUUUCAUUUAUCUCUGGAUUCACCUUCAAUUUGGCAUCUAAAAGCCCCUUUUUCUCCUUUCUUCCGAAUACAACAAGAUUUUUGGUUUGUAAGUUUUAUGGCUUUUUUUGUUUGAUCAUGGUUUCUGAGUUUUCUGGGUUCUUUGAUUGGAAUAACACAUGGAGAUUUAUGUUAUAACAAACAUGUUAAUUAUGGAUCUAGUUUAAUUAAGCAUUCUUGAAAAAUUAAUUAUAUAUUUGUUUCUCUAAUUGGUUUUAAAGAGUAAUAAGGGUAAAUAGGGAAACUAAAAAUGCAAUAAAUUUAUUAAAAAAUGAUUAAAUGUGACAUGGAAUACUAUAAUCUGACAUGGAGGACUAUUUUUAGUUUUUAAUCUUACAUACGGUAUUAUUGAAAAAGCAAUCUUAUUUAGGGAUUAAAAUGAAGUUUUCUAAUCUCUUUAUUCCCAAGUUCUGGACAUAUGGAGCCUCUGCUACAAUUACGUUCUCUAGGCUUGGCUCAUAUAUCAUACUAGCUAGCCCUUCUCUAUUCUCCUGGGUAGGUAUUGUCUUAUUCCUAGUACCCUAAGCCGCCAUGGAUUUCAACAGGGUCACUGCGAAGAACUCGCCCAGCCAAACCCAACUGACCAACCCUAAAGUAACCAAACAACGGUUGCGCCGUAAGCUAAUCAGUCUGUCCAGAGACGUCCGGGAGUCCAAGGAAACGACCAGGGGAGUAGCCACCGUCUUUGUAGCUACCAAGGACAAGAAGCUCUAUUGUGUCACAGGGCAACAUCGCGUCCAAGACAUGCGAGUCCGCUCUGUCCCUAGGGUGGACGUUGACCACCAAAUAGGUGAGUCGUCAGAGACCGAAACUGAGAACAUGGGAUCGUUCGUAAUCACAUGACCAAUCUCUAACGUCGUUAGACUAUUGAUUUACUAUGAGGGAGUGUCAAGGGAGAAAUAGUGUACUAAAGGGAAGAUGAGAAUCCAUUUCAUGUUGGAUGAUCUGCCUGGAGGAAUGAAUUCUCCUUUUUAAUUAACUUCAUCUUUCCAAGAGUUGUGAGACUUCUUUGAAUGGUUUUAUCCUUUCAUGAUAAGACACAUCAAUUAUAGAAGGGUAUAACCCUUAUGAUAAGUCAUACCUCUUAAUACAAUCUUUGCUUAAGUGUAUAUCAAUAAACCAAUCAUAUGGUGCACCUCCACACAUCAAAUACACACAUAGUAAAACCAACAUCAUCAUGAUCAUAUUCCAACAUCUCCCACUUGAUCUUGAUGAUGUAAAAUCCCGUUGGAAAAUAAUCCUUUUGGUUCUCCUAUUAGAAUUCACAUAGAACAUCCAUUUAGUCUCUUUUUCAAAUUAUAAGCGGUAAAAAUCAGUUUACAUAAGUCAAAUUUCAUAUAAAAUAGGACAUCUUCUUUUUAUAAGACUUUUUGAAUCACCAGCAUUACAAUCUUUUUCAUCCUCAUGUUCUUACAGACUAGACGUGGAUUGGGCUGUGAUGUGCGUCCAAAUGCUGAAGGGCGGCUGUAAGCUAGAUGGAGACACUAGUAUUAGUGCUCGACCGAAUUGCAAGUUAGGCCAAGAUCCAUAAAAACCAAGACAUAUUACAUAAUUUAAAACGUAUAAUGUAAUGGAAAAUAAAUUUUGUAUGCAAUAAGCAAUAUCUUGUUCGUAAACUUUUUUUUUUUCUAUCGUCGUUGGUCACGGUUGAACGACGAAACAAGUAUUUUUCAUUCCAGAAUAGUUUUGAAAUUUAUAAUUAAUCAGUUGACAACAACAUUAAGGGCUCGUUCAGAAGUGUUUUCAAAAUGACUAAAAACAUUUUUAGCAAACAUGUUUUUGGGUUAUAAUAGCACUUGAAGUGCUUUGUGCAAGCUUCUUGCAAGAAGCACUUUAAGUGCUUUCACUUGUAUUUUUAUUAAGAAUUGGUUCCAAAAAUAUUUUCGUCAGAAAGGCUUUCAGCCAUUCUAAAAACGCUUUCAACUAUUUUAAAAACGCUCUCAAAAGAGUUUUAAUACCUCUCAUAUGUUUUCUUCUUAUCUGUUUUGUGUUGUUUUCUAGAUACAAAUUGAUCAAUCAGUUCUUAAUAAUCAUCACAUCAAAGCGUUAUGGACGAGUAUAAGCGUCCAAGAGAAAAGUCAAAAGUAUGUUUCUUUCAAUGAAGGAAUCCCUAACCACACCCAUCCUAUACAAUGUAAACCAUAUAUCAGUUAUUCACUAUGAUUGAGGAUGGGAUGAUAAUACAUUUUUUAGCUUUCUUUCUCAUCUUGUAGUUUAGUUUUAGUGAUUAGAACCGUCUACUCUAUAGAUCACCAUUUAAAGAUUAAUUAUGUAAAAAAAAAAAAAAAAAAAAACCAGAUUAGAAAGGAUGACCUAGAAAAUAGAGUAGAUGAUUUAUUAGAUAACCGUUUAGACUAUAAACAGGUUUAGAUUAGUUAAUUUUUUAAGAGAUGAACUUUAAAGGUGACCUAAAAAGUAUCGGUUCAGAACAUCGUGAAAUAUUACAGAAUGAGAAGAAUAAUCGAAAAGACAGAUCAAAAUGGUCUAAAUGAGUAUAUUGCUAGCAUUCUUCAAAAGAAAAAAGGUUCCACAUACACAUACUAGCACCUUGGUGCCUUAGGCCAUCUCCAAUGGAGAGGGCUAAAGGUCCAAAUGCCAAAAAAGACCUGAUUUUUCUAUAGAGCCCACCAAACCAUUAUUCGGCCAAAAGGGCAUCAGGCUGGCCAAAUGUAGCCCUCUCUUAGCGCUUUUUUUUAGAGCCUAGCUCAUCAGUUGCAAUAAUUAAUUUAAAUUCAACGGUUAGAUUUGAAAACAUUCAAAGGUAGUUUAAUUAAAUUAAAUUAUAAACUUAAAACUAAUAAAUUAUUGAGGUGACUAUGUUUGGCCCCUUCGGUUGAGAAUGGUAUAUAAGUAUGACCUAAUAUUGUUCAUUAAAAAAUAAAUUUUUUAAAUAACUAUAAUUUUGAACAUGACUAUAUUUAACUCUUUUAAUUGAACAUGGCCUUAGUUUUAAUGAUUGCAUCACAGUCCAAACCCAGUUAUCCUCUCACCUUUUGUUUUCAUUCAAUCUUUUGUUCUUUCUACUUCAAGAAAAGGAAAAGAGAUUGUAUCACAAAAAAUAAAAAAUAAAACUAAAGAAAAGUGUUUGAAAUUUUUGAGUUUUAAUAAUAAGGAUAAAAUAAAUGGUAAAGUAAAUAGUACAAUAAUUAACUUAUUAAUGUAAAAAUAUAAUUUUUUAAAAAAAAUAAAUAAUAUCAUGAAUUUUUCGUUAAAGUUCUUAAAAAAAAAAAAAAAACAUGACACACACACACCCACCUUUUUUUCAUCAGUUUCAGGUAACCGUUUUCAAGGGAUCAUAAGUCAUAGCACUUAUAUUAAUUUAUUGGAAUUUGGAGCCUAAUUUUCUGUUAUAUUUAUAGGACUGAUGGCGUAGUGAUUAUUCUUACACUUUGAUUGAAAAUGCUGGCUGCUGCUGAAGUUUCAGUGGCUGUUGAACAAUUAUUGUGCGAUCUGAUCUCUGUAGCUAUCUGAUAUGAUAUCUCCGUGUGUCAUUCAUUCAUUCAUGGGAACUUGCAGAAGUUUACGAUUGCAUCUCUAGUCAAGUCAGAAUAAAAUGACAUAAUGAUAUCUCAAUCGAGUCAAUUUAAUAAUAAUAAUAUUAUUAUAUUAAAUUUAUUAAUUGAAUGGAAAUUAGAAAUGAAACAUUUUGGUAGAAAAAUGUGUAUACUCAAAUGAAGAGUUGCAACUUUUGACUCUUCAUAAAUAGUCAUAUGCUUUCCAAAGAUGUAUGUCACAUUCUAUAAAUAGGGAAGCCAACUAUAAUCACAAAAUAACUUUUCAUUGUUUUACAUAAUCAAACCUAUAAUGCACUAAAUAUUAGAGUCUCAUUGAGUCCAUAUGAGAGAGUUUUUAAGACAAUCGUGGUUCAUGGAGCCUUGUGAUUUGGAAUGCUACUAUUAGAAGGACGUGAUCGUUGUAUCUUGGGAUACAUGUGUCGAUCAACCAUGAGCACCGUAGUGGGGUGUAAACUUGUCUUAAGGACAAAGUAUCCAACACUUGCCUCGACCGUAAUUUCUAGGUUUUUCUAAUCCAUUAUGUCAUGUUCAUUUUGACACACCCUAACCCGAAGACUAGGACGUGCUGGCCGUCACGUGAGUGUGACGUAACCAUAACGCAAGCGGAAACGAUUUAAUAAUAAAAUACGAGUUAACGAAAACCACUAAUUGCAGUUAUUUACAACCUAGCAUUCUAUGUGCAUAAGAGUGUACUAAACACACAUAAACAGAGCAUAAGCAUCUAGGUGCAGUCAAGUAGGAACAUAACUAAUUUACAACACCCUCGGGUGAAUCCUACAUUUAUUUAGUCUGUCAGAACGCCGAAGCAGUCUCGUAGGCCACCAACGCCUCAACUAUCAACUAGAACCUGGAGGGGCGAAAAACAGAAAACGUGAGUGGGCGAAAAUAAAGCUUUUCCAAAUCAUUUUCACAAAUCCACAAUUAUAACCCCUUUUUGGAAAACCUGUAUACUUUCCCAGAAAAAUAGUAUAUAGCAUAUAUAUCUCAACUGUCUCAAUCAUCAAUCUUAUAACAGAUUCAAUAAAGAAUGUACCAUGCCAAUUUCAACAGUGUAGUAUGAAUGCAUUAACAUAAUAUAAUCAGGUAAAAAGAUAGAAAUCAAUCGGAGGCCCUCUAAUAGCCCUGAACGAUUGAACCUAGAGCUCAACAUCUAUCAAUCUCACUCUCUGCCGGAGUCACUCCGCGUGACCUGUCCGACCUUCUGCACAUAAGUCGGAACCACCUAAUGUAGUUUGAACGACUCAUGGUAAUAUUCGCUCUAGUGCUUCUCUCAUCAAUCAUCUGUAUACAAUAACCUAAGGUCACCCACCAGUCAUAAUCUCACUAACACUCUACGACUGGCCCGUCGUACCCACUCCGCGUGGACUGUACGACCAGCAUCUACUUGGAUCCAAGGCGAGCGUGCGAUGCGGUGAAUACUAUAAGCACUAAACCAUGGUGCAGGAUAUGAGCUCAAUAUAUCAUCAUCAUCAUCAUAAUAUUAAUUAAAUACUUACCUGUGCUUCCACAGCACCAUCAUACAUAUAUGCAUCAUACGACAGUUCAUAAUAUCCAUAAUAUUCUAUGCAUGGCAAUCACAUCAUAUUUCACUUCAAUAUACUUUUUCAUUUAAAUUUGAUUUCUGGGGAAAUCGAGUAUAUAGGUAUAUAUAUAGAAAGCAAUGCCCACUCACUGGUAUGUCGCCGGGUCGUAACCCCCUUGACGCCCCUGGAUGUGCUCGUCCUCGUUAAAAGUUCCACCUAGAAGUGAAAUAACUUAAAACAAUCAUUUAACGCACAAUUAACGCACCUAAACCAAACUAGGUAAUUAAUUCUUCAUACGAUGCUCAAAUUGGGUAUAUGAAUAUACCACAGUGACCUACACAACCUCAGGAUCAUCCCCAUAUUUUUAAAAUAAUUUUUGGAGUCCUCACGCGCCCCCACGCGCCUGACGUGGCACGGACCUACGCGCGGCCCACGCGCGGACGUGACAUGCACACUGACGGCUACAGUGAACGGCGUUAGAGAAUAUUCCGUCAAAUCCUAGAAUAUUCCGUUAAAAACUAACGGUUUCCAUUAAAGUUAACUAACGGCGUCGGAAUAUUCCGUCAAACUUGACGGAAGAUUCCCUGUCUUCUCCGGCGAGUCACCGGUCGCCGGCGACUGUUCGCCGGUUUCUGGAAAAUUUUCAAAUCCACUAUUCUCCUUCGUUUUUCAACCAAUUUCUUCGCAUUUUAUACCAAAAUGAAGCAUUUAACAAGUACUAUCACGUUGGAAGGGUUUUAAGGCCUAAAAACAACUAGAUCAUACCUUCCAAAAUUCUUCAAUUUCGGCCAAACUCGAACCCGACGAUCCCGACGUCCAUUUUGUUCAAACGAGGCACUCCGAGCCUCCUUGGAACUUCCUAAGACUCGUGGUGAUCUUGCUUUAGCCUAAAACACAACCAAAAUUAAGUUCGUGAACAGUGCCAUUACACGGGGUGUUUUAAAACUAGGGUUCUCGAAAUAGAACUUACCUAAAACUGGUAUUCCCGUGCUCGUGAGGUUCCCAAGAUCACGAAGAUGAUCUUAGAUUGGACGUUGGUGUAGGAUUGUGAUUGUUCUUGGUGUUUGUCCGAGAGCUCGAGUGUAAGAGAGAGAGAGAGUGUUUCUGAGGGAGUGUGAGAGAGACUGAGGGAGAGACGAGGAAGAGAGAGAGAAUGAGACAUGGAUCCAGAGAUUAGGGAAUGAUUUAGGGGGUAGGGUCCCACCUAAAGUCCAAACACAGAUAAAUUAACACAUACUAAUAUAAUUCUAACCCUAGUUUAGGAUCUUAGUGUAAAACAAAUACCAAAUUUACGCACCUUAAUCCCGUUUAAGGGCGUUUUAGUAAUUUCACGUCCUCGGUAUUUAGUAACUCUGGGACGGGCUGUGACAAUCUCCCCUCCUUAUAGAAUUUCGUCCCCGAAAUUCCAAUCACUAACCAGAACAUCAAAAGUCAUAGAAUAACCUCGGAUACAUAUCUCUCAUCCGAUCUUCUGUCUCCCAAGUAGCUUCUUCAGCUGAAUGGUUUCUCCACAAUACUUUCACCAAGCUCACGGUCUUAUUCCUCAAGGUCUUAUCUUUCCAAUCCAGUAUAGUCACUGGUUCUUCAUCAUACGUCAAGUCCGGAUUAAUUUCCAAUGGUUGAGGAGGAAUCACAUGUGAAGGAUCUGAAACAUAAUGCCGAAGCAUCGAGACAUGGAACACAUUAUGUACCUUAGACAACUCUGGAGGUAGCUCCAACCUGUAAGCAACUUCACCAAUCCUCUCAGUGAUCUCAUAAGGUCCAAUGUACCUGGGACUUAGCUUUCCUUUCUUUCCAAAGCGAACCACACCUCUCCAAGGCGAUAAUUUCAGAAAAACAUAGUCGCCCACAUUAUACAUUCUGUCCGUGGUAUGUCGAUCCGCUAGGCUCUUUUGUCUAUCCUGGGCCACUUUCAGGUUAGACUUAAUUACCUGAAUAUUCUGAGUAGUCUCAUCCACAAUCUCUGGCCCUUCAAGUAUUCUUUCACCAACCUCUGACCAACAUAAUGGCGUACGGCAAGCUUUACCAUAAAGUGCUUCAAAUGGAGACAUUCCAAUACUCGAAUGAAAACUAUUAUUGUAGGCAAACUCCAUCAAAUCCAAGCGAUCAUGCCAAGAAUCACCAAAUUGCAUCACAGAGGAUCUCAACAUAUCCUCGAGUGUCUGAAUAGUUCUCUCCGACUGACCAUCUGUCUGUGGAUGAUAAGCUGUACUGUAAAGCAAUCUGUAGUACCCAAAGCUUCUUGAAAAGCUAUCCAAAACUUAGAAGUAAAUCUUGGAUCUCGAUCAGAAAUAAUAUUCACUGGGACACCAUGAUACUUUACAACCUUCGAUAUGAAUAACUGAGCCAACUUAUUUAAAGAAUACUUCUCCCUUACUAGAAUAAAAUGUGCUGAUUUGGUAAGUCGAUCUACAACCACCCAAAUGCCAUCAAAACCAUUUUGUGUACGUGGCAGCUUAUACACAAAAUCCAUCGUUAUAUUCUCCCAUUUCCACUGGGGAACGGGAAGUGGUUGCAAUCUCCCAAACGGCUUCUUUCUUUCAGCCUUAACCUGCUGGCAGACAAUACACCUACUCACAUACUCUGCAAUCUCCCUCUUCAUACCCGGCCAAUAAUAGAAUGGUCGAAUGGUAUGAUACAUUUUAGUUCCUCCUGGGUGCAUAGCAUAAGCCGAACAAUGUGCUUCAUCCAAGAUUUCUUUCUUCAGUUCCUCAUUAUUAGGCACAUACAUCCUGUUCUCUUGCAUAAGCAUACCAUCUGAUCCUCGGAUCUUGAGAUCUUUCUUCUUCCCUUCAUUUCUUAAAUUGAUCAAUUCUUGAAUCUCUUCAUCCCACGAUUGAGCUGCAAGCACCCGAUCAAUUAAAAUUGGCUUGACUUGAAAACUGGCAAGAAAAGCUUCACUUUGCUCUUCCCAUUCUAACUCUACUCCAGUAGAUCUCAACUCUGCCAGAAGAGGAACACGACUGGCAUACAAAGCAUUAAGUCGCCCUUGAGGCUUCCUACUCAGAGCAUCAGCUACCACAUUUGCACGACCCGGAUGGUACUCAAUCGUGCAAUCAUAAUCACUUAACAAUUCCAACCAUCUUCUCUGACGAAGAUUAAGAUCAUGCUGAGUGAAAAGGUACUGAAGGCUUUUAUGAUCGGUAAAGAUCUUACAUUUCUCGCCAUAGAGAUAGUGUCUCCAAAUCUUCAAAGCAAACACAAUAGCUGCCAACUCAAGAUCGUGAGUCGGAUAGUUUCUUUCAUGAGUCUUCAACUGCCUAGAAGCAUAGGCAAUCACUCUACUAUGCUGCAUCAAAAACACAACCCAAACCAUUCAAAGAAGCAUCACUAUAGAUCUCGAAGUUACCAUUAUCAUCAGGAAGUACUAACACAGGUGCAUGAGUAAGGCAAUACUUCAACUGCUGGAAACUUUGCUCACAACUUUCAUUCCACUCAAACUUAACAUCCUUCCUGGUUAACUUCGUUAAUGGCAAGGCAAUCAUAGAAAAGUCUUGAACAAACCGUCUAUAAUAACCUGCCAAACCAAGGAAACUCCGCACCUCAGUGACCGUUCGAGGUUGUUCCCAAUUUUCCACUGCUGCUAUCUUUUGAGGAUCCACUUGAAUUCCUUGAGCUGAUACCACAUGUCCCAAAAAUGCCACUUGAUCCAGCCAAAAUUGACAUUUACUAAAUUUGGCAUAUAACCGGUGUUCCCUCAAUUUCCUUAACACCAAGUUAAGAUGUCGAAUAUGGUCUGAUUUCGACUUAGAAUAUACCAGGAUGUCAUCAAUAAAAACAAUAACAAACUUGUCAAGAUAUUCCUGGAAUACUUCAUUCAUCAAUCUCAUGAAAGCUGCAGGAGCAUUCGUUAAUCCAAAUGGCAUCACCAAAAACUCAUAAUGCCCAUAACGAGUCCUGAAAGCUGUUUUAUGAACAUCCUCAUCUUUAAUCUUUAAUUGAUAAUACCCAGACCUCAAAUCGAUCUUAGAAAACACACAGGCACCUUUGAGCUGAUCAAACAAAUCAUCUAUACGAGGCAAUGGAUAACGGUUUUUAAUCGUCACCCGAUUCAAUUGCCUGUAAUCAAUGCACAAUCUCAAAGUUCCAUCUUUCUUUCUUACAAACAACACUGGAGCUCCCCAAGGUGAAGAACUAGGCUGAAUGAAACCUUUAUCAAUUAACUCUUGCAAUUGAAUUUUCAACUCUCUUAAUUCCGCUGGUGCCAUUCUAUAAGGAGUCAAAGAGAUAGGAUUCGUACCUGGAAGCAAAUCAAUCGAAAAUUCCACAUCUCUAUCUGGAGGCAACCCAGGUAAAUCAUCUGGAAAUACAUCAGGAUAGUGUCUGACUACUCCGACUUCCUCCACACUACCGGAAUCAACAUCAUUCAAAACCACAUGUGCCAAGUAUCCCUGACAACCCUUGGAUAACAAUUUCUUCGCCCUUAUGGCGGAAAUAACACCAUGCCUCACCCCACUUCUUUCACCCACAAAUGUAACCUCGGGUAGUCCAGGACGAAGAAAAGUAACUGAUUUCCCGUAACAAUCUAUAUGGGCGCGAUUUAUAAUGCAACCAAUCCGCCCCUAAAAUCACAUCAAAAUCCACGAUGUCUAACGGGAUAAGAUUAGCAGGCAUAAUGACAUUAUCUACCAUCACUGGACACCCAGAGUAAAAACUAUCAACAUAACAUUUAUCCCCUCUAGGCAUAGCAAACUCUAAAUCAAACCCUAGAGGUGAAGGAUGAGGUUGCGUUAUUUGAGCAAAUGUAUGAGAAAUCACAGAGUGUGUAGCACCACAAUCAAUCAAGACUCUAGCAAAAUGACCAAGAACAUUCAACGUACCCAUAAUCAAGUCUGGAUGGUUCUGAGCAUCUUGCAGCGAGAUGUGGUUAACACGUCCCUGAGCUGGCUGUCGUCCUCCACGACCUCUGCCACUCUGGUUACCUCGUCCCUGAUGAGUACGUCCUUGACCUGCCUGGGCAGGCGGCCUAAACGACCCUGUACUACUAGCAGCAACUCCGCUCUGUUGGGGCUGACCCCCCUGAUACCACUGAGAUCCGCUAGCAGGCAUAGACGGAUAUGAAGUAUAACCUCCUUGAUCCUGAGAAUAUCCACUCUGAAAAUAAGGAUCCUGGGAAUAAUGAUACUGUCCCGGAGCAUAAGGAGCAGCAUCACCCUGAUAGUGAUAAGCACCACCACGACCACCUUGGCCAUAACUGCCUGAAUUAAAGUUCUGUUGAGUCGGUGCUGAUGUUGGCAUAACAGGCUGCUGGGGCCUCUGCUGAUUCUGGGGACAAUACAUAGCUCUAUGUCCUGUCUGACCACAUGUAAAGCAUGCACCACUGCUUCUCCUACAUUCCCCAUGAUGUCGGAAAUUACAACGGCGACAUAACGGAGGACCCGAACUACCAGUACCACUAAAGCCUCUCUGACCAGAAAAUCUAGGUCCAUUACCAAACCUACCACCUCCUCUCCUCGGACCUGUGGCACUAAAUCCACCACUGGAAGAACUCGAACUCAUUCCACUUUUCUUGAAAUUCUGCAUCUGACGAGGUCCUGGAAUGGAAACACCUUUACCUUUCUCAUUUUUCUUCUGACCAUUACUCUUAUCCUCUUCAUCCUCACUGUCCGGAAGAUUAUCAGAGUCUUCCAUCCUGACCAGAAUCUCAAAAUACUCAUGAUAAUCGGCACAGGGAAGUGCAUUGGCAAACGUUCUGUACUUCUUCUUAGAUCCUAGCUUGAAACGACGAAGCAUUUCUGCUUGAUUACCCGCUAAAUCAGAAUCAUAACGGGAUAAAUCAGUAAACUUCCUGUAGUACUCAUGUGCAGACAUAUUUCUCUGCUUCAGACUGGUGAAUUCCUGUUUCUUGCGAUCUAUAUAUAUUCCGGAGGAACAAAUCUCUUCAUAAAAUUUUCUUUUAAAUACCUCCAUUCGGCUGCCCUUUCAGGAGUCAUGUGCCUCGACUGAUUUAUCCACCACGCAGCUGGCUCACGGCCCAAAAACCAAGUGGUAGUCUCCACCCAUCUAUUAGCUGGCAGGUUUCCCUGACUUUGCAUCACUUGAAAGGUCUGCUCAAUUCGAUCCAACCACUUUUCUGCCCCUUCAUAACCUUCAUUUCCCUCAAAGGUUUCCAGUUUCAGAUUAUACAUCGUCUCUACGGGCGUUCUCUGAGGAGGACGGAUAUUAGCCUGAAAAGCUUGAGCCAUUGCUGCCCCUAACUGAGUUAUAUCGGGGAAAUUAGGCUCAGCAGCACGGCGAGGAUCUCUACGAGGCGGCAUAAUUCUGACAGAAAACAUCCAAAAAUCAAAUAAAGAACUCAUUAGUUAUACAGGACUGCAACCUAUGCUCUGAUACCAAACUGACACACCCUAACCGAAGAAGAAGACUAGGACGUGCUGGCCGUCACGUGAGUGUGACGUAACCAUAACGCAAGCGGAAACGAUUUAAUAAUAAAAUACGAGUUAACGAAAACCACUAAUUGCAGUUAUUUACAACCUAGCAUUCUAUGUGCAUAAGAGUGUACUAAACACACAUAAACAGAGCAUAAGCAUCUAGGUGCAGUCAAGUAGGAACAUAACUAAUUUACAACACCCUCGGGUGAAUCCUACAUUUAUUUAGUCUGUCAGAACGCCGAAGCAGUCUCGUAGGCCACCAACGCCUCAACUAUCAACUAGAACCUGGAGGGGCGAAAAACAGAAAACGUGAGUGGGCGAAAAUAAAGCUUUUCCAAAUCAUUUCACAAAUCCACAAUUAUAACCCCUUUUUGGAAAACCUGUAUACUUUCCCAGAAAAAUAGUAUAUAGCAUAUAUAUAUCUCAACUGUCUCAAUCAUCAAUCUUAUAACAGAUUCAAUAAAGAAUGUACCAUGCCAAUUUCAACAGUGUAGUAUGAAUGCAUUAACAUAAUAUAAUCAGGUAAAAGAUAGAAAUCAAUCGGAGGCCCUCUAAUAGCCCUGAACGAUUGAACCUAGAGCUCAACAUCUAUCAAUCUCACUCUCUGCCGGAGUCACUCCGCGUGACCUGUCCGACCUUCUGCACAUAAGUCGGAACCACCUAAUGUAGUUUGAACGACUCAUGGUAAUAUUCGCUCUAGUGCUUCUCUCAUCAAUCAUCUGUAUACAAUAACCUAAGGUCACCCACCAGUCAUAAUCUCACUAACACUCUACGACUGGCCCGUCGUACCCACUCCGCGUGGACUGUACGACCAGCAUCUACUUGGAUCCAAGGCGAGCGUGCGAUGCGGUGAAUACUAUAAGCACUAAACCAUGGUGCAGGAUAUGAGCUCAAUAUAUCAUCAUCAUCAUCAUAAUAUUAAUUAAAUACUUACCUGUGCUUCCACAGCACCAUCAUACAUAUAUGCAUCAUACGACAGUUCAUAAUAUCCAUAAUAUUCUAUGCAUGGCAAUCACAUCAUAUUUCACUUCAAUAUACUUUUUCAUUUAAAUUUGAUUUCUGGGGAAAUCGAGUAUAUAGGUAUAUAUAUAGAAAGCAAUGCCCACUCACUGGUAUGUCGCCGGGUCGUAACCCCCUUGACGCCCCUGGAUGUGCUCGUCCUCGUUAAAAAGUUCCACCUAGAAGUGAAAUAACUUAAAACAAUCAUUUAACGCACAAUUAACGCACCUAAACCAAACUAGGUAAUUAAUUCUUCAUACGAUGCUCAAAUUGGGUAUAUGAAUAUACCACAGUGACCUACACAACCUCAGGAUCAUCCCCAUAUUUUUAAAAUAAUUUUUGGAGUCCUCACGCGCCCCCACGCGCCUGACGUGGCACGGACCUACGCGCGGCCCACGCGCGGCCACGUGACAUGCACACUGACGGCUACAGUGAACGGCGUUAGAGAAUAUUCCGUCAAAUCCUAGAAUAUUCCGUUAAAAACUAACGGUUUCCAUUAAAGUUAACUAACGGCGUCGGAAUAUUCCGUCAAACUUGACGGAAGAUUCCCUGUCUUCUCCGGCGAGUCACCGGUCGCCGGCGACUGUUCGCCGGUUUCUGGAAAAUUUUCAAAUCCACUAUUCUCCUUCGUUUUUCAACCAAUUUCUUCGCAUUUUUUAUACCAAAAUGAAGCAUUUAACAAGUACUAUCACGUUGGAAGGGUUUUAAGGCCUAAAAAACAACUAGAUCAUACCUUCCAAAAUUCUUCAAUUUCGGCCAAACUCGAACCCGACGAUCCCGACGUCCAUUUUGUUCAAACGAGGCACUCCGAGCCUCCUUGGAACUUCCUAAGACUCGUGGUGAUCUUGCUUUAGCCUAAAACACAACCAAAAUUAAGUUCGUGUGAACAGUGCCAUUACACGGGGUGUUUUAAAACUAGGGUUCUCGAAAUAGAACUUACCUAAAACUGGUAUUCCCGUGCUCGUGAGGUUCCCAAGAUCACGAAGAUGAUCUUAGAUUGGACGUUGGUGUAGGAUUGUGAUUGUUCUUGGUGUUUGUCCGAGAGCUCGAGUGUAAGAGAGAGAGAGAGUGUUUCUGAGGGAGUGUGAGAGAGACUGAGGGAGAGACGAGGAAGAGAGAGAGAAUGAGACAUGGAUCCAGAGAUUAGGGAAUGAUUUAGGGGGUAGGGUCCCACCUAAAGUCCAAACACAGAUAAAUUAACACAUACUAAUAUAAUUCUAACCCUAGUUUAGGAUCUUAGUGUAAAACAAAUACCAAAUUUACGCACCUUAAUCCCGUUUAAGGGCGUUUUAGUAAUUUCACGUCCUCGGUAUUUAGUAACUCUGGGACGGGCUGUGACACAUUUAGCAUUAGUUACUCAUGUACAUGCAUUACUUUGAUAUAUAAUUGCAUGAAUUAUUUCUUGAUUUUUCAUGUGAUUUAAUAUAGCAAUUAGACCCUAUUUUUCCAACAUCUCAGGCCCUAGGGAUUUUAGGGAUCUCGCAAUCAUGAUCAUUCAUCAUAUAUCAUGCGCUCAGUUUUUGUUAGGUGCUAUUUAUCUUUAAUUUGAAAUUUGAAAUUUUGAAAUGAUUUCUGGUCGCAAUAUGUAUGAUGAACGAUCACGAUCGCGAGCGAGAUCCUUAAGAUCCCUAGAAAAAAGAUUUGGUCCAUGCAUUGCACAUAAUUCAGCCUUCGACAAAUAGGUAGCAUAAACUUGUCAUUUAACCUUUCGUUAAAAAUAGUUAGAAAAUAAGACAUGUGAGCGAAAAUAGAAACUCCCCUUUUUAAUCAUUGAAUCCUAAAUUUUAUAUAUAUAUGCAGGUUCUUUAACAAGAGGGAUCCCCAUUUAAAAAAAAAAUGGGGAUACUAUAUUGACUGUUAGAUUUGGUUUUAAUGAAAUUCUGUGGUUGAGAUUAAAUCACAGGCCACAAAAUCUCAACCACAUAAUUUCAUUAAAAUCAAAUCUAACGGUCAAGAGGGUGUCCCUAUUUUUCUUUUUUUUUUUUUAAAUGGGGAUCUCUUUUGUUAAAGGAUUCCUAUAUAUAUGUGUGUGUGUGUGUGUAUAAGGGGUGUUCAAAUUAGGGCGAAAAAGGAGAUCGACUCAUUAAUUAGGCUCUGAUGAUCUUCAUCGUGAAGGUGAGAUAAAAAAAGAUGGUGCUAUUCACACUCUUAAUUUUAUUUUUUACAUAUACCUCUCAAUUUGUAGCCGUCGAAUCGAAUUAGAAUCGAAUUAAUUGAAGAAGAUCAAUGGACAAAAUUUAAUAAGGGUGUGUGAAAGGUAAAAAUGAGUGUGUGAGUAGCACUACCCUAAAAAACUUAUGAAGAAAAUAAAAAUGGUUACACAAUUUAAUAUUAAAAAAAAAUUGUUUAAAAGCAUCUCCAAAUGAGAUGUCAAAAUGACCACAUCAACAAUAACAGUCAAAAUAACACACAUAUUUUCCAACCGAGAUGUCCAUUUCUAUGCAGCAUGACAUGAAAUUAGCAGCAAGGCGGGUUGCUGUCAAAUUUGACAGCAGCUAAUAUUACAUCAUUUAUGUUUAAAAUUCAAAUUUGAGACAACUAAUAUUAGUACUCGUUUGUUCAUUGGGUUUCAUAUUACAUAAUUUAUGUUUAAAAUUCAAAUUUUGAGACAACUAAUAUUAAUGUUGACCAUGAUAUACCCAAUUAAUGGAUUUUCAACAUAAUCUAUAUGUACUUUUAACACUUUUUUUUUCUCUCUCUCUAAAACCUUUUCUCCCCUCUACUUUCAGGAAAAAAGAAACCCUUCUAGCCGCCGCUCCUUACUCUGGCUUGGGGUCGGCGGCAGCCCAACUCCCACAUCUUUCUAGCCAUCCUUCCCACUUUCUCGUCCGUCUCCACCCUCUGCAUCUUCCCUUUUCCCCCAUCCUUCCCCCAUCUUUCCCACCUUUUUCUAGCCCUCUUUCUCUCUUUCCCAUCCAUCUACACCUUCCACAUCUUCCAUCUUCCCCCUUCUUUUCCUCAUCCUUCCCUCAUCAUUCCACUAAAAAAGUUUUUAAUUUCUGAACUUUUUCUCUUUUGGUCUUUGUUUUGGCUUCCCUUGAGCUUUGUUCUUUGAACUUUGUCUCAAUUCCCAUGAGUUGGUCUCAGAUCUGGACUUUCAUGGCCCUCUCCUGCUCUGGUGCUACUUUACAUCGCGUGUUCUCAACCACCGGCCUCUGCUACUCGGCCUGUGUGCUUCUCAUCGGGUGUUGGGUGGCUAUUAAAGUGCUUUUAACAAUAUAUGGUAGGAUUAUGAGAGCGGCUCACUGCUCGGUUGGCUUAUUCACCUCAUUUUUUGUUGAUCUAGUUAUUCCGUUGGUUUGUUCCCUUGGUGGUGGUGAUGGCCUUGUGAUACGAUGGAGGCGCAUCUGGUAGCUGCUGGUUUCCAUUCCAAUCUUAGUGUUUUUUUGUUAUUGUUCAGCUGGCCACUUUUAGGCUUGUCUAUUGUAUUUUCUUUUUUGUUGUUGGGCUUGUAUUUAGGUUGUAGGUUGCCUUUGGGCUCUCUUUUCCUUGUACUUGUCUUUUUAUUUAAUGGAAGUAAUUUAAUUUGACUAAAAAAAGAACAUAUUCUAUGUUUGAAAAAUUAACUAAGCUUAGCGGAUGUGACAUUUUUAAUAGGCUGGGUACUUGUUUUGGAUGUUUGAAAAGGCUGAGAUCAAUUUGGAAUGACACUAAAAAGUUGAGGGUUUUAGGUACCUGAUCCUAUAAUUUAACAUUUAUGUUUAAAAUUUGAUAUAUCAGGUAGAGAGAAAAACUUUAAAAGAUGUCAAAGUGCCACAUAAACUAUUAAAUUUAAAAUUUAUGUUUAAAUUUGAAUAUCUCCUUUAGAGGUGGCCUAACACUCUAAAAAAGGCGCAUGUACAACUCUAAAUGCAAGACCGAAUGAUAUAUUUUUAGAGUGAUAAUAGUAAUUUCUAAACGUAUAACAAUUAUAGGCGUUGCAAUUGGUGAAAUGGAAUUAAUACUAGAUGGAGAAGAAAGAAAAGGGACAAGAUGCAACAGGAGAAUGGGGAGAAGAAUGGUGCAUCAGGUCUUCAGUGAUGAAGCAAGUACAAUUGAUGAAGUCGUUGACACAAUGAGCGAAUGCAAGUCUCAUAUCAACGGAAGAAUGCAUAAAAAGUGAAACUCACAAAACCUUGCUAUGGUAAACCCAAGGUGGGGAAAAACCUAUAGUCUACGGAUAAAGGUGAGAAGUUGCAUUAAGUCAAAACUAUACGUCUUUUGGAUACAAGUAAAAAAGCUCACAAGGGUAUGAUCAGCCCAUGAUGUGUGCCUCGUUAAAACCUAGUUAGGUAGCAAAAACCAGUGGAAAAAAUGCUUCUAAUCGUAGGGAAAAAGAGUACAUUAAGAUCAAAUGAGUAUACUUCUGGAUACUUCCCCUGAGUUUUACAUAACUUCCAAAUGAGAACUACAAACAUUGCAUACGAAUAGUUAGGCAUACCAAUUCCUUAGACAAGUUUCUGGAAGGUUGACUUUGGUAGUGACGUCGUGUAGAGGUCGGCAAGGUUGUCUGGGAUUGGCUUGCAUGACUUCAAUCUCCUGAUGCUUUGCUGUUUUGAUGUAGACGCAAUAUGUCUUGGCGUUGACUUUGUUGAUGUAUCAUGGCUUGGUCGGGUUGAUACAUGCGGUAUAAUCUUCAUGGAUCGUUGUUGGGACUUAAUGAUGGAUGAAAACAUAGCAAGUACUUCGAAUAUGCUCAACAAGAACUCCUAACCAUGUCUUACUUGUGGCUUAGAUAAGUGAGGUGAGUCUUGGAACGAUUCAAAGAUUUCACAACUAAGGUCAUAUCAUGGACCUCUAAGAUAUUGCGAUAUCCCUAAUGGUAAAGACAUAACCAUUUGGGGAUUUUGCCUUGUGCAGGUUUAAUAAGUGACAUGCGUUAGCAUAACAAACAACACAAGCAUCAUUUUAAGGAUCAGGGGGUUGGAUCCGCUGAGAUGCGUUGGGAUUUGUCCUCGUAGUACCGUCAGAGUACGUCUUUAAUACCAAUUCAGUGGUUGCGUGUAGGCCCGGUGCUGCAUCUUUACCAAGAUCAACACUGAAGGAAAUUUCCUGUCUAAUACAAUAAGCUAAGUACAACAAAGCGCAAAGUUGAACUUAUAUAUGGAGUUUUGGAUUCCAUAACCUCUUCAAGGGUCUCAUUUUCAUAUAACGUAUGGACGAUCAAAUGUAUACUCAAAGGUAACACAUUCGAAGUGUAGUUUGACUGGUAAACCAAGGUACCGUCGGAACAAUGCUUCAACUUCAGGUCAAGGCAUAAACAAGUUUUCCUAAGAUCUUUCAUCUCAAAUUCCAUCUUCAGGUGUGAGGCAGUUUUCUCCAGCUCUUCUAGAGUCUUAGUGAGAUUCGUGUCAACGACAUAAACUGUAACUCUAGUAAUUUGGAAUAAGACUUCAUAGUUUAACACGCAAGGGCAUAAUUCAUCCUUGAUUGAUCAAAUAAUCACUUAGACGGGUAUACCACAUCCGUCGGAUUAUAAGUGAACGCCUCAACAAUUUAAGAGGGACUUCCGUGGUUUUGGAACUAUUUGAACUAGUCCAUGUAAUUCUUCGGGAACUUACAUGUAACUCUUCGUAUCUAUAUCCCCAUGAAGAAAACAUUAAUCAAAUUUCAUAAUGCUGCUAUCAAUCACAUGACGUUUUGAGAAAAACCUUGCAUCGUAAGGCGUGCAUGAUAUCGCAAUAUUUCAUUCAUCUCAUAACACUUAUUUUCUCACUUGUAACACAAUAAGAUUACCUUGGGCAAUGUAGGAACGACAGGUCCAAACACACUUUGGUAAGGAAUUUGACCUGGAUUGUAAUUUCGAUUGUCCAAUCAAUUCUACGUUGUCACUUAGUCAAUUGAACACGGUUCAAUAUUGUCGCUUUUCAUUUAUGUCGGUAGCUACCAUAUAAAUGAAAACAUCAUCGAUGGUAAUCUCAUUUCAAUUCCAUUUAGCUCAUCCAAACUAGUAUACUAGAACAAGAACUUCAUGUCUCGGGAGUAAUCCAGAAUGGAAAUGAUUUGAGACAACGAUCGAGUUUAGAUUCAUUGUUGUGUCGUGUCUUCCUUUUUCUAGGGAAGUGAAUCCUACGAAUUAAGUGAUAUGUCGUGCUCCAAGCCAAGAUCGAUUGAUUGGAUAUCCACCGUUGUACCAGACCGUCUAACAGGGGCGGAACACCCUCUAGGGAUGUUGACUCGACGUUCGUUAAGUACGUCUAUCCUUGCAAGCAUGUUUGCAGCUGGUAUAUGAUCUCGUCACUUUAGCUAGAUUAGAGGAAUGCGUAUGGAGCAACAUUCUGAAAACUAGAAUUCAUCGUACUUGCUUAUCAUACUUGUGCGGUAUGGGGAUUGAGAUGAGACAUAGUGGGUAAUGUCCACGUAACUUUGCGUCAUUCUCCAGGAACAUUGAUGUUCUUAUCUCCCCCUAAUGGCAAGAAGACUGUCUUAUUAAAGUGACAACCCGCAAAAUGAGUGGUAAAGAGAUCGCGUGCAAAGGCUCGAAGAGAGCUAGUGUGAAGGAGAAUCAUGAUCGACAAAGAUUCACAUCCUUCUUUGAGGACUCAUAUUGGUACGUUGCGGUGGUGUAACUUGGCACAUGAAAUGCACACCCAAAUGCGUAAAUACAAAAAUCGUCAGGUUCGUACCUAGUAACCAACUAUAACAUCAUAUAGGUUGGGUGGCAAUGGGCCUCAAGGCGGACCAACAUAACUGAGCACAAGAUUGCAUAGCCCUAGGUAGAAACCGAAAACUUGGUACGUUUACUAUGAUUAAAGUAAUUGAUUAAUGUGACUUGAGAAUAACAUUGUGCUUCGUUGGUUCUUUGAUAUGUUACAUACUAUGAUUUGCGGUAUUAUGUGAAACAGAGUGAUUUAUAUGAUGGAUGAAUUGGAAAGUAUCUGUGUGAGAAUGGGUUACAUGUGUGUAUGAAAGAUGAUAAUUGUUGUUUGACGUAAGGUUGAUGUGUAAUAUGGUGCAUUAUGAUUUUCUGUUAUAAGUAUUUUACGGAAAGAUUAGAGUUGACGAUUGGUGAACUACGAAUGGCUUGAUCCCUUUUGAGAGUAUGUAGGCAGUCUAACGAGGAGGUUAGAUGCAUCCAUAAAGUAUAAGAAAAAUUAUCACGAAAUUCGAAUCUUGAGUUAUGCAUUGUCCAUAUCCCGAAGGCGGUAUGUGAGUGAUACGGGUAUUUGGUAACGUCACGUGUCGAUCCUGGACGUAUGUCGGGAUCGGGGUAUGACACCUACCUAAUCACGUGUUUAAUUGAAUUGGUCACAUGUAUUAAGAAACAUGAUUCAAUUAACUCAUAUUCGAGGACAAUAUCAAUAAGAUUAUCCAUAAGUAAAACAUACACCAAACUUGAAUCCAAGAACAUGGGAAAAUGUUCACAAAGUAAACCAAAGUUACGAGGGUGGAUUCGGCCAACAAGGCCAUUCAUGUCAAAAUUCUACUCUUCUAACGUUGUUUGGUGGAGCAAAAUUAGUCUCACAUGUUGACUACUAGAAUGGUACUUCUUAACAACAUUGGUAAGGGCACGAACAUGUGCAUAACCAUUGAUCUAUUCCAUCGAGAUGGAAGUAGAUUCUAUAGGGUUAAGGUUUGGGAAUACUAUCCCUUAUUCUUGAAGUUUUAGGUCUUAGGUGCCAAUGAUCAUGCUUUGGGCAUGAUGCCACACCUUGGCAUGCCCUGAUUCUACCAUAUGUUUGUGGUAGUAAUCAGAUUCGAGAAUUUGGUAAACUUCCGCUUUCUACACUUGUUGCUUCAGGGGCGAGUUAGAAACAUGGAAGGACGAGACAAGUAUUCUCUAGUCAAAAUUUGAUCGGAUUUAUAAACUUCGGAAUUGUACUCAUUCAUGGACGUAAUCAUGAUGUACUUCGGGCAAUAUUUUUCAUGAUUAGACGGUCCAUAAGAGCAAGCCAAAGAGCCACGGAAUCCUCGUUCAGGAGAUACUUUCAUUGGUAAUGCUUCGGGCAUAAGUCUUCGAAUGAAGAUCAUAGCGGAGGCUUAUUCAGCUCUUCCAUGCCAUUGUUGGCUUCAAUGGUUUCUUAGCUACCUUAAUACUCAAGUAGAGAUUCACGUCUUGUAUCCCACAUAAAGUGGUUUUUAAUAGAAAACGUCCAUAUCAGGAAAAUCAAACUUGUGACGGUUCGACAAUCCACUGAAUUGGAGGGAACAAGAUUAUGAUUGGUGUUAUGGGAAUGAAUCAUCCAUAAGCAUCAAAGUUAGAACAUUCGAGUUCUAAGACAUGAUUUUCAUGAAAAAUGUCGGGCUUUCAUGGGUGUAUUGUUUUAUGAAAACUUCAAGUUUCAAAGGCAUUAAAUUUGAAACUACAGGUUCAAUUUAGUUUAUGAAUGUUUAGUUCAAAAAAUAAAGGUUCCUGCAAGAACACAGAAUGCAAUAUGUUGAUUUAAGUGUAGUGAAUUUGAGUUGCUUCAAGAACAAGUGUGAGCGCUUCGGGACUACGAAAGUGAGUUAACGGUUCAAAGUAUAAAAAUAAAUUAUUGAAUCGUUAAUAUCCAAAAGUGGGCUUCAGGUCAAUAAUUUGGAUUAAUUAUCAAAUUAAUGGACUACAUGUCACUUUUAAUUAAUUCAAUAGAUUGAGACCAUUCGGGGUCGAUUAUAGAAGCAAAAAUAAUAAUAACAUUUGGGUUAAAAUUAUUUAGAAUGCUAAAAAUUAGCAUUGGAUUGAAAAAUAUAGCCCCAAAAAUAAUUUGGGCUCGGGUUGGCUACAAUAUGCAGCCCAUGGAUGGUUUCAGGCCACGGGCCGAGAGCAUGGAGCCCAGCAGCAGCAGUUGCUGGCUCUUUGGGCUAAAUGAGGGGCAUGGAUCAGGCCCAACGAAAUGCUGGUCUGCGGGUUGGCUGCAUGAGAGCAGGCCACGGGCUGAGGGGGACAAAGGGCCCAACAACAAACUGCUCGGUUAAAUGGGCUGAGAGAGAGGCACGGGUGUAGGCCCAACAAAAAUGUUGGCCUGGGUUGGUUCCGAGAAGCCCAGCCGAAGUUGAGUUUCUAUGUUUUGGGUCUGAGGCAACCUAAGCCUAGCAGCCCAAGCUGCUGGCAAGCAGGUCAAGACUAGGGCGAAGCCCAGUGAGUUCACAAGCCAAGGGACAUGGGACAAUGGGCCAAAAUCUGUUGGUUUUGGGCUUAGGGACUGCAAGCCCUUUAAACAGAGGUAGGCUGAAAGGCCUAGUGGUCUAGGUUAGCGCAGCAAAGCCCUAAGGCUGCUGCCGUGAAGGGUCCAAGGUGUCCGCAGUGGUGGUGCCGCAAGUGCCUAUAUAUUUUUUUGACAUAAUUAGGGUUUGAAAACCCUAAAUUUCUUCUAAUUUAUUUUAUAUAAUUUGACUCACAAAUUCCACAUAGAAAAUAUAAUUGCAUAUUGCAUGAACAAAUAUAUAUAUUGACAAAAUAUAUGAAACAUAUACAAUAUAUAUAUCGAAAGGUAAAUAUAAAUGUAGAGGGUUCAUGCAUAAUGGGGAAUGUUUUCAUGCUUCAAGGUCGUUUCAAAUAUCUUACUUUAUUUUAAGCGUACCUGAUUGGCAAAAAACUACAAAAACCUUUGAAUUUGUAGAAGAUCCUUCUUAGAAAGCCGGAAUUGCAUCUUGAAUGCGUUGUAUCACGUUCAAUACAGGAAAAUUAAAUUGAAUCAAUAGCAUGUAGAUCAAUUCAAAAUAAUAAAUUAAUCACAAAAAGAAUGAUUAAAACGUAAUACUCCCCUAAUUGAAGAAUAAACUUUAUUUAGCGCAGCGUUAAAAGCGUGCUGAUAACGUGUUGUAAGCAUAAUUUACUGAACAAUUAUGGAGGCCAUAGAGAGGGAAUGUGCGGCAUAGAGAGAGAAGAGAGAGAUGUGAAAUUGUGAGGUGUGUUUUAUUCCACCCCAUUGUGCCUUUAGUUAUAGUAGUAGGAUAGGUAAAAUCAUUUCCCUUUAGGAUUACAAUAUUUAAUAGGUAAUCAACUCCUAAUAGGACUAUAAAAUACAUUCUCAUAUCUACUAGGAUUUACACAAUCACAUUCAUAAUUUAAUAAGACUGCAACAUUAGUGUUAUUCUUAAAAUUGCCAACAAUUGUAAGAAUUUGUGUUAUAUCGUAUCUUCGACCAAAAAAUUUACAUAUUAUAGAUUCUAGUAUAAAAGGGAAUAUUUUUGUUCACCACCCUAUUUAUUACCGUUCGAUGAAUUUAAGUUUCGAGCUUUAUAUAGUGGACAUACACACAAAUCUAGGGAUGUCAAUUCUAACCGUUAAACCCGAUAACCGUGGAUAACCGUCCGAAUUGAUUGGAUUUGGAUAUGAAAAUUCGGGUAUGGUAUGGAUAUGGGGAAAAACCGUGAACUUUAUUCGGUUAUGAUUUUGGAUAUGGUUAUAGGGGUCCUCAAUCCGUAUCCAAUCCGAAAAUAUUUUCCGUCCGAAUUUUAUUCAAUUCCGACCUCUUCCUAAAUAUAUUUUAUAUAAUAUAAUAUAUUAAUUUUAUUUUGUUGGCAUACCGAACUCAACCUCAUCAAUUCAAUUCAUUAUAUGCAUACAAAACUCCUAUAUUAAUUCAUUUAAUCAUUUUGCACCAUGCAUGGGGCAUACCAACAACCUCAUCAAUUCAAUACUCUUAUUAUUAUACUCAACCAAAUUAAUUCAUUGAAUCAUUUUAUAUAUCAAUUAUCAAAUGUUACAAGUUUAUCAGAUUCAUCUCUAUUCAAGAGUCUCACUAUCAAGAAAUUGGUGCAUGUUAUCAUGAACAACUUCAAAUAUAUUGUUAUGUUUUUUGUAAUUGGAUGUUGCUAUUUAAUAACGGAAUUAGUAUCUACUAAAAUUUAUAAUGCGUCAAUUGGAUGAAUAUAAUUUUUUUUGUUUUUUGACGAAGAUGGAUAUAAUCGAUAACUGAUUGAAAAUCCGUUACCCGAUGGAUAUGAUUAUGGAUAAUCCCCGAUGGUUAAUUUGCGGUUAUGGAUAUGAUUAAUUUUCGUGGUUAUGAGGAUGGAUAUAGCAUUUCUGUCCCCAAACCGAACCGUUGCCAUCCCUAUGACAAAUCUUAAAAUUUAGACUCAUAGAAUAAUAAUAAGUUGGAUACGUAGUUAGCAUUACCAACACUUGAAGAUAAUGAACAAAAAUACACCUGUAGUAUUAAUGUUAGCAUACGGUAUUUAUUACAAUAAUUUAAUACACCACAAAAAAAAAAAAAAAAAACCCACCGAAAUGAUAAUGAUGUAUUGAAGUUAAUGGUUGUGUGCAUCCUACUAAUUGAGUGCAAGUAAUAAAAUAUGCAUCUUUAUCCAUUAUCUUAGGUGUAGCAGCUUCCUCGUGGAAACGGAAAUGAGCGAAGAAAGAUAGCUAAAAAGAUGGGAGAACAAGUGGUGCAUUUCAAGUCCCACGCAAAUUAUAAGAAUUAACCUGUUGUGGUCAUCAUCUUGAAAUGGACAAUUUUUUUAGGUGGGAAGCUAAUCAUGACCAAGAACACUAAUAAUAUAAAGUUUUCAAGGAAGUGGGUGGUUUGUAGGAGAGCAAUUUCAACGGUACGAGUACACAACUAUCACGGAGUAGUUUAGUAGUUGUAGAUGAAUUUUAGGCUCGUGUUUCACACGGUACAUUUUGAAUUCGACUCCUAGUACUGGUGAGUGGGGGCCAAAUGAAGACUAAGAUGCCUCUAUGAGACCUCUAACCCUUGAAAGAAUGAAUUGUCGUGACAAAGUUACCAAUUGGUCUCUCUUUGAAAAAAAUAGUAUGAACAUACUAUUAUUUUGGCGUCAUUUGCUAUAAUGAUACAACGUUACUUGGAUCUAUAAUAGUAUACUUUUUGUCUUGUAAGAGAAUGUAUACUAGACUGAGUGGUCGAGGAUGAAAAAAGGAAUCUUGCUGAAGGCGGAUUUUCCUUAGAAGUAUACUUUUUGUCUUGUAAGUCAUUCUCAGUUUGUAGAGUCAAGUUUUUAAUGAGUGACUAUUAAGUCCGAGAAUCUUGCUGAAGGCGGAUUUUCCUUAGAAGUCGGCCCUUCACACACACUUUUUGUUUGUCGGGUUGGAUUAUUUCAUUUACAUAAUUAACUGCAUGUGUUCUUAAAUGACCCCAAUCACUCCCAAAACACCACUCACAUGGCAUAACAUGAUUGGUGACUAACUUUUGUCUUAUAAAAAUGAGUGAGCUCUCAUAACCUUUCCUGGGAAUUUCAUCGAAAUUACCCAAACAUUGAAAACAAUCAUUCUUUCUUUGGAUCCAAAACCCAGAAGCCCUUUCAUUCUUUCUUUCUCUCUAAAAAGACACCAAAAAUAUGCUAAUACAAUGAAUACAAUCAAAAUGCAAAUAAUUAGGCCUUGUUUGGCAAUUUUCUCUCUUCUCAUUCUUUCUGGCUUCGCAACUCAAAUCCAUGGAAGCAAGCAAUCGCAAGCACUUUCACAGCUCCACAGAUCCAAAUUGAAGAACGUCGCCCACAUCGACAAGAGCCCCUUCGUGGCAAUUCUUCACGCAAACGCAACCAAAACUCAUCCUCAGGAAGGGUUGAAGGUGAAGGAUAGGAUCGUUAAAUUGCCUGGACAACCCAACGUGAAGUUCUCUCAGUAUGGUGGGUACGUUACGGUGGAUAAAAAAGCCGGCCGUGCAAUGUUUUACUAUUUAGUUGAAGCUGAGCAAGCUAAGGAUUCUUCACCUCUUCUUCUGUGGCUCAAUGGAGGUAAAUUACUAUCCUACGUACCUGCAAAUUGUAAUAUCAAUGCCACCAGCUCAACUGAUGAUGUUAUAAUUUGUCAUUUGCUGCGAAAGUUAUGGGUGGUUAAUUGUGAUCUCUUUGUCUAAGUAUACAUUAUUUUCCUUUAUUUUAAUUAUUGGUGAUUGAUAGAAGUCGAAAUAUAUGAAGUAUUCCACUAAAAUCCCAACUAAAUAGCUGGCUUAAGCUUAGCCAAAAUAGCUAGAGCAAUAUGCUCAUUUUUCUGCAGUCAAAUUCUAAUUUCUAAUCUCCUUUCUUAAAAUUUUGAUAAAUUAAUGUAAAAUAUCACUUGUUUAAAAACAAAAUUCCAAAAAAUGCUUCUUGUAUGGUACUAGCUACUCCAAUAUAUCUUUUUUUUCUGUAUUUCCCCACUCUCUUUGUAGUGUUCCCACACCUUUGCAUGAUGGUUCCUAGUUUUUCUUCGGCCUGAUAUGAUUAUAAAAAGAAUAAUGUUUUAUAGCUAAUUAUGUCCCUCAAUUAUUGAUGCCCUAAACAAUAAUUUUCAUUACCCAAAAGGUUAAUUGUAAUCAAUUGCUUGUCUUGUAAAUUUACAUCAUUAAUUUUUUUCAAUGAUUUAGGCCUAACAACCACAUAUUGUAUUGCGAUAGUCGCACCAAACACACGCAUGACUCUUUGUUAAUCUUGACGUAUGUGAAACUUAAUGCAAAUUCCCCAGAAGGCUAAUCCUGGCACCUCUCCUUAAUUUUCGGAAGGGGUGGUCCCUUGUGGAGGAUAUCUCGGCGCUCAUGCUGAAUCUAAUACGUCUCUCUAUUGGAAAAUAUACAUAAUAUAUAUAUGGACGUUGAAAAAGUUUGUGAUUUGUAUGUUGAUAACAUGCAGCUCAAUUAUACAUCAGAUAAAUACAUAUAGGUUAGUUGUCCACAUGCCACAUGAUCAUUUUUAUUUACACAAUUGGGUUACCAUCUUCUCCUUUCUACCAAUGAUUUGGCAUAAGACUGUUGCCAUACACCUAGUGUACUGGUAUUUAAACGGUUAGAUUGCAAUUGUAACAAUUCAAUCAUACAAAUUUAGUCAUCCAAUGCACCGAUGCAUCUCAUACACCAGUAUAUAUAGAAUUAUCUUAGAACAUCAUUCUAGUUUAGUCUUACUAACUUCCACUUGCAUCCUGUGUCAAUUGGAUCCAGUGACAUAAAUUACUAACUACUACUUUGAUGACAUUUUAAUAAUUUAUUACCUAUUAAUUGGUACAUAUUAACUGACAAUAAUAUAAGGUUGCCAUUGCUUAAUAUUUUCACAGGACCUGGUUGUUCUUCUCUUGCCUAUGGAGCAAUGCUCGAGCUUGGACCAUUCCGAAUCCACAGCGAUGGAAAAACACUUUACAGAAACAGAUUUUCAUGGAAUCAUGGUAUAUAUUUAAAACACAAUUACCAGACCUUAAUUUAUAAAUCUUCAAAGUUUAAUCUCUUUUUUUUCUUCAGCUGCUAAUGUGUUGUUCCUUGAGUCUCCUGCUGGGGUGGGAUUUUCAUACUCAAAUAGAACAUCAGAUUACGAUGCAAGCGGGGAUAGAAACACAGCUGCAGAUAAUUAUGUAUUUUUGGUGAAUUGGUUGGAGAGGUUUCCUGAAUACAAGGGCAGGGAGUUUUAUAUCUCUGGGGAAAGUUAUGCAGGGCAUUAUGUACCUCAACUUGCACAUACCAUUCUCUACCAUAAUAAAAGGGCUAACAAGACCAUUAUCAACCUCAAGGGCAUAAUAGUAUGUUCCUCUCUCUCUCUCUCUCUCUCUCUCUCUCAAAUUGGGAAGUCCCAACUCUAUGGCAAACAAUUUUUUGUUUUAUAUAUAAGCGAUAUUGGAGGGGGGGGUUUCGAUACGGAACUAUGAUUGUAAGGGAAAAUGCUCUUAAUCAACUGAGCGAGUCCCUUAAUUGGGAAGCACAAAUCUAUAGCAAAUAAUUAGAAUUUAGACUUCAUGUGGUUCUAUGUUCUUGGAUUCUUGGUAGUUGGUGAAAGUUGUAAAAAGGUCAUAGGAAAAAUGCCUGCAUUGGAGGUGAUUGGUCGCUCCUGGCAAGGGUUGACCAACUCCCACAUUUGGUGGUGCAAAAUGGUAGGCUAUUUGUCAUCAUAUAAUCCCUUUUGCUCUUGGUUUUCCAUAAUUCUUGGUCUGGUCAUCAUGUUUGUUUUUUAUGACUGGUGUUACCUUGCCUAAUUUUAGUGGGUGGGUGGGAAAUCUGCUUAUUAUAUGCUUGACUAUCACUUAAUGAAUUGGGUAAAAAAAAGGAAAAAAACUGAGAAUUUAUUGUAUGAGAAAGUAUUUCUGCACUUCUUUUUCAUUAAGAUCAUCUCCAAACUUGGGCUAAAAGCCAAAUUACCCCCUCAAACACUCUCCAACUCAUGUUAAAAUUUUAGGCUAAAUGUCAAAUGUUAUUUCUGGGCCAAAUACCCCACAGCUUUCCCCGGGGCUAAAUACCAAAUAUUUAUCGGAAUUUAAAUUUUUUUAGAUUAAAAUGUUCAUAAAAUUAAUUUACAAUAAUCAACAUAUUUAUUUAAAAAAUUGAUUUAAGAAAAAAAUUAGCCUAAGUUAAUAAUUUCGGGCUAAAAUUUUAGGACAGAAGGGUUGGAGCAGAAAAGAUGUUUCUGGGCUAAAAGCUAAAUUUUUCGGGCUAAAAAAUUUGGCUUUUAGCCCAAGGGUUGGAGAUGGUCUUAUUUUUUAUAUUUUGCAUUGGGACAAAAAAUAAAUAGAUGCGUGCAACAUGAAAAGGGGUUGCCAAAAUCAUUUUCCUUUUUUAUAAUCCGGAGCACUAUGCUGGCCACUCGCUCUAAUGGAUGCGAGAUUCAUUGGCACAUAUUUAUUUACUUAUUAGUACCAUAUCCUAGGUCCAUCAAAUAUAUAUUUACCAUGUCGAAUGUUUGUAUUACAAUUAUCUAGUACGACGGUGUGAUGGUUAACAUCCAAAUUUGUUGUCGCUAUGACAUGUUCAAAGCACUGGUGACAAUGAAGCAUAUAAAGUUCGCUAAAAUUUUGGCAACAUUGCAAAUACCCUAUCUCACUUCUUUACUCAAAGCUUUCUUUAAUUGUUACAUGAUGCAGAUUGGGAAUGCAGUGAUCAAUGAUGAAACUGAUACAAAAGGAAUGUACGACUACCUUGCGAGCCAUGCUAUCAUUUCAGAUAAAACUGCAAAUGAUAUUAAUAAGUACUGUAAUUUUGCACCUACUGUCACUACCGAUCAGCAUAAGGAGUGCAGUGAUGCCACUGAUGCUGCUGCUAAAGAUACCUAUUACGUUGACAUUUAUAACAUCUAUGCCCCUUCAUGUUUGUCUACCAACCUCACUGCAAAACCCAAAAAGACUUCAGUAAGUUAAAACAAGACCCUAAAAUUUUACCGCAUAUAGAUAUAUGCAACUCUGCUAAUUGCAAAACAUAAUCUUGCGUUAAUAUAUUCAUCGUGCAGAUAUUCAAAUUUGAUCCGUGUAGUGAGGACUAUGCGUAUGCAUAUUUGAAUCGGCCUGACGUUCAACAAGCUCUCCAUGCCAAUGUCACCAAACUCUCUCACGAUUGGGAACCAUGUAGUGAUGUUAUCACAUGGGGCGAUAGCGCAUCAACCGUACUACCUCUUUUACAUGAGUUCCUGGAGAAUGGACUUCGAGUGUGGAUUUUCAGGUGAAGUUUCAGACUUUUUCUUGUUCGUAUGUUAUAUAUUCUUAUAAAUGCUAUGCAAUUUCAAUACUUGAGGAAAAGGACAUGCAGUUUUAGUGUUAGGAGUAGAAACGAUCUUAUUUUUAUGAAAAUAUUGAAUGCAGUGGCGACAUUGAUGGGAGGGUACCAGUCACUUCAACAAAGUAUUCUCUUGACAAGAUGAAUCUUCCAGUAAAGACUGAGUGGCACGCCUGGUUCCUUAGUGGAGAGGUAUUAUUAGGAAUUGGAUCCACUCCUAACCUUAGUGUUCGGAGUUUAAGGAUCAACAUAUCUAGACCGCAUAAAUUGAAUCUGACAGUCUUCAUUAACUCAUUUUGUUGGCCCACCACACAUAAACCAACAUCUCUUAUUUCUUUUACACACCAAUCAACGGCCCAGAUGUGUUAAUCCUUAAGCUCCAGACACUGAGGUCCGAAGCGGAUCCAACUCCGUAGUAUUAUACGACAUUAUUUAUUUAUUUUUUCUUUCUACUGUUCUUUGUUUCAGUAAUUGAAUUUUCAGAAGACCUUCAAAAGUCUUCAUAAGUUCUAUAUGUGUCGUUGAACAGGUUGCUGGGUACACACAAGUGUUCGAGGGAGGCCUAACAUUUGCUACAGUGAGACACGCAGGGCAUCAAGUUCCAAGCUAUCAGCCUGCAAGAGGACUUUCACUCAUCAAGCACUUCCUUGAUGGCACACCUCUUCCCGAUACUAAAAGAUAUAACUAGCUAGCUAAUUUCUCCAAAUCUUUCUACCUAUUCGACUGGCAUUACCUUGUUAAUAAUUUUUUUUGGUCCACACAAGGUUAAUUAAUUGAUUUGUCAAACUUCAAGUUGUAAUUUAUUGUUAUUGAAAUUAAUAAAAGUUCACUGCAAUUUUUCAUGUCCUCUCGCUAGACUAAUAUCUCAUGUAGAAAUAUGACUUCUUAGAUUAACAUUUACUUGAUAUACAAGGAACAGUAACUAAGGAGAAGAAUCCAGAAGUAAGGCCGCUAUUCUAACACCUCAGGAUUACAUACCUUGAUUUAUUUGUAGGAUUAUAUGACGUUAUGUAAGAUCAUAUUCCUUUUGAUUCUAAACUUUAGAUCGCAAAGUUUAGAACCAAAAGGAAUAUGAUCUUACAAACAAAAUGAUUACAAAAUUUAUUUUGUACACUCACUUUAGAAGCUCACAACAAUUUUGGGGUACAAAUUUUUUGAUGAUGUUAUCUCUUCUCGCAGUGCAGGUAUGUAUAACAAGUUGCAUGAGUGGAGUGCAACCUAAUACCAUCGGUUAGGAAUUCUACGAUAAGAGAAACUAUAUGAAAAAGAUGAACUAUAAAAUCAAUCAUAUAAUUGUAUUUAUAGCACAACGGAAGGUAUUUAACAAGGCGAAUGAUUACCUUUGAAUAUAGAAAUUUGAGAGAGAAAUUCUUGAUUUUCGAUUAAAUAAUAUGAUAAGAUGAAAGCUACGAAUUUCAUACUUUCACUUGAAUGUUAUAAACAUUAGAUAAUCUGAAUUCACGAAUCCACGAUAAAAGUAAUAAUCCAAACUAAUCUAACUCAUUCAUUGUUACACAGCGGGGAAUAACUUUUCGAAAAGUACAAUUAAAUAAGUUAGUUAAUUAUAUAGAAAACAUAAAAAACCUAAUUUGUAGGAAACUCUAGAGGUUCCACUUCCAGACCAUUCUUAACUAUUUGUCCAGACUAUUCUUUUAACUAUUUGUCCACCAAGAAAACAAUCAUAGGCCCAAACCAAAACCCAAAAUUAAAAAAUUAAAAAUUAAAAAUUAAAAUACCAAACUUUCUUAAAAGCUCUUAAAACCCGGAUUUUGUUUAUUCUCCUGAAUACUGAAUGGGAUCAUUGCAUCCCCACUACCAUCACCGUCCGCACUACCACCAUCUCCGUCAUCAUGGUCACGACGACCACUACUAUCUGCCAUCAUACCUCGCCACCGCCACCUCCACCAUUUCCAACUCGAUCACUUCCGCUACCUCCUAAUCACCAUCACAUCACCACUCUUAACCAACAUUGUUACCACAACACCCUCCGCUACUAUUGUUGCGGUUACUAAAUAAUCAUAGGUCACCAUUGUUGUUGCCGCCACCACCACCAUUCCUCGCUAUCAUCACCAUCUAUACCGCCACCACUCCAACCACCAUUGCCCCCUCAGACCUGGCAAUUGCACCACACACAUCCAACAACCAUCGCUAUUGCUACUUAGUACUAUGGUUUAACACUAUUCCCUAUACACUUCCAAGUAAGUGGUUUUACGCUCGAAUCUCGUAAAUGGCAAGUUCGAUUCCAAUUUAUUUUGCACUUUGUGCUACAAAUAAAUCGUUGUAUAAAAAAAAUAUUGUCACCAUCUCAAUUAGAAGUUUGAGGAAUUUUAAUGAAUUAACAAAUUCAUAAUUUUUAUAGUGUUUAAUUGAUUUCUCAAGAUUCAUGUAAAAAUCCCUAAAUUUAAGAAGAAGAAAAAAAUCCCUUAAAAUGUUUCUAAAUACAUGGACGUUGUAUUCAUGAAGUUUAUGGAGUUCUAUAGACUCCAUGUGAACUUUAGCUGAAUUCAACAGAAAUCUUAAGAAAAAAAGCACGAUUUUCUAAAGUCUAAAAAACACGGAUAAUUCCUUCCAAAUCCAUUUAAAUUCUUCAUUUUUCAAAAUACUUUAAAAUAAAAUCUUAAUUGAAUAUACAUGAAAUUUUAUAAAUUAUUUUAAAUUCAAAAUAAAUACAUUCACAUUUCUAUACAAUUUUACAAACUUUUUCAAAAUUUAAUUGAAUAUUCGGGAACUUUCAUAAUUUAUUUAAAUCUUAAUUGAAUAGUCAUGAUUUAUUGAACUCUUUUAAACUCCUAAUCGAAGAAACCUUGUGUAUAACGUUGCUAAACUCAAUUUACCGACAGAUUACGAGCAAAGAUGGAUAUCUCUCUCACCGGCGACAAGAAGAGGCGGAGCAGCAGCUCAAGAGCAAGAUCUCCGACCACAAUACUCUCUCUCCAACACGAAAUCCUUUGCACCAUCUUCUCUUUCCUCGACUUCUUCGACCUCGCAAGUUGUUCCGCCGUAUGCAAAACCUGGUACUCGAUUUCAACUACCCUUCCUUCGGAAUUUUGUAGGUAAAUUUGAACUGGGUUUUUGUUACUUUUAAUGCAGGAGCACGGUGAUCAACAAGUCUAAGUUGCUCCGAGUGUUUUGCCGCAAGCAAUGGCAGAUGGGUCUUGCGGGUUCUAGCAAUGGGUCUAGUGAUGGUCCUGAGAAACCUUGGGAGGUUAUUUUGGAGGAGAUGGCUGUGGAGCGUCAUAAACUGGCGUUACAAGAUGGUCGAAUUCGAGUCGAUCACUUGAGGGGUCACUCUGUUGGGUAUUGCCUUUAUCCUUCUUAAUGUUCAAUUCACUUUUCUUCGUACACUUUUCGGUGUGAUGCAACUUUUGUGAAUCAUAAUGUGAAGUUUUUGGAUUUCUCUGUGUCUUUUCAUUGUGCAAGAAGCAGCCUAUAUAAUGCAUUGAAAGUUUUGAUUGUGUCAAUUGAGGGCUGAAUCGCGGGAAUGAAACAUUCUAUAGAAUUAAUUGAUUUAAUCUAGAGUUUACGUAUAGAUGAAUUUGGAGCGGCCGUUGCUUGAGAAGGCAUUUAUUGAAGAAAUCGGUUAUCUCGUUAACCGAGAGGGGCAAAUGAAUAGUUGAAUACGAACGUCAAUGCUUGUUAAACCUCACGAGAUACUUCACGCCUCAUAUUUCAAUUUUAAUUACAUUUAAGAUUAUACUUUCUGACUGUAGAAUUAUAUAUAUGGUAUUAUUAAAUGCUGCAGCUGGGGUGCCAAACAAAUUCUGGUUUAGUUGGCUGUGUGUGUAUGUAGGCUCAUAGCUUGAUGAGGGAAGGGAUCUGUGUUAGUUCUUAUCUUAUGCCUAGGCAUACUGCUCUCUGCGGGGAUGAUAUCAUUUCCUAACCUUGCUUUGUCUUAGGGUUGGACAGUGUCGAAAGAAGAUGGGGUUGCUUCUCACUGGCGGCGGUGAUAAGGUAGUUUCCUUUGUAAACAACUUACAAAACUAGCAUCUUUAUGUAUAAUAAAAUAUAUUGAAGUUUUUUGACCGAAAGGUCACAGGUUCAAGUCGUGGAAACAACCUCUUUGUAAGGCAAGGGUAAGGCUUUGUACGAUAGACCUUCCCCCUGAUCCUCGCAAAGUGGGGAGCCUUGUUGGCUUGGGAUCGCUCCUUUUUUUAACUGUUAAUUAUCCAAAAGCACAAAUAUUCCCGAGUCCUGAAUCUCUUGAUGUACUUCCAAACUGGGGGGAGCUUGAAUAUUAUCCUUGAAUAUGUUCCUAGAUCACGAUUCCUCCCUAUAUUUUGCCCAUUGUGAUAUUUCAACUCUAUACUAUAAUGUGACAACUUCUUGAGGCAAGAAGUUAGUAUCGUACAUGUUAUUAUUAGGUUUUGGAUAUGCUUCAGACGUAUGGACGUGUUCUAAAUGUAAUUUAAAUGUAUUUGUAUCUGGCCUCCAAAUGUGUCAUUUGUACAAGCACCGCCCACUUGGCUUGCAAAUAUGCUUGGAGGAUCGUAUUAACAAAUGUCAAAUUCAAACUAAAUGAUAUUGGCUGUGGAAUAAGUUUUUUAUUUGACUGAAAUUGUAUUUUUGAAUAAAUGGUCCAUCUUUUCAGUUCUCAUCAGCUCAACUUGCAUGCAUUUUGCCUAUUCCCACUUUAUACCAUCCUUCACGUUUUUCCACCUAAGCCAAGGCAUCAAGCGCUUUGUUAGACUUUGCACUUGGCCCUAUCGUAUCUUUUAACUAAGUAUACCACUCUUCGUGUCCACGAACCUUGGAAUUUCUUUGUUCAACAGACCUUGUUCCGCAGGGCCGACCCUUUCUUCUCUUGAUAGCUUGUAGUAAUAAACUCAUGAACUUGUUCAAUUGUUGUUAAUUAUGUGGUCAUGAGGUUUUCUCUUCAGUAUAGUUCUUCUGACUUUUGACAUGGCAAUGAUGCUAGGUUAUGCGUCUUUGGUCAUUGGAAAGCUAUAAAUGUGUGGGAGAAUAUCCCACUCCAGACAAGGUCCAUUUGGUUGACUUUGAUUUUGAUGAAAGCAAGGUAAUUCAAACUUAUUACUUUUUCAUGCAAACGAGACUCAACUUAAAUGCUAUCAUGUUACAGACCACAUAUUGAUCUGAAGCUUAAUCUGGAUAUAUCAUUGACUUACCGUUCAGAUUGUGAAGCAAGACUGUGACUUCUGUUGUUUUCUGGACAUCUUGAUAAAGGAUUGCAAUGCCAUGCAUUACUUUUUCAUUCAAACAAGACUCAACUUAUAUGCUAUCAUGUUACAGACCACAUAUCGAUCUGAAGCUUAAUCUGGAUAUAUCAUUGACUUACCGUUCAGAUUGUGAAGCAAGACUGUGACUUCUGUUGUUUUCUGGACAUCUUGAUAGUGGAUUGCAAUGCCAUGCACGCACCUUAGUUUAACAGAUCGACCUAGGAGUGAAAUUGUAGCAUUAACAUCAAUUUAUAUGACAGAAAAUACAAGGGCUUUUGAAAUAUGCUAUUGAGCUUAUUGCAUUCUUCAACCUUACUUGGAAAUGUAAAUAGCAUGUAUGCUGUUCAAUUCCUUUCAUCCAGUUUAGAGACUGGUAUGGAUGAUUCAUUGUGAUAAUAUUGUUGGAUCUUUAACCUCGAGUGUGAAUAGCUACCUUAUUUAAUAGUCCUUAGUCAAAGCAUGCUGCUUUCUAUAAUUAACGGAAUUUCAGACAUGACUGACUUAGUUUUCUGUAGAUUGUAGGUUUGGUUGGCACUCGUAUAUGCAUAUGGAGGAGGAAUGCGAUGAGAAGUAUAUUUCCCUCAUGUGAGGGCACCUUUCCGAAGGGUUUAUGCAUGCGGUAUGCAGAGAAAAUACUCUCAUUAUUUUUACUUUUAUUUUGUAAGUGCUAGAAUGCAUUACUUCAUGAGCAGCAAUAUGCAUGGUAAAGACCAAUAACAUAAAAUUGGAGAUUUAUUAUUUGAUUUCUUUCACCAAUUGGUUGGGCAGGGGAUUAUCUGAAUAUUUUACAUUUUGAGCUUCUAUCAAUGGUUGUUCUGAAAGUUUCUUGUUUUGAUUGAUUGUAUCUUAUUUAUUUGUUUACUAAUAUUGCCGUUACUAUUGCUUUUGGACUUUAAAAAAUUCCUUUGUUGCUGAAGGCCUUUCAAUUUUUUUUACGGUUGUUUUUACUUGAUCAUUUCUGUUUUGGAAUAGAAUGCUAGAUAUGUAUGGAGGUUUACUUUUGAUGGUUUUCACAUUCUGUUCUGAUUGUAGUUACUGCGAUCCUGAGGCUGUGGUUGGAUGCGAGGAUGGGACAGCUCGUGUAUUUGACAUGUAUAGUAAACAAUGUUCUCAAAUCAUUAGGUAUGUACUACAAAGAAUGUAGCUUCUAGAUUGGUGUUUGUAUUUGUUUUCAUUUUCCUUCUAAAUAAUACAGUGAAUUUAUACAGCUUAACAAGAUACCUUUUGACUUGUAGACAUGCAUUUAAAUUUCUAGAGACAAAAAAGUUCCUGUCUGUAAAACGAAAACAGGAAGUAUAAGUUAGAAUUUAGAAUAAUUUCUCUUCUGGCAUAGAAUGUUCAGUAUUUGCUGUAAUAUGAAUAUAUAUGCUACUCAAUGGUUUAUGGAUUUUCUUUUGAUUCCUGAUUGCAGAACGCAUGCGGGGCCAGUAACAUGCUUAUGUUUGAGUGAUGAUCAGUUGAUACUUAGUGGUUCAUCUCUUGGUGGUAUCACAAUAUCUGGACUUUCAUCUGGCGAGCAGGUUGCGAAAUUAAGUUCAAAUGAUUCCUCAGGUUACACUUUAUGCGUGCUCUACCAUUGUUAUGAGGGACACCUACAUUCCAGUUAUAACUUCUGAUACAUAAAACUAAAAUAAAUUUGAAAGCUCAUCAGGACACUAAUUACAUUCUUUUUUUCAUCCUCCACCACUCAGUCUAGUAUAUCUGAUUCACUGUGUGCUGGACAACUCAUUCCGUCGUACAUGUCGACAGAGAUACACUAUACUUUGUUCAUAUAAUUUUGAGUACUUCAUCAAACUGCCAAUGGGAUCAUGUAGAAGUCAUAAUUGCACUGUCUCAUAUUUGUUUCGUGUCUUAUAACUGCUGGGUGUACUCUUACUACUUAUGCCCUUUUGUCCUUGUUGAAUGAAAUAUAUUCAUGUGAAAGCGAAAUCAUAAGGAUUUUGAUUGCAGUUGUUUAGAAGUGUUGGCACUUAACAGUACAUCAAUAUUCUAAAUAACAUAUUUAUGGGUUUUGAGCAAUCCUCGAUCUUGGAGUGAUAAGGACAUUAUGUUCAUGACAGAGAUCAUAAAUCUAGUAUCAAUUUUUCAAUGCAGGCAUAAAGACUUUGUGUUUCAACCCAGGCUCUCACUUAGUAUUUGCUGGAUCGGCUGCUGGAUAUGCAUUAUGUUGGGACGUUAGGUAUGAAAUAUGACUUAAAAUGCUUUUUAAGAAUUUUAAUUUGCCUGGAUGUGCACUUUAGCUUGAUCAUAGUCUAUGUUAUAACCGUUUCCAUUUUGCACCUCGUUACAAUUCGAAUACAAGGUUUGGAUUACUUCAAAUAUUCUGUAGAUGAUAUCAUUGGUAGAUAGAAAGCUUGUAUGCAACUAGUCAGUUACUUAUCCUUUCUACAGAAUGAGAGUUGCUUCAAGAUGAAAACUUCAAUAAAAGCGACUAUGAAAAAGUGUGUAGACCCCCAAUUUUUUGCCCUCCAUCGUUCACCUAAUGGAAGUGUCCAUGGUUAUGAGACACCAGGCCACCUCUCUAAUAGACAAGGGAUUUUAAUCGAAGAUAGUGUCUGACAGCCCUUAGUGUGUUUUGAAGUGUCAAUUUAACGACAUAUUCUGAGGUGAUUUCUGAUAAAAUGCCUAUUUAACUGUACAUUAAUUAUCAUUAAAAGAAAACCCACAACUUUUAACCAAAAGAAAAAAUCUUAAAACGCAACGAAUUAAGGCAAAAAACUUGAGAAGCUAACCAACCAUGGAUAGGGCAACUGACAAUGAUAUCAACAAAGCGACAUCCAAACACAUGUGAACGAACAUCACAUAUACUUGUUCCAAUUCUAGAAAAUAUGUUUCUUAGAAAUAUAAUCUCGAUUCUUUUGGGGCUGAAUCUUCACUGUUUCGCUGAAACCAAGGGCUGAACACUAGUGUUGCUGAAAUAUUAAGCCUUAAGGUUUAGAGUGGUUUAUCAAUUUUCAUUUCGGCGUCUAUUCUUUAUACUUUUGUGUGACGUGUAUUUCUCUGGACAGAUGCUAAAUAUAUGGUUGUUUUAUCACCAACGGAUUUCAGCAUAAAAAUCUGUAGUUUUUAUAUGGUGGUUUUAUUAUCGUAAAAUUUGUAUGCAAAACUUACCCUUUACGUCCUAGUUUUCUCUGUCUCCGCCCUUUAUUUUACUGUCUCGAUUGUUACAGAUGACGUAAUACAGUUGUGUGUUAAUGUUCUUCUGUUAUAUUGUAUGAUUCAGGACAAUGAAAUGCUUAUGGGAGACACGAGUGAGUCCAAAUAGGGUAUACACGUUGCAGCACAUGAGAAAUGAUGCAUCGACGUUGGCGGUUGGUGGAAUAGACGGUGUGCUGCGUCUUCUGAACCAGUGCACAGGUGAAGUAAUUUCAAGAUGCGUCUUGGAUGGAUAUUUAUCGUCAAGUUCUCAAAGCACGAUUGGGGCUACCCAAAGAAUGAGAGGAACAAGGCUUUCGGAAGAUACCCCCGUUGAGAGCAUUCUUAGUACCAGACGGCCUCCCAUUACGUGUUUGAUUGUCGGGAUGAGGAAGGUUAUCACCACGCAUUACGAUAAGUACAUCAGAAUCUGGAAAUUCGAGUAAGACGACCACUCUUUGUUUGCAAUGACAUGUAUGUGAUAUUCAUGAUAAUGUAUAUGUAUAAAGUUUAUUUAUGGUUCGUGUACAAACUGCAACAAAUUCUUGAUCUUGAAGUAGAAACCGGUUUUCCGUCGAGUCCUCCGAGAAAAAUAGUAGUUUGAUUUUACUGAUGGUUCCAUAAUUGAACCGAUUGACAAGAAAUUUAGAAUCGAAACCGGAAAUUGCAGAUGAUGUCUUGAAAAUGAAUGUCGGAUGGAAGAAUUUGAUCUUGGAGGGUCGGUACUCAUAUUUCCAGUUUGAUUAUUUCGCCAGCUUCCCUAAUUAUGGCCAAUUUCCCACGUGGAGUAUUAUAACUGGUCAAUUCCCGCAUUACAUCUAAUUAUCGGUCCAUAAAACUCUCGUCGGUUACAAAAUAUUAUUUGUUGUUAUUUUCUCUUUCUUUAAACAAGUCAGUUUUAAUGAAAAGGUAGAUCAAUUACGGAGAAAGAUAAUGGUACAUGGAGAUAAAAGAAUGAGGAAAAUAAAAAUUCAGGAGAAAAAUCGACGAAAUAUAUAUAUUUUUUGUUUUUAAUUUAUUCGAAAGGUAUGGACUUUAAGCCCAUGUUUAAAUUCAUCAAGUCCAUGACUCAGCCCAAGCCCAAUCCCAUUAAAAAUCCCACAACACCCUAUAUUUCUUUUGACGUCACUCUUUUUUCUUCUUACCCAGAAUCAAAAUUCCCACGCCAAAACCCUAACCCUAGAAACUCCAGAAGCUCCAAAAAUGGUGUGCAUACGCAAGGCCACAAUCGACGACCUCUUGGCGAUGCAAGCCUGCAACCUUUUCUGCCUCCCUGAGAAUUACCAGAUGAAGUACUACCUCUAUCACAUCCUCUCAUGGCCGCAGCUCCUCUACGUCGCCGAGGACUACAACGGCCGCAUCGUUGGCUACGUCCUGGCCAAGAUGGAGGAGGAGAGCAACGAGUGCCACGGCCACAUCACCUCCCUCGCCGUCCUCCGCACCCACCGCAAACUCGGUCUCGCCACCAAGCUCAUGAGCGCCGCCCAGAACGCCAUGGAACAGGUGUUUGCGGCGGAGUACGUGUCUCUUCAUGUGAGGAAGAGCAAUCGGGCAGCGUUCAAUUUGUACACGGAGACUUUGGGGUAUAAGAUUCAUGAUGUGGAGGCGAAGUACUAUGCCGAUGGGGAAGAUGCGUAUGAUAUGAGGAAGGAGCUCAAGGGAAAGAAGGUGUAUGGACAUAGUCAUGGGCAUGGGCAUCACCACCAUCAUCACCAUCAUGAAGGUGGGUGUUGCUCAGGGGAGGUGGCAAAACCAGAUAAGGCAGAGGCGAAAAAGGUCGGGAGAGGGAAUGCCAAGGCGGAGGCCAAAGCGGUAUGAGAGUGCGAGGUAAAUUGAGUUAUUUGGAGGAAGUGCAUUUUCUGUUGUUUUACUUUAUCUAUGGUUUUGAUGCUUAGUGUUUGUACUGCAAUUUGGAAAAUGCAUUUGAGGAUUCGGAACUUUCAUAGUUUUCAUCUUAAGUCAAUGUUUGAAUGCUUACUCUGCUUUGAGUGGUCUAUGCUGUAAUUUUAAGUUUAUUUUUCUGUUCAUUGGCCUGGCCUCUUUUGUUCAUAAUUUGGUUGAAGAAUGCAGUGUUGAAUCACAAUAAUGAUUAUACAUUGAUUAGAGAGUUAUGUUUAUAUUUGAGUUUGUUCCGUUUGAUGAUGUGUACCGCAUGUCAUGUUCUUAACAUGUAAUGCUAAAUCUUUCUUUAUCAAUACUACUGAAUUCUAUUGGUGGCAGAAUUUGCGAAUGAGACUGGAAUUGAAUAGGAAAAAUGGCUAGCUUAGUAGUUGUUUUGCUUGGUUAAGUUAACAACAAACCCACACUCCCAUAAUGCACUAAACCCGCAUCUUGCUAUUUAGCCUUGCCCUUUCGAGGGAACAUGUGCUAUUGUGCCCAAAGGUUAGAAAAUGAGAUUAUGAGAUAGAGGCUCAGGGAAAAAGGGGUCGUGGAAAACCUAGGAAGACUUGAAAAGAGAGUUUAAGAAAAGACAUUGAAGUACUUGGAGCUAACAAAAGACUUGACGCAAAAUUGAGCGCAAUGGCGUUCUAGGAUUCAUAUAGCCGUCCCCACUUAGAGGCAUAAGGCUUUGUUGUUGUUGUUGUUGUUGUUGUUGUUGUCGUCGUCGUCGUUGUUGUUGUUGUUGUCGUCGUCGUCGUAGUAGUGUGUAUAUAUGCAUGUACACAAGAGUAGCACUUUGGCAUUGAAAAUGAAGAUCAAUAGCUUUUUGAAGUAUGAGAUUGUAUGUGAAGUUAAAUUGUUUGAUGAUUUGCUAUCCUGCUUUCUCUGGCUUUUCUAAAUUGGGGAGGAAUAAAAGGUGUUUUCUAUUUUGGGCACUUGUCCUUUGUUACAAAUUUCUCUCUUUUGUCCUCCUAAUCAUUUUGUUUGGUUAAUGCUUGCAGUUUUAAGUUGUUUUGAACAUGAGUUUCUCUUCAGAAAUGUUUUAAAUCGGAGCUGUCUCUAUGUUCAUUAGUUAAUCACCCAAGCAUGUUGGCAUGAUGGUGAAUUUCCUUGGAAGUGUGAGGUGUCGAAUGACUAAACAGGUCCAGUAAAGUAUAGAUUUAAGAAAUGACCAAAUAUAGAACCUAGUUUUGACUAAGAGCGCCGAAGAUUUUUUAUCUACGCACUGAACAAACACUCUGAUAUGUUGUAAUGCAGUGGGCAAAGAGAUUGAAUAGAAAAUAGGAUGUUUUCCAACUGACAUUCAGAAAUGAGCACCCGAUUAAAGUUCCUAGUCCAUCACUUGCACCAGGUAGGGUUCCAAUGUAUAAUGAAUCAAGUGAUCGCGAGAUAAGCUAAUCGAAACAGCACAAAUAUGAAGGAAAACAGUUUCUGCUUUCUUAAGGUAUCAAUAUUUUUGAAGUUUGGAGGCUUAUGUCAAUCUAUGACAAUUGUUCGAAUUGUUGUAUCCAAGUAUGCAUUAUACAUUCAAUUGAGCGAAUGACACGUGUGCCAACGAAUUUCGAAGAGUUUGGCGUGGUUUUCUCUCAUUGAUCUUUAAUAUGAAAGUGUGAGGCACCUGUUCGUUGACUAAUUGAGUCCAUUCUCCAAGGUUUUAGUAGACAUUGGGUCGCUAUAAUUUGCUCUUCUGGAUAAGAAACAAACAGUCAUUGAAGGGAGAAGAAAGUGUACAAAAACCAAGUUUCUGUAAGCUUACACUCAUAUGCCUAAUAUUUUAUUUAUAUCUUUUCCUGGCAGGUAUUUUCAACAAUAGAUGAUAACAGUUUUAACACUAGGGCCUUUAACUUAAGCGCCCACUUGACAACCAUAUCGUUUAUUGUUUUUGCAGAGGUUGGAAUAAUUUUCCCUUGACUGGUAUGUUGAUAAGUUUGUUUUUGUAGAUACCAGAGAAGAUCUCUGUGUGAAUAUAAAGGUUCGUACUUUUCCCUUUUUAGUUCUUGGCUAUACAAGCAUCUUCAAAAUUUUGAAGAAAACUUGAGAAAUCAAUAGAAUUUGAUUGCAGAUUAAGAAAACUUAAGAGACCGGUUCAAUUGGGUAGAUGAAAAAAGGAAAGAAAAGAAAAAUAUUUGUAAACAUACGGUACGUUUGAAGAAUUUGUUUAUACUUAUGGAGACCAUUUUAUUGCUAAGGAAAUCGAGGAAAAGAAAACAAAGAACUAAUUAAGAGUUGUUUGAGUUGUUUAUAGAGAGAGGACUUGGUAAAAACAACUAAUAUUUUUGUUUAUCUAAUGGUUGUUAUUUGCUUUACUGAGAAUGUAGCUUUUAUUGUGAUUAGUUUCGGGUUUUGGAGCAGAUAUUUGUGUCCCGAGCCGUAUCUAGUAGAUUUUGGAGAUAUAGUGCAUUUUCAUUUAAUAGACGUAAUUCUUUUUACCAUUGUUUUGUGUAUAAUUAUGCAACUUAUAUAUUAUGAUGUGACAGAUUGUUUCGCUACCAAUGCAUCAACAUAUAUUAAAAAGAAAUAUUUAAAGAGGGCUGGAAUCCAGUCAAAGUUGGGAUGCUAGGCCCUCACGCCCAUAUUAUAUUAUUGAAGAAAAAACAUUACAACAAGGGGGACAUAGUACCUAAACUCCGAUGAUCAAUAGAAAAAUUAUAUACAACCACUCCAAGCAGUUAACAUGGCCAUCACAUAUUGAAUUUGAAUCCAAAAGGUUGACGUAUUAUUUGCUGCAUAUGACUAAUUGAAAAGAAGGAAAUUAAAGAGAGAUUCAUAAAAAUAUUUUAAGUUGAAAGUGUGGACGACGAAAGGGUAUUAUGGUCCAAUCAUUAAAGCUCCCUAUAUAAAAACACCUAAUUAGCGCUCUCCUGCCCAGAAGCCCCAAAUUCUCUCUCUCUCUCUCUCACACACACAAACAAAACCAUGGAGGACCGCUGACUCGAAGACACCAGGUCCAAUUUCAAGUCCCUUGACGGACCGAAGAAGCUCCGAGGUGAGAUCCGGACCGCUCCUUCUUCUCUUGGUAUGCUUUUCAAUUUUGUUUGUUUUUGUUUUUAGGGUUUGUGAGGACGAAGAAGAUUAUCUGAAAUUUCGAAAUUUGCAGCUCAAUUAACUCGAUCCAUAUGUUCUUUGGGUUACGGUGCUUGAAUUUGAUUAACUAGAUGCCUACUUUUUUGUGUUCAUUAUUAUUUCGCAUGAAUUAUUUUUGUAUUUCAUUUAAUUAUUAAUAGCUCUAGGGAUUCAUAUCACAAUCAAUUAGUUAUCGCAAUUUUGUUUAAUUUGCCUGUUUACCGAGUAGAAUUUUAAACCAAAUUUUGUAGCUAAGCAAGAUUUUGAUUUCAGAAUCAAUUAAGUAUAUUCACUAUUCUGUUUGAUUUGCCCGGUUACUUUACUUGUGUAGAAAUAAUUCUCUACAAAUUUCCUAGUUUACGUAGGAAAGUAGCUAUUGAUACAUAUUUAGGUUAUCCUAAUAAAUUAGCCGGCCCAGACACAGUAGAAUGUAAAUUAGCAUGAAGCAUUUGGUAGUAAGUAUUUGAAUGAUUUCAUGAGAUGGAGAAUAAUAUAGUGCCCGGCCCGAAUCCAGAUGGCUUACUUAGCUUACACACACACACACACACAUAUAUAUAUGUAUAUUAAUGUAUCUCUAUCUACAUUUCCUGAAACACACAGAUAUGAAGAAAACGGGUGUUAAAGACUCUCGGACUCAACUCAAAAAAGAAAGGGUGGUUGAAGAGGCUAUGGCUCGACUCCAACUUGACGAGGAGAAUACUACUAUUCCAAAAUCACAACCCCUUGUAAAGUUUGCUAGACCUUUCAAAUUCACAGUCCCUUGUGAAGUUUGCGGAGUGGUUGGCCACUAUAAUGAUAGAUGCCCCUACAUCGAAGUAGGCC